AAUCAGUCAUCCUUUGGGGUUCUAUAAAUAGCAUCCUCCCUGUCAGUUAUGGACACAUUCUUGCCUAGCCACUUUUAGUUUCAGCCAAACUACAUUUUCAUACCUAGCUCAACUGAAAUUAAACUUUCCAUGGCAUACCAGAGCGCCUACAAUAUGAAUUACCAGAUACUACUAUGCUUGAUACUCUUCUCCCUAGGCCUUCUCCUACCACUGCCAUCCCAUUCUGCUGAUCCAAGCCCACUGCAAGAUUUCUGCGUUGCAGAUCUUGAUUCCUCUUUAUUCAUUAAUGGCUUUCCGUGCAAAAACCCUGAUAACGUAUCUUCACAAGACUUCUUCGCCAAUGGGUUCCAACAAAGUCCAGGAGAAUUCAAUAUUUUCGACGUCAAUGUCACUCGGCAAGAUGUUCAUCGAUUUCCAGGACUCAACACUCUAGGGCUGUCAAUGAACCGAGUGGUUUUGAAGCCUGGAGGGCUGAAUGCACCCCACGUCCACCCUCGUGCAGCCGAGCUGGCUCUAGUCAUGGAUGGAAAACUGUUUGUAGGCUUUGUGACAACCGGAAACGUUUUCUACUGGAAAAUUGUGACUUCAGGAGAGUUGUUUGUGAUUCCUCCUGGGCUAGUGCACUUCCAACUGAAUAUUGGACACGAGAACGCACGCUUCUUCGCCUCGUUCAACAGUCAAAAUCCAGGGAUUCAGUUCGCCCCCCUUGCUCUUUUUAACUCCACGCCUUCGAUUCCUGAUCUCGUGUUGAGUAAAGCAUUUCAAGUAAAUCAAAGUAUCAUUGAGCUCAUUAAGUCUAGGUUUGCAACUGUGUCGACUGUGUCGACCGUGCUUAAGUCAUCUUACUAACAUCGUAUUCCAGGGUGUUGUUCAUUAUAGUUGGCAUAUUAAAUAAUAAAAACUUCUAUAUUAUUGUUUAAUUGUAUUUUGGUCAAGUUAAUUUUUAGUAGUUUUAUUGGCGUCAAAUUAGGAUAGUUUUACUAUUUAGAAACUAGUAUUGUAUUAAGUAAUUUCUUAUGGUUGUCAGUAGUCUGGUGUCGGAUUUAGUUGGAAACAAUAAAAGUUUGAGUCUUGUUAUUGAUAUUAGUCCUCUUCAUGUAAAUUAGCCUCCAUAUAUAUAUAUAUAUAUAUAUUAUAUUUAUAUUUAUAUUGGUUUUGUGAAAGUUAUCUCCUAUAUUUUUUUUGGGUAUAAUUAUUAGGCUCUACAUCUGGUAUCGGAUCCUAUUUGCAUGAAAUUAAUCUUUGGGUGAGUUGUCAGAGUUAGGACACAAGAUUUGCCGGGACCGUUCAAUUGAUCACGUAGGGCCAUUAUGUUGGUUUUGGAGUAUUUAAUUGGUGAAAAUUAGACCAUAAAAUUGGUGUGAAAAUUAUUAACUUGAUUGUGGAUAUUGCUAAUGGUGACAGUUUUUGACAUGGUACGUAAACACGGCACAAAAAAUCCUAAAUGAAACAUGAUACGGAAUAAUUUAUGUUAAAAAUGAAUCCACACGAACAUGACACGCAAACAGAAGGGUUGUAUUGGGCCAAUCCGUAGGUUGAUAUGACUAACAUGUUUUUGACACGUUAAGAAUUUUGAAAAAAUGCUACUUGCUUCCAUCCUAAUACUGCACUUAAAAUAAAUGGUUUUGUAUUAAAUUUUAUAGUUUAAGAACUAAAAUAAUAUAAUCAACUUCCUAUAAGAAUACAUAAACAACACAUAAAUCGAGACUCUGCAAAUUCACAUAUGCAACUGUUAUGAUUUUAAUUUUUUGCUUCCUUCCUUUAAUAUUCUUAUUUUCUCAAAUUGACAAGCAUAAACAACCUCUAUGAUUUUAACUUUUCACUUCCUGCCUUCACUCUUCAAAUUGAUCGAAACUUACCUUUAGAUCAAAUAUUGCUCAAUUUUUCUUCCUUUCUUGUGAUUAAAUAUCUUUUCUAGGUAAACUUUAAUAUUUCACAAAUUUUCUAUCAUUUUUGUCUAUUUUAUUUGAACAUUUUCUAGUUUAUACUGCUCCUUUAUUUUAUCAUUUUCCCUAUCAUUUUCUUUCUUGUGAAAGAAAAAUAAAAUAGGCUUUUUUCUGUAUAUUAUUAAUGAGAUAAUCAUGCAUCCAAAACUUACACAAGUAAAAAUCCAAUGACAGGCUACAGCCAAAUUAGAUUAAGAGAAUAUUACAUAUAUUCUUGAAAGAGAACCAUGUUUUAUUUUUUGGCAAUAUUUCUCCUAUAAUUUUUAUAUAAAAAGUUAAAUGAGUCAAUUGGGUCAAAACAUGUGAUGAACCUGUCCAAAUGUGUGGAGAAUUGCAGCUUAAAAAUGUUUUUGAAGAUUAAGAAUUCAAAUUUAUAUUAAUGAAAUUUACAAAUGAGAUUAUUAUUGCUAAACUUGAUUCAAUAGAGAGCUUGAUUUAAGGGAAACAAUGUUGGCAUAUUAAAUUAUAGCUAAAAAUUUGAAUUUUCUAUACUAUUAUUUAGUAGCAUUUUGGUCACACAAAUUUUUUUAGUAGUUCUAUGAGAGCUAAGUUAUGGUAGUAUAUUUAAGAAUUGGAAGCUCUAGGACAUAGAGGUUCUGGGUUCAAAUCUCCAUUCCUCCUCCCCAUUUCUUAAAUCCUAUCCCUCCCCUUGAUUAGAAAAAAUUAAAGAAAAGGUUAAAAUAAUUAUUUAGAAAUUGGUACUGUAUUAGAUAAUUAUUGUAGUUAUCAAUACUUGUUUAUCAAAUCAUGUAAUCUGUAAGUAGAGUCAUAUUACCAUACCCACUUGAGAAGAUUGGAAGUUUAAUAGCCUUGUUGUUGUGGUGUUAUUAAUAUUAUAUUAUUAAUAUCAUUGUUCUUUUCUCGCAUAUACGUGUAUAUGUGUAAAUUAGCCUCCCAUAUACAUUGGGUUUGUGGAAUUUAUCUCUCAUAAUGAUUUUUUGGGUAUAAUUGUCAGGCCCCGUUCCCAGAAUGUAGCACCAUCACGCCCUAGACAAUGCUAAAGGCGUAAGGCAACAAAUUUCCAAAGCAACUACAUUUACCUUUAUAUAAACUUUUUAAAUCCGCAAAUACAAGAUCAUCUAUAACAGCAAUUUUGUGUCUUCCAAAAUAAAAGAAAGAUCAAACCUUCUACAAUAUGUACAAUAUUCAAAUCCUAUCAUAAGGUAUCUUAUAUAUAAGUACAAAAGUUAUCCUCCAACCCAAAGUCAUCUCCAUCUCCAUUACAACCCCCAAGAGCUAUCAAGGUUUACUUCAAUGAACUCAUCAUUAACUGCAUAAUUAUAACAAAGGGGUGAGCAAAAUCUCACUCAAUAAGUAGUGCAUGUAUCUCAUUAUUGGCCUGAGCAUGUUACAUACAUAAUAUAUAUUUCAAACGUCAUUAACUUACACAUAUAACUUUAUAAGAACAUGGUUACUAUAAACAUUUCAAUGGCAUAUCAUACAUCACACACAAAAAGGAGCUCAAACCAUAAGACAACAAUUGACCCAGGAUAUCCAGUUGUUAACUUAAACUUAACCAGUUAACACAGUUCAUAGUGCUAACAACCACACAGUUAGACCGUUUCAUAUUGCUAACUACAACACGGAUAGCUCGUUUCAUAUACCAAUUACUUGCGAGCAACUAGUCCUGUCAAAAGUCGCUUAUACAAGAGCUCAACAAACAUAACAUUUCAUUUCACAAAUGACCAUGGCAAGAGUAAUAACUAAUAUCACAAAUUAUACUUGCUCAUGCCAUUUUAGCAAUUAGACAAGUAGCUUUCAUAAUUUAUCAUUCAAAAGAUAAAGGAUACGUGUACCACUUACCUCGAUCCAAUUGAUACCCACGCUAGUUCAAGUAAUCGGAAAAAUAGCUACCUUCCUCACCUAGACAUAAUAAUAAAAUGUUCAAUUACAAUCUUAAAGAUACCAAACUACUCCAAAUUAUCAUAAACCCUUAACCACUAAUUCCUAAUAAAAGAUCACUUCCUCAUCAAAGUAGGACAUAAGGGUUUACUUUAAAGGGUCACUAACUUCCAGAAAUACAGAAAUAGGGCAAGAGAUUUAUAUAGAUUAAAGCCCCCUGAAUCUAGUUUCCAACGCAACAAACGGCACCUAAAUCUGAAUUUUCUACACCAAGUUAUAUCCAAAGCAUUGAAAUAUGUCUAUAGAGAAAAUUCAAUCUAUCCGAGGAUUAUAACCAAUCCAUCCGAGGAUUUUAGCCAAUCCGUCCGAGGAUUAUAGCCAUGGAUUUCCAGCAAGCUUUCAAGGCAAAAACAAGUUCCAAAUUCAAUAAUCAAGUUCCAUUUCCAUCUCAAGUCAUCUUCCAACCUCCAUAGUUGUCAAAAUCAACAUAUUUCAGCUCCCAAAGUCAUGUAAAUACAUAAAUAAUCUUGAAAAUGAAUUGCUAGCUCAAGUCAUUCUUUCCCUCAACAUUUCUCCUUUUUAUAUUGAUGAUAGCCCUAUACCCAUAUGAAAAUAGAGACCAAAACAAACUUUAUACACCAUAGCCAUGGAAGCUAACCAAGGAUUUGAACCAAAUACUACCCAAUCACCCAAUCAAAGAAAACCAAGAUCAUGUUCAAGGUUUCAAGAAAAUACCUUGGUUAGUUGGCAAAGUAGAAUCUCCUAACUCCUCACUCCUCACUCCUUACUUGUACUUGAUUUGUCAAGAAUCCUCCUUGAUUGUAAGGAAAAAGGAGAGAAAUAAGAAAGGGUUUUGUUGGAGAAGGAAGAAAAAAAGGAAAUGAAGAAGAUGAAGAAAUUUUUUGGUAAAGAUGAAUAGUGAAAUCCCAAUAUUACUUUUAUUCUUUCAAAAUUUCACUUAUUAACACAUUGGUCACUCAACUUAACAUCUUUCACUUUUCACCCCAAAAUAGUAUUUCUUCACACAAAAUGCUCUACAUGACACUUGGGUAUCACAUUCUCCCCCUCUAAUAUAAGUUUUGACCUCGAAAUUUAUUGUACCUCGUUGGUUAAACAAAUGUGAAUACUUAGUUCGCAUUUCCUCUUCGAGUUCCCAAGUGGCUUCACGAAUACUAUGAUUGGACCAUUGAACUUUAACAUAGAGAAUUGUUCUUCUUCUUAGCACUUGAUCUUUACGACCCACAAUUCGAAUUGGCUUCUCACUAUAAGUUUGAUCCUCUCAUACCAUUAAUGGCUCAUACUCUAGGAUAUAACUUGGAUCAAAUACAUAUUUUCUCAAUUGCAAAACAUGAAAUACAUUGUGAACUCUUGAUAAAGAUGGUGGCAAGGCUAACUUGUAUGCCAAUUCUCCAAUUAUAUCCAAAAUUUCAAAAAGCCCAACAUAUUUUGCACUCAGUUUUCCACUUUUCCCAAAUUACAUCACACCCUUCAUUGGUGAAAUUCUAAGAUAUAAUUUAUCCCCUUCUUGAAACUCUAAGGGUCUUCUUUUCAAAUCAACCAACUCUUUUGUCUAUCUUGUGCUGUUUUCAACCUUUCUCUUACUAGUGCCAUCUUCUUGAUUGUAGCUUGUACAAGUUCAGAUCCAGUAAUGAUCCUUUCACCUACCUCAUCCCAAUAUAAGGGCAAUCUACACUUCCCCCCCCCAUAUAGAGCUUCAAAAGCUAGCAUGCCGAUACUACUAUGAUAACUAUUAGUGUAAGAGCACUCAAUUAGCACCAGAGAAUCCUCCCAACUGCCCCCAAAAUCCAUAACACAUGCUCUAAGCAUGUCCUCCAAGGUUUGAAUUGUACGCUCUGAUUGCCCGUCGAUUUGAGGAUGAUAAGCUGAGUUGAGGUUUAACUCGGUUCCCGUGGCUUGUUGGAGACUUUUCCAAAAUCGAGAGGUGAAUCUAGGAUCACGAUCAGAUACAAUACUCAUUGGGACACUAUGAUAAUGAAUAAUACAAUCCAUAUAGAGAUUAGCCAAAGUAUCCAUAGAUGCAGUAGCAACCAUAGGUACAAAAUGAGCUGAUUUUGUCAGUUGAUCAACUAUCACCCAAAUGGUGUCAUUACCUCUCCUAGACCUUGGUAAUCUAACAAUGAAAUCCAUUGCUAUAUGCUCCUAUUUCCAUUCCGGUAUUGUCAAAGGCUUUAAUAAUCUAGCAGGUCUUUGAUGUUUGGCCUUUAUUUGUUGACAAACUAAGCAUUUAGACACAUAAUUCGCGAUCACCCUCUUCAUACCACUCCACCAAUACGACUGCUUUAAGUCUCGGUACAUCUUGGUGUUAUUAGGAUGAAUAGAGCCUUGGAAGAGUGAGCCUCCGCCAUUAUUUCUUUUCGUAACUCCGGAUCUUUAAGCACCACAAGCCGAUUCCACAUCCAUAUACUACCAUCCUUGAGUAGGUGAAAGUCGGGUAAUUCCUCACUUUUAACUUUUUCCUUGAUUUUCACCAACUCAGUAUCAUUUUCUUGAGUUUCCUUGAUUCUCGAAAUUAAAGAUGGUUAGGCAACUAGAGUUGCGAGCACAUGCGUGAAGGAUUCUACCACCUCUAAAUUCAAUUCCUCCAUUUUUUUUACUAACAUAAUUGCUAUCAUUCCUGAAUUUUUCCUGCUCAAAGCAUCGGCAACCUUGUUUGUUUUUUCUGGAUGAUAACUAAUGGUAAGAUCAUAAUCUUUCAUUAACUCAAGCCAUCUUCGUUGUCUCAUGUUGAGCUCUUUCUGAGUGAACAAAUACUUUACGCUUUUAUGAUCUGUAAAGACCUCACUUUGCUCCCCAUACAAGUAGUGCCUCUAAAUCUUCAAAGCAAGAACAACGACUACCAAUUGCAAAUCAUGUGUAGAAUAGUUUUGUUCAUACCGCUUCAAUUGACGAGAUGCAUAAGCUAUGGCCUUCUCAUUUUGCAUUAGCACACAUCCCAACCCAUUUUUGGAUGUAUUGCUAUAAAUAGUGAAACCUCCAGAUCUAGAAGGUAAGGUGAGAACUGGUGCUGAAACAAGCUUAUUCUUCAAUUCUUGAAAACUAUCUUAACAUUUAGGUGUCCACUCAAACUUAACAUGCUUUUGAGUUAGACAAGUCAAGGACAAAGCAAUAGUAGAAAAACUUCAACAAAAUUUCUAUAGUUGCCAGCUAAGCUCAAAAAACUCCUCAAUUCUACCACGUCAGUAGGUCGGGGCCAAUCCACAAUAGAUUCUAUCUUCUUAGGAUCCAUAAAGACACCAUCUUGAGAAAUAACAUGCCCAAGGAAGGACACACUUUGAAGCCAAAAUUCACAUUUGUUGAGUUUAGUAUAAAGCUUCUCAUGCCUCAAGACUUGUAAAACAUCUCGCAGGUGAUUUUCGUGCUCCGCAUCACUUGUGGAGUAUACCAAUAUAUCAUCAAUGAACACCACCACAAAUCGGUCUAAUUGCUUUUUGAAUACCCCAUUCAUCAAAUCCAUAAAGGCUGCAGGAGCAUUAGUCAACCCUAAAGGCAUGACGAGAAAUUCAUAAUGGCCAUACCUUAUUCUGAAUGCACUCUUUGAAAUAUCCUACAGUUUAAUCCUUAAUUGAUGGUAUCUAUAAGAAGAUCUAUUUUUGAAAAUACCUUAGCCCUUUUUAAUUGAUCAAACAGGUCGUCUAUACGAGGCAAUGGAUACUUAUUCUUGAUCAUAAUUUUAUUGAGCUCCCAAUAAUCAAUGCACAAUUGCGUACUUCCAUCCUUCUUUUUUACAAAUAAAACUAGGGCACCCUAAGGGGAUACACUUGGUCGAAUCAAUUUCUUGUCAAGCAACUCCUGAACUUGAACUUUAAACUCCUUCAACUCUGUGGGGGCCAUCCGAUAGGGUGCCUUAGAUAUAGGUUCUGAGUUGAGUAUUACAUUAAUCUCAAAAUCAAUUUCUCUCUUGGGAGGCAGACCUAAUAAUUCAUGUGAAAACACAUCUGAAAAUUCUCUUGCAAUUGGGAUAUCCUCAAGUUUUAUCUCCCCUUUCUUACUAGAGUCUGCUAUAUAAGUUAGAAAACAUUCACAGCCCUUCCUAAUUGCUCUCCAAGUUUGUAUGGCAGAUAAAAUGGGUAGAGACUUCUUUGGUUUUCCUCAACACCCUUGAAAAGAAAAAGGUGGAAUGUUUGGGGUUUAAAAAUCAACACUUUUACCCAUACAAUCUAUAUGGGCAUAAUUUUGCGAUAGCCAAUCCAUACCUAAGAUAGCAUCAAAUUAUAUUCAAUUGCACUAGAUUUGCCUUAAACUCUCUCCCACCUAAAUCUAAAGUACAGCCUUCAUACAUAAGGUGAGAAACUAAAACUUUUCCCCCGGGAAUGGCUACACGAUACAGGUCAUCCAAAACAUAGGGUUUAAUAUCUAACUCUCAUGCAAACUUCUUUGAAAUGAAAGAAUGGCAAGCCUCACAAUCAAAUAACACAUACGCUGGAAGAGACUUAAUCAUUACCAUACCUGUCACAACAUCCUCUACUCCCGCUGCUUCUUGUUCAGUCAAGGCAUAUACCUUAGAGUUUGAGUAAGGUCGAUUUGCACUAGAAUUCAAGCUGUUUCCUGGGCUAUUGUUGCCUCUAGUUUGCUUAGAAUUCGGGCAAUUACUCAUUUUAUGCCCCACUUCUCCACAACUAAAACAAGCUCCCGUUUUCCACCUGCAUUCUCCCGGAUGAACCCGAUGACAAUAAUCACAUAACUUAGAUGGGUUAGUAGGUAGACACAUUGGAAAAGGUUGUUGAGAAGAAGUAGCCUGUUGCGAAAUUAUAGGUCUUGGUAACGGUGCUUGUCGGGGAGGUUGCAUUGGUCGAAGAGGUUGCAUUACACGAGAAGGCUGACCAUGUUGACGAAGUUGGCCUUGUAUUACAAUUUGUCUAUUUCUCCUUUGUCUCGUCUCUUCAUCCUCCUAAAGAAUGUCUUGUUCAACAUCUAAACUAGCUUCAUACAUUUGGUCACAAUUGGCAUAGAAAUUUUCAGAUAUUUUUUAUUGAAUCCGACUAUUCAAUCCUCCCUUAAAGGAGACCAUCUUCAUAGUCUCAUCGGCCAUUGUAGAAGGGACGAAGCAUCCCAAGGAGAGAAAAGUAGUGUAGUACUCGCCCACAGACAUGGAACCUUGCUUAAGGUUAUUUAAUAUUCGAAUCUUUUGAACUCGAAUAGCUGGUGGAAAGUAAUGUUAUAGAAACAUCUUUUUGAACUCAUCCCAUGUCAAAGUACGACCUGAAGAAACCAUGGUGAGGGCUACACCAUCCCACCAUUUCUCUGCUUCACCAAGAAAGAUGUCACUACUUGAGGUCGAAUAUCUUCUGGCACCAUCAUAGUUUUGAAUUUCUUCUCAAUUUGGGAUAACCAUCUCUCUGCCACAUUCGAGUUUGGGCCUCCAUCAAAAGUAGGCAAAUAGACCUUGCUAAGCUCCUUGAAAUGGUACUUAACACUAACCCAUAUCUUGCUCUCUUUUUUUUUGUUGUUGUUGUUGUUGAUAUUGCUGCCAUCCAUGCAUGAACUAAUAUGCCACAGAUAAGGUAGCUGGAUCUAAUUUUAGGGAGGAGGGGUGCUUUGAUUUGUAUUAUUUGAAUUCAAAGGAGGUGUUACCCUAGACGUAUCUUCACCUUUACGUCUUUGAGCGGCUUGGUGAGCAUCUAACAUAAAUCCCCCAAUAGGGGUAUCCAAUUCAUCUUCAUUCCCAUUCGGUCCAAGAUUUUCAAGUACCACAUCUUCUUCUCCCGUAGCUCAUACAUUAUUCUCUUGAAUACUGACAAUAUCCCUUUGCUUUCUUUUUGGUGCCAUCCUGCAAACACAAAUUAGGCUAGGGCAAAAUCUACCUACACUAAGCUACCGAAUCCUCAAGUGAUAGCAAUAGGUAUUUGAACACAAAAAUCAAAACUAAGUCAAUCCAAACUAAGGUUGGCCACCCGAAGUGUAAAUCAACUAGCUCGAAUAUUCUGUCCAACAUACACACUACAUUACAUCAAACUUUCAAUAAGUAUUAAUUCUUAAGGUACUAUAAGUAAGAUUGAUAUGUAGGCUCUGAUACCAAAUAAAUGUCACGCCCCGUGUUCGGAAUGUAACACCGCCACACCCUAGACAAUGCUAAAGAUGUAAGCCAACAAAUUUCCAAAACAACUACAUUCACCUUUAUAUAAACUUUCUAAAUCCACAAAUACAAGAUCAUCCAUAACAACAAUUUUGCGUCUUUCAAAAUAAAAGCAAGAUCAAACCUUCUACAAUAUGUACAAUAUUCAAAUCCUAUUAUAAGGUAUCUUAUAUAGAAGUACAAAAGUCAUCCUCUAACCAAAAGUUAUCUCCAUCUCCAUCUCCAUUACCACUCCUAAGAUCUAUCAAGAUCCACUUCAACGAACUUAUCAUUAACUGCAUAAUUAUAACAAAGAGGUGAGCGAAAUCUCACUCAAUAUGUAGCACAUGUAUCUCAUUAUUGGCCUGAGCAUGUUAGAUACAUAAUAUAUGUUUCAAACGCCAUUAACUUUACAAGAACAUGGUCAUUAUAAACAUUCCAAUGGCAUAUCAUACAUCACACACAUAAAGGAACUCAAACCAUAAGACAACAAUUGACCCCAGAUUAACUUAAUCGGUUAACAUGGUUCAUAGUGCUAACUUCAAUAUGGUUAGCCUGUUUCAUAUUGCUAACGACAACACAGAUUACUCGUUUCAUACACCAACUACCUGUGAGGAACUAGUGCCGUCAAAAAUCGCUUAUACAAGAGUUCAACAAACAUAACAUUUCAUUUCACAAAUGACCAUGGCAAGAGUAAUAACAACUAUCACAAAUUAUACUUGGUCAUGCCACUUUAGCAAUUAGACAAGUACCUUUCAAAAUUCAUCUUUCAAAAGAUAAAGGAUACAUGCAUCACUUACCUUGAUCCAAUGGAUACCUACGCUAGUUCAAGUAAUCGAAAAAAUGGCUACCUUCUUCACCUAGACAUAAUGAUAAAAUAUUCAAUUACAAUAUUAAAGAUACUAAACUACUCUAAAUUAUCAUAAAAAGGAGUCUAAUACUACCCUUAACCACUAAUUCCUAAUAAAAGAUCAUUUCCUCAUCAAAGCAGGACAUAAGGGUUAAUUUUAAAGGGUCACUAACUUUCAGAAAUACAUCAACAUGGCAAGAGAUUUAUACAGAGUUAAACCCCCCUGAAUCUAAUUUCCAACGCAACAAACAGCAACUAAAUCUGAGUUUUUUACAUCAAGUUAUGGCCAAAAAACUGAAAUAUGUCUGUACAGAAAAUUCAAUCCGUCCGAGAAUUAUAGCCAAUCCGUCCGAGGAUUAUAGCCAUGGAUUUCUAGCACGUUUUCAAGGCAAAAAACAAGUUCCAAAUACGAUAAUCAAGUUCCAUUUCCAUCUCAAGUCAUCUUCCAACCUCCAUAGUUGUCAAAAUUAACAUAUUUUAGCUCCCAAAGUCAUGUAAAUACAUAAACAAUCUUGAAAAUGAAUUGUUAGCUCAAGUCAUUCUUUCCCUCAACAUUUCUCCUUUUUAUAUUGAUGAUAGCCCUAUACCCAUAUGAAAAUAGAGACCAAAACAAACUCUAUACACCAUAGCCAUGGAAGCUAACCAAGGAUUUGAACCAAAUACUAACCAAUCACCCAAUCAAAGAAAACCAAGAUCAUGUUCAAAGUUUCAAGAAAAUAUCUUGGUUAGUUGUCAAAGUAGAAUCUCCUAACUCCUCACUCCUUAGUUGUGCUUGAUUUGUCAAGAAUCAUUCUUGAUUGUAAGGAAAAAGGAGAGAAAUGAGAAAGGGUUUUGUUGGAGAAGGAAGGAAGAAGAUGAAGAAAUUUUUUGAUAAAGAUGAAUAGUGAAAUCCCACUAUCACUUUUAUUCUUUCAAAAUUUCACUUAUUAACACAUUGGUCGCUCAAUUUAACAUGUUUCACUUUUCACCACAAAAUAGUAUUUCUUCAUACAAAAUUCUCUACAAGACACUUGGGUAUCACAAUAAUUGUUAGGACCGACAAUUCUUAUAGGCUGUCUGAGACCACAAUAUUCAUGGAUAUAAAUGAAAGCAAGAACAUUUGAUAUAGCGCUAGGGAUUUUCGUAUCAGCCUUGACAUCUAUAUGUAUCUCUUCCAUUUGGAUAUUUAUCUACAACGAGUCUUUGUAUCGAUAAUGCCCGACUAAAUCAAAAAGAAAAGACAAUUUGCAUUAUUUCUUUUUUCUCUUUUUUUUCCCAAUGUGUCAAACAACAAGAAUAGUAACCUCCUGUUGGAUCCUUAAUCCAACGUUGGACUUAUAUUUAAAUGAUUAUGUGUUUCAAAUUGUCAAAUACGGUUAAAUCCAAUUAAAAUGAUCAAAUAUAAUUUGGGCUUAAUGUAUCUAAUAGGGUGUGGGCCUUUAAUAUGUAGAGACUUAAGGAUAUUUUUUAUUUCUAUGAUGGGUUGAAAUAGGAAUCCAAAAGAUAAUAGGAAUGUUAUCUAUAAAUAGGGUUAUAGUCCCCAGGUCACAAGUAUUCUUAUUAUCGUAUAUUCUAGUACCACUGACGGGAUUUUAAUAUACGUACAAGUUAAAAAAAAUCGAAUUACACCCGUUCACUGCAAGUAUACAGGUCAACUAGUAGUUUAGGGUAUAUAUCGGGUCGAUCCCACAGGGAAGAGUGAACAAUUAUCGGUAUUACUAAAACUUCUCUAUUAUUUAGACUAUCAAUGAAUUAUAACAAAUUUAACCUACUGAAAUUAUACAAAAUAACAAAUAAAAGCUCCUUAGGUUGUGGUAUCCUUAACUACUCAUGCAAGUGCUAUAUUUGAAUCAUUGAGUGCUACAUUUAGGCUAGUUAUGGUGUAAUUUUCUUAUGCAUUUGAAUCCUACUUUCGUAGUAAAUUAAUUAUACUUAUAACUAAUCCAUACAUAUUCUCAUGGUUAUGAAAUUAGCUACAAGUUCAUUUCUUUAGUGAAAUUACAUGAAAUGAAUCACUAAAAAUCACAUAGGUGGACCUCUAUUUUCGUAAGUGUACUCCUUAUGAUUAGCACUUCUUACACUAGUGUUAAAUCUUAAUUUUCAUUGCAGAAACAAUACCUUAGAUAAUCACAAUCAAUGGUACCAGAUUAAUCAUGAUUUAAAGAGUUAAAGUGCUAAAUAACUUGCUCAAAUAAUAGCAAUCAAAUAGCCAAAUAAUAAACACUAACAAUCAUAGAAAGUUCAACCAAACCCAAGGCAUAAAUUUUAAAGACACGUAAUAAACAUGAAAUCCAAAACUUGUAUAUUAACUAAAUUUGGAAUCAAGUACAAAAGAUAAAGAGUUGGAAGGAAUGUAACCCUUGUCACAUGAGUUUCAACUCCUUCUUCUUCAUCUCUAUCUUCAUCCUAAUCUAGUUAACAUACAAGAAGGAUGAACUAAUUAGCUAAACUAGCCUACACUAAGGAAACCGUAUGAUAAUAGUGCUCUUUUCAAUAUUUGCUAGUUAGAGAGAAUUUGCUAUCAGAAAAUCUGGCUACGUAUGGAUGUCCAGACAUCUCCCAAUGUCUCUGUACAAAAACUGCUCAAGAGCUCCAUUUUUCCAAGUCAAAUUCCCCUUUCUGAUUCCCAAAUCUUAGAUUUGUUAAGAUAGUCAAUAACCAAGGUUUUUGACUUGAAAAUAAGCCAUAUUGUCUGCCCUUUUGUCUUCUGAAGCAUGUGCACCGAAUUCCCUUGCAACUUAUAGCUGGAAAGUAGUCUGAACACGAGAAAUGGCUGAGCAAAUUGUAGAAUUUCGGCUACAAAACGCGCCUAUACAAGCCGCAGCUUCAACCCACAUUUUGCCAACUCGCGUUUUCAACUCUGUGAAAUUGGCCUCACUUCAACUGCAAUUUUCUCUAUGAUGGAGGCCGAACUAGCUUUUGUACAAAACACAAAAGUUGUAGCCCUUUGAGUUAGCUUUACAAUGCUUAAAAAUCAUCCAAAUCGGAGCUUUGUAGCCUAAGAUAUGAUCGAAAUACUAUCACCUGGUCAAACCCCUGUUUCGAUUUUUGACUACAGAAUGCAGCUUCUGUAUUCCGACUUUUUGUCCAUGAAAUAGCAGAAUUGGAUUUCGAUGUUUUCAUACCAAUUGUCGGUCUCUUUCUUAGCUUUAAAAUGGUAUAAAGAUCAUCUCAAUCCGAUAAGUGUAGCUCCAGAUAUAGUCGAAAUACCGAAGAGUGUCAAAACUGUUUUGAACCGCACUUCUUCACUUAAACGUUUUUCACUUCAUUUCUCUUUUUUACCACUUGAAUUCAUCACCAAUUAUCUACUUUUCACCUCAUUUGACAUCCUUUGGUGAUUGGAUCAUUAACUUGCAAGAAAAUAAAGUUUUUACCAUUAAAAUCAAUAGAAAUGCCAUAUUAGUCAUUUUUACAAAAGUUGUAUCUUUUUACCAAAACCUAGUUAUUUUAGUUAUAAAACUAAAUAAUCAAACCAAAGUUAACUAAUAAAAUGUACUUAAAAAUACGUAAAAUAAACUCUUAUCAACCACAAAACAGCUCUUUCCUGAUAUCCCAUUGUCAGGAAAGAUACUAAAGAAAAACUAAAGUACUCUCUCAAGAAUUGGUAAAUACGUGUUGACCUGUAAGGCCACCUCAAAAUCUUCAAAGAUUCAAAUGCCAAUUUGUCAACAUGAAUUUAGGUACGCUUCAGCAUUUAUAUUAUUGUUUUGUUCAAAUAUCUGAAAUUGGGAUUCUGGAAAUUCCUACACCUCCUCCCUUUGAAAUUUCAGAGAACAGAACCAAAUAUUUCAUUCCUACUAACUUAUGGGCACGCGUUACAUCAUUCCUACUCAAUUUAACUAUCUUAACGACUUAGAAAAAGCUAGCUACAUAUGCAUUGUCUUCUUACAUAGAUAAAAGAUGUGCAGGGCAUAUAGAAAGAUCGUCCAAAUGGGUUUAAUUUGCUGCUUUUAAGCUUGACAUUUGUAAGACUUAUGACCGGGUAUCAUGGCAAUUUCUACCGGCUGUUCUAAGAAAAAUGGUUUUUCCAGAAUCCAAGAUUAAUGUUGUUUUGAAGAGUAUCUUUUUUGUCUCUUACUCAAUUGUAAUUUUUUUUUUUUUACUUAGGGUUAUCCCAGCCUUUCGGCCAAUUAAUUCCCUAAAACUGUGUAGCAUCUUAUCCUAAGGAUACAGAGUAAGGUAGUACACAGAAUUCGAUCAUGGGACAUGGUAGUAACUAUCAGACUACGGAAUCAGUCCAACUACCCGCAGGACACUCAAUCGUAGUUAAUGGAGCACUAUCAUCGGUAAUAUAUCCUACCAGAGGCCUUCGCCAGGGAUGCCUCCUCUGAUCAUCAUAUCUCUAUCUCAUACCAAGAGGCGUUGUCAGCAGCAUUAUGUUCUUUGGCAUCUAUAGAAUCUGUCCCCAAAUAUCGGUUAGUCGUGCAAGUCCUCCUGCAUCGCAUUUAGUAUUUGCUGAUGAUAAUAUUUUUGUUUUUCAAGUGCUCGGAGGCAGCUGCACUGCACCUGAAGGUGGUAUUGGAGAAAUAUGCACAUUUCUCUGGGCAGGAGAUGAAAUUUAGCAAAUUUAGUUUGGUCUUUAGCCUCAACGCGCCUGCUAAUUUGAAUCAAUUAACAUGCAUCAUAUUCUCUAUCCAAUCAGUUCCUACAAUAGGCAAUGUUUUAAAACUCGGACAGUUAAUUGAACCGGUGAAGUGUUCGGGUCAAGGUUCAACCGGUCGGACCGGUUCAACCCCGAUUCAAUGAAUUUUUUUAAAAAUAAUUUAUAUAAAUAUGUAUAUGCACAAAAUAAGACAUGUAUUGGGCUAAUUUAAAACUUUAUAUGAUGAAAAGUUUACUAUUUUUGAAUAACUUGGAUUUUCAGAAAUAAAUUUUUUAAAUUAUAAGUUGAAACAAAUAAAUUUCAUCUCAAUUUCAAUUAUAUCUACCAAAAAAAAUCUUAAAUCCAACCCAAAACUACCACAAUAUUUUGAAAUUAUACAAAAUUCACGUCUAUGAGAAUUUAGAUAUUGUGAGUUUAAAUUUUAAUUUACGUUUCUGAGAUUUAGAGAUUGCAAUUAACAAAAAAGAAAUUUGGAGUUUGAAGGAAGUUAAGAGAAUCAAAAAUAAAAAUGCAAACUUGAUAAGAAACAAAAAAUGAGAUAAAAGUGAAUGAUUGUGGCAUUUAAUAAUUAGUCUUUAGGGUUAAAGAAAAUAAUUCUUUUUUAAUUUUUUCAAUUUAAUGGACAAAAAAAAUUAAAAGAUGGAAGAAAAUAUCAAUAAAUUAAAACUAAAGAGUUUUGAUUAAAAAGGGAGUGACAAAAGAAAAGAGGAGAGAAAGAGAAAGUUGAACAUUAAAAAGAAAUAAGUCUGAUGUGUCUUAGGAGUUAUGGGUUUAGGCUAGGGUAUUUUUAAUUUUUCACUUCAAGUUAAGUAGAAUCUACACAAAGAAAUUUCGUCCGCUGGCUGUGAUUAAAUGGUAAUGACGCUUUGUUGUAUUCCCAAGGUUUGGUGUUUGAUUCUUGUUGGCCUCAAUCUAGACAUUAUUUUCGAAAAGUUUCAAAAACCGCCGGUUCCCGAUCAAAGCGGUUUUUCACGAUUCGUCCGGGUUAUUCGGUUUGUAGCGGUUUUUCAUUACUCUCCGGCUUUAGCUCUAGACCGGACCGGUGGUCUGUCCGGUUCACGAUCCAAUCGGUUGAACCGGCCAGUCCGGUCCGAUUCUUAAAACAUUGACAAUGGGUAGAUAUGUGGGUUUAAAAGACGAAGAACCCACUACUACAAAGGUACAAGAUUUAUCAACAAAUUCCACCGGAGUCAAACUCUAGACGUGGCGUUGGGACACAACACCCUAUUGUAACGUUGCAAUACAAUGACUUAAAAGUACUGUUAGAUAAUUUAUUGAUUGAUUUGCAAUCUCAAAAAAGUUUAUUGAAGAAAUGCAAGCUUGAUCUCCAAUAGUUGGCUCUUGCGCAAUUUUAGUGUCUAAAGUUUCGUCAAAAACAAAUAUUGUGUCCAAAUUUUCAAUUCAAAAUAUUUUUGAGACAAUUGACAAAUUUAAUAAAUUUGAAUUGAUCCCAAUUUCAAGUAAAUUUAGGACAAUGGACACGACCAAAUUCAUUUUUGUUGAAACCGUGGACACAAAAUUUGUGCAGAUACAUUGGAGACCAAAUUCAUUUUCAAUUCGUUUCUCUCUCUCUCUUUAUUCUGUGAAGGGAAGAUAUGAUUUUGAAAACCUAUACUUUGGCCUACAAAAUCUUAAUUUUUUCCAAAUCCAAUAAAGAAGGAAGGGAAAUAAAAAUAAACAAAUAAAAAGAUGGAAGGGAAAUAUAAAAAAAUAAAUAAGAAACAAAAAAUACAAAAUCUUUUUUUGACUACAAAUAUCAUUAUAAGUUUUUAAUCUAAAACUUUAAUGGUAUUUUCUAUUUCUUAUUUAUGUAUUUUUUUUAUUUCAAUUUCUUCCUUUUUAUGUUUAGAGGAAAAAAAGAAGUAAUGAAAGGAUAAAUUUGUCAAUUUAUUAAUUUGAUUUUGAAUUUUACCACUGACCGUAAGUUUUAAUGAAAAAAACUAAGUGACAUUUUAUUUCAAAUUAUGAGGAGGUUACAUAUAAUUUUCAAACCGUAGGAUGGUUAUGUUGUAAACCACCAAACCAUACGGGGUAAAAGGUAAUUUACCCAUUAAUCUAUGCCCACUAAGUUUCCUUGGAGCUAUUAAUGCAUGAAAAAAAAAAGCAUGCUUUUUUCAGCAAAAUGGGGACAUAGACAAAAGUUUCAAUCUCAUAAACAUAAUAACCACCGGAUGUUUUCAUUAAUUCAUAGUGAAAACAAGAAGAUCCGCAGUCCUAGUUAAGCAAGAAAAGCUUAUGAGUCAGUUCAUUCAUAAACUUUCGGAAUUACCUGAAGAAUGAUGAGCUUUGGUGAUACUUUUUUUGGCAAAAUGCAAGCUUUCUACAAUUAAGGUCGGAAUAAGAUUGGAUACAAACGUCCUCUUUAAAUACGAGCCAUCAGUUUGUAAAGAGGAAGUUAUAUGGUUCUCUUUGGGAAGCUGCAAAUUUUGGUGAUUUGAAACCAAUUUGAAAAUUGACAAAAUUCGUGCUUUCCUUGGCAGCUACUGGCUUUGAUUGAAAGAGAUGAUCUUGGCAAUGGCUAUAUUGAGUCAAAAUCAGACAACGAUCUUGGCUAUGGAAUUUGGAAUGUUUUGUUUCCACUUUCCAAAUGGUAGUUGGCUUGUUGCAAUAAAAAAGAAAAAUUGCAGUGGUCCUCAUCGGCAAAAUUUGAUGGUCAAAAUAUCUAAUUUCUCACGUGGGACAUCUUUUUGUAAGUAUUACUGUAUUGGUUGCUUCUAAUCAACCACAAGUCAAAAAGAAAGUUGUCUUUUAACUACUUGUUCAAAUUUAUAAGUCAGGCUUUCCAUUAAGGAAUUGAAGCCACCGCCUUGCACUCCAUGGUGGUUCUGUGCACUAAUCAAAUUGAUUUAGAUGCAUUACAGGGUUAGCAAACAAAGUUGUGGGCUUUCAAAUGAUUCUAACGGAAUUUACUAAUGAAAAGUCUUGCAACUCAAGACACAUACUUCAAGCUUUGUGUUUGGCAAUUGUCAAGCAAUGCCUUACCAAAUCUUAAAGUUGGGGCAUUUGCAGAAAAUAAAAUUUUUAUUUCAUUUAUUUAUUCAAGAUUUAAUAAAUUGAGUUGAUUUUAAGUAAACUAAAUUAAAUUAUGAAAGCCCUUUAUUUUUUAUCUAACAAAUUGGGCCAGUAUUAUGUGGGCUGUUAAAUCAAUUAAAUAUGCAAGGUCCAUUUAAAUUAAAAUGGAUUAAUGGAUUCAUUGAUUCACAAUGGACUGUUGGGCCAGCUUAUUACUAAAAUCCAUAUUAAAUGGAUUUCAAAUUGAACCAGUAUUAAACGAAUUGUUGGGCCAGCUUAUUGUUAAAGUUUUUCACUUAUAUUGUUACAAUAAAAUAUUUCAAAACAUCCGUAAAAAUAGUUAAUCCAAACAGAGACAUAGCUUUUUAUAUUACUUUAAUUAAAUUUUUUUUCUUUUUUCUUCUUUGGCUGCAAAAAUUACACACCACCAUAGGAAUAAUUCACUUAAUGAACUUCGGAGGUCUCUGACUAAAAAUAACGGAGCAAUCAUUGAUGGCAAUUUGGUAAUGGUAAUGAUGGCAUUUGACCAUGUUAUUAAUGGCACUUUAGAUCUAGCCUCAAAAAAUGCUGAUUCUAAACAUGAGGAUGGUUUCUUCGAAAAAGGUUGUCCUAUUUGUUCUCUUGCAACGGUAUCUGAAGACAAUCACUGUACGUAAGCAGAAAUGCCUAAUCCCUCCUUUCACUCAGUCCCUUCAUUUUUUCUUCAUUUCUCACUUGUUUUUUUUUUGAAUUUAUAGAAGAAGUGCCUUUUAAAUUUACAGAACAAGAAGAAGAUGAUGAAUGCGAGAGAAAAGAACCCUGUGGUCAUAGCACACUGUGCUUCCUAAUUUGCCUCUCCAUUAUGUCUAGUGAAUCACACAACGGUAGAAUCUGACAGAAUGACUCAGAAUCAAAUACAUACUUUAGAUAGUUUAGUAGCCAAAACCAAAUUGUUAAUAGUUCAGUGGCCAAAACUCAAUGAUUACAAAAGUUCAGUGGCUAAUGAGGUAAUUUGCUCGAAAAAUAAUGAUAGAAGCAGCGAAGGGUGAAAUUUCGAUGUUCAUGCCGCUGAGAAAGUUUUUGUAUGACUGAUUCCCUGGGAGUGGGAGAUUGCCAGAAGAUUCAAUAUCACUUGUGGUAGGGAAACCACAAUGAAGGCUCUCUGUCUUGGAGGUGUCUGAAGCAAAAAGUCCUGGGCAGAAAUGUGAAACAAAAUCUGAAUUGUGGGCUUGUGUUUGCGGCUGAUGACAAUAUUAUUGUCCACCGGAGUCUUCCGCCCAAACAAGGUGACCCUCCUAUUAUCCCUGCCUCAUUAUCUACUUCAUGUUUUGCUUUUGCUAACUCCCUUACCACUCAAAACGAGUUUUGGGUCGAGGGUGAGGUUAGGGCGAUAGAACUCGAGAAGGGGAUGGAGAAGACUGAAGCUUCUGUGGGCUGGAGCUUAGGAUUGCGGAUGCUGGAGUUGGGUUUGGGUUUUGCCUGCCAAUGAUCACCCCGAGUUGCUUAAUUUGGUAGAGAAAAAUCAGAACAUAGGAAUGGCCUGGAGGCAGGUUAACUCGUGCUAGCGACCUAAUUAAUAUUCAUAUGGGUAAAAUACAGUAAACGCAUCUGUGGUUAGGAAAAUAAAUACGAAACUCCCUCAUUGUUUAAAAACACUCAUUUAACCGCCCUUGCGCUUUAAACUUCUUUGGAUUGUACCUGCUAAUAGGUUGGGAAGCAGUAAUAAUAUACAAUACCAAAAAUACCCUCAUUUAUAAUAUCUCAAAAGGCACAGCUGUGAGACCCCGGUUAGUCCUUAAUUUUGAUAUUAUUUGAAUAAGGAGUAUUAUCGAUAUUUUGGUAUAAAAUUUGGUUUUAAGGUUGGUGGUAAUACUUUAAAAGGUUAUUUCGUCUAUAUACUAUGAAAACCCUAAUUUGGGUUAUUACUAAAACCCUAGUUUUUGUAAUGAAUUACAAGUUUGUGCUAUUAUAUUAAUAGGCAUGCUAAUAUAUGUUAUCGUGCAAGUAAGUAUAGGAUUCGAUUCUUUUAGCAAAGGUUAGGUAGGUUUGAGAGCUAGAAAACUCUAAAUUAGUCAAACCUCUAGUGUUACAAUCCAUUAGAAAACUUAAGUUGGGUUUAAAACCCUAAUUUUGCCAAUGUUAUAAAGGUUGUUGUUUCAUUGUUUUUAUUAUGGAGAAAGUAUGAUUAAGUAUAGGAGGUUAAGAUAGGAAGGUGAUUAGUGAAAUGAUUAAGUGUGACUAAGUAUUUUAGACUAGAUUAAGUGUAUGACCUAUGGAGUUAAUUGAAAGCUUUUCAUAUAAUUGUGGGCAAGAGUGUAAGAAACUUAAACUAAGGUUGUAAGGGCUUGGGAGCAAAUUGUAAUCUUUUAUGUGAUUGGUUGGGUGCAAAAUAUCCUUAGUGGUUGAUGACUCACCUUAACUCUAGAAUAUACAAGAGGAAUCAAGACAUAAAUGAAACCAUCACCAAGGGAAAAAGCAAGAGAAAGGGUCGAAAUUUUGAGAGCAAAAGAAAGGGAAAUUUCCUCCAAAGUUCAUCAAUUUUUAACCAUCCAUCUUGCUUUUGAAGCUUAGGGUAGCAACUUAAGCACUUGAUUGUUGUGGUUUGAUCAUCUACAAAGCUUAUUUGAACGUAUAUCAUCUUACUUGGAAGUUAAAUUUUGGGGUUUUAAUCUUGAAGCUAUGGAAGUGAUGCUUUUGUUGUGAUUAUGCAUUUUUAUGGGUUGUAUGAUGAUUAUGGAGUAGUUUUAUGGUUUAUUUUGAUAGUUAUAUUGCUGAUUUUGGUAAAGGCUAGGAGGAAAAGGUAGGGUUUCUUGAUUCAUGAUUCAUAGAGUUGGUUUGGUUGAAUUUUGACUUGUUAAUGGCAUCGUUGAUGUAUUAAUUUCACUUGUAUGGUUGGUAAGUAGCAAAUUCCAGAUUAGUCAUGAAACCCUAAUUCAAAGGAAAGUUAGUUUGGUUGGGUUAGGGCUUAAGUGAUUAGAGUUUGAUUGAUUAGGUGGUGAAACUAGUAAAGUUAGUAGGAUUAGCACCUAGAUUAUGGUUAGUAUUGGGUAAGUCUUGGGAUUAAAUUGGGAAAGGAAUUUUGGUUCACCUGUAGAGCAAAUAGGAGGUGAUUUAUGUGUGUUUAUUUGGUAUGAAUUUGCUAGGAAAACUUGCAUGAGAAUGGUAGAAACGAAUCAUGCAUUUGAGGCGCGCGGAAUCGUUCAAUCUGGAAACAGGGCAGCCCAGAAACCGAACUUUGGAUCCAUUGUUCUAUGUGCUACGUAUGGAUUCAGGGUUUGCCCAAAACAUAAAAGUUGUAGCUGCUAAAGUCCUUGUCGUGUCUGCAAAAUUUCAACCCAAUCUGAUCAGUGUAGCCUGAGUUAUGACCAAAAACCCCAAAUGGCUGUACAAACUUCUGGAUUUGGUGACGUUUCUUGAUUUUGCUUCUGACCAUGCUCAGUUCACCUUAACGUUUGAACUGGGUGUUGAGGUCUUCAUAAGACUUGUAGAUCUUUGUUUUAGUUUCAAAACAGUAUAAAUUUCUUCCAAAUCUGAGACCCGCAGCUCCAGUUAUACCCAAAAUAAGAUCGGGUGUCAGAACUGCCAUUGAAAUUGGGCAGUUCUGACAGGAACUUUGGACCCGUUUUUCACCCUGCUCUGUAUUGAUUCAGGUUUUGACCAAAACAUAAAAGUUUUAUCAUUAUGACAUAUCUUUCUAACACCUUUGGAAUUUCUUGAUUUGGAUUUGCGAGCUGUGAGUUAUGGUCCGGCAAACAGACCCUGUCCGUCACCCUAAAGUGCAAACUUCUGGUACUGUUUUCCAUAAUUUCGACCUGCUUCCAUUCAGAUCUAGAUUAAGGUGUCUUCAUGAAAAUUUUAACCCUUCCUCUUAGCUUCGCAAUGGUGUCUCAUACACUUUGAUCCGACAUUCCUAGCCUAACUUUUAAUCCAAACGGUUCGGGGUAGCAAAUCUGCCCUUUUCCGUUUCCCGUUUACCAAUUCCGCACGUGCUCAUGUGCCAAUUUUGCCGUUUUGCUUGCUUUAGGCAUGUUAGUAGCCGUUUGUGAUAUAAUGUGAUGCAAUCUUUUAUUUCAGACGGUGGUGAGCUAGACAGAGCCGAUGGGGCCUACUAGCUAUCACACACGAAGAGAUUUUCGCACUUGUGCUAGUUUUGUACUUUGUGUAAGUAUUCAGGCUGUUCCUAUGUGUUAGUUGCUUAUGUGUUUUGAUAUGUAUGAGAGGGUGCCUAGGUGAGGGUGUAUUUUAUCGCACUCGACCUAAACCCUAAUUUGCACACAUAUUUGUACAUGGCAUAUGUAUAUGAACUAUUUUGGAACUAAAACCCUUGAGCUUGUAGCUCGGGGUGACUUUUGGGUGAUUUUGUGAAGUUUGUGAGUUUGGGGCCCGAUCUCAAGACCUAGAUGGACUAUUCGAGCCGGUCAGGGUUUGGUCGAAAUCAGUCCAACCUAGUCUGAGGUCACCAAGUUUGUGAAUCCGGUUCACCGAGUAUGUGAACCAAGUUUGUGAACCAAGCUCAAUUUCGUUUGCUUGAGCCAUUUUGUGAGGUGACUGGCCAGUAUGGGGGAUAAGGUGUAUGGUGGGAGUAAGUGGAGUUCUACGGACCCUUAUUUGUGGUCUACGGAGUGUCGACAGGAGGUCACACAUGGCACAUGACGUGGCUUUGGAGCCAACCUGUAUCCUUAACUUGUGUUGUUACUUUUAUAGUUUCAAUUUGACAUCAUUGUGACGUAAUUGUUCGUAUUACUGUGAAACUUACAUUUUUACCCCUGUUUACUUACUAAGCAUCUAUCUUACCCCUUUUCCUUUGUUUUCCUUAACAGGGGCCGACGCGGGGAACUUUUGCCACUAUCACUAGUAUAGUUAGGCUUGGUUUGUGAUAGCCGAAGAACUAAGAUGUUUUCUUGUUUUAGUGACCUGUAUAAGGACCCCUCUUUGGGUCUACUUUCUAAUUUUGAUUACUAUCAUACGACGAUGUAGUGAUCUGGAUAUCUACUUUUGAGAAUGUAAAUAGAAAUCUUUUGGGGAUUGUAUAUUCUGAAUAGUGCUCUUUUGGUUUCUUUAGUUUUUAUUGUUUUGUAUUUUCAAGUCCUGGCGCGAGUUAGGCAGGCGUUCCGCCGAUACCCUUGGGUUCGCCCUUGGGAGAAGUGGGGGCAUCACAACAGCUGCAAUUAGUAGAUCUUGAGUGGUACUUCAGGUGUAGAGAGAGAAAGUGGAUGAAACCUUAAACCUAUAGCCAAGAUCUGCCGCAAUCACUAUCAUCUUCCGCGACAUCAAUAAACUAUAGAAUUGUCGUGUGUAUCUCACAAAUGAAAAAGGCAUUUCUGUGCAGAUUGAUUGAGAGUUACGAAGCAUCGAGCAUAGCGAUUAACAAGGUAAUCUCAUAUCUGAACCCUAACUUUACUUGUGUUGAUUGGUUUCAUGGUAGACGUUUGGUAGUAUAUUGUUGGAGAUAUUUCGAAACUUGGUAAAAGAAGUGAUAGCUUUGGCUUAGCCAAAAGUAUUGUCGACAAUCUUUAUCGAAAAAAUUUAUAAAAAAAAUUGCUAAGUAUGCAAAAAGGAGAAAAGAAUGGGUCUUUGCGGAGUAAUCUAGACUAUUGUGGUCAAUACUGGUAUUGAUUAUGUUUUUUAACCUUUUAGAUGAGUGUGUUAAUGUUGACUAUGCUUUUUUGAAACUACAAGUGUAUGAAAUAUUGCCUGUCGUUUUCGAUACAUCUGAAAAUUAAAUUAGUAAAUUUAUCUCUGUUACUUUGGUUUAGAUGUAUAAGAAUGGAAGAUAAUCUGUUUAAGAGUAUAGACAUAUACAUGCAUUAUGGUGGAAAUUUCAAAUGAAACUGAGAAUUAGAUACACCGGCGAACAAGUGAGGAUAUUUUGUGGAUGGGACCCUGAUGAAUUUUCUCCAUUUGACUUUCAAAAGAUGUAUGACACAAUUGAGUGUGGUGUAAGCAAUAUGAAUUUCUAGUACUCUAUCCCCUUUCAUGACCUUGAUGUUGGUGUUGUUACUAUUAAGGAUGAUGCCGACAUCGAGUUAUUGACAAUAUGUUAUGAAAGGCUUCCAGAAAUACACAUAUAUGCUGAGAAAGGGCCUGAACCCAUUGAAGUUGUGUCUUUGGAUGAAUAAUUAUUGUACAAGAAAGUGACUGGUGAUAGCUUACUUGCACUUCCAUUUCGUGAUAAUUGGCAAUUGGUGUGUUCAUAUUGGAUUAUCCGCAUUUGUUAAAGGCAGUGAUAACUUUGACGCUACAGUUAUUGGGAAUGAGUACAAUAAUGAUAUUUCACAUAUUAACUAUAGAAGAAAAGGCAUCUGUGAUGAAGUGUCAUCACAAAUGGAGUUGGAUCCAAUUUUUGUGGGACCACAUAGAGAGCAGAUACAUGAUUAAACUAAUAAAUCCAAGUGGAAGAAAACAAUAAAUGGUAAAAAAACUGAGUGGCAAAGAGUAAAAUUAACUGCAAGGAAGUUAGUCCAGCAGUUAGUUAAAGAGAAGGAAAAAGUUGAUACAACUACAGAGGUCUAGCAGUCUCCCACAAGAAAUUCAGCAGAAGAAACAACAUUUGGGAUAGAUCCAACAGAAGAAACAACUAAUUUGAGGGGAGAAAAAAUAGCUGAUGAAGGUGGAGAAAAAGAUGUUGUCAUACCAGACUAUUCAGAUCUCCCGGACUGGCUAAGAGAAGGACUAGAAUGGCCUGAAGAUGAUGAUAUAUUUGCAGGCUUAAAUGGUCAAGAAUCAACAUAGGCAUCUAUUAAUUUAGGAUCUGUAAAUUUUGUUAGAGUUGGUUUAGAGUAGCAACAAGAAAAUCAGCAAGCCAAAACUAGAAAACAAGCUGGUAUAGAUCAACAACAAGAAAAUCAGCACUCCUAAUCCAGAAAACAAACUAGUUCAGAGCAGCGGCAAUAACAUCAGCAAUCGAAAUCAAGAAAACAAGCAAAGAACCAGACCCGUGAAGAGGGGAGUCAACCAACACCAGGUGUGGAUGAUAGAUGCCGUGUCAAUGAGUAGGAAGAGAACUAGAAUGAGCCAGUAGAGGAUGAUGAAAAGCUAUUUGACAAUGGGAUAAGAUCUGAUAAAGAAAGCAUCCCUAUUUACAGUUACUUCAAUGAGAAGAAAAAGUUUAGGAAAGAGCACUUUGAACUAAAGGUCUGACAGAAAUUUACUAGCUUCUUUAAAUUUAGCAAGACUUUAGUGGAGUGGGAAAUUAGGGAGGGUAUAGGCACAAAUACAUCAGAAAUGAAGGCUCUCGAAUCACAAUUAAAUGUACGAAGGGGUGCAGUUGGAGAAUUCAUGCAUGCAGAAUCCAGAGAACAAAGACUUUUAUGAUGAGAGCACCAUUGUGCAGGGAGAGCACCAUUGUACAUCAGAAAUGAAGGCUCUCGAAUCACAACUAAAUGUGCGAAGGGGUGCAGUUGGAGAAUUCAUGCAUGCAGAAUCCAGAGAACAAAACUUUUAUGAUCAAAACUCUUAAGGGAGAGCACCAUUGUGGUAGAGAUUACAGCAAUAGACAUGCCACUUCAACAUAUCUAAGUGAAAAAUUUCAGGCCAAGGUGAGGGAUGAUCCUGGGUGCAGUACUCUUGGCAUAGUAAAUGAGACAAGAAGACUAUUUAUGUUAGACAUUAGUAGGAAGAAAACUGCUAGAACAAAGCAGUAAGCAUUAGAGGCACUUAGGGAAAAUGACAUGGAUCAAUAUCACAGGUUUUGGAAUUAUGUAGCCACUGUAAAAAAGUCCAAUCUUGAUACUCAUAUUUCACUGCAGAUUGAUAGGCAAGGUGUUGAGGAAAAAGCUACAUUUCAGAGGAUAUUCUAUGGAUUAGGUGGUCUAAAGAAUGGUUUCCUAGAAGGUUACAAACCUAUAAUAGGACUAGAUGGCUAUUUCCUGAAGAGUCCCUUUGGAGGUCAGCUGCUUACAGCCAUGGGUAAGAAUGCCAAUGAAAACAUGUUUCCUAUUUCCUUUGCUAUUGUUGAGGUAGAGAACUACGACAACUGGAGCUAGUUUUUGAGAGAAUUAAUCACCCAAAUUCGAGGAGGAAACAAAGAAGUGGCUUACACUUUCAUUUCGGAUAGGCAAAAGGGUCUUGUCUAUGCAAUUGAGGAGUUGUUCCUAGAACUAGAGCACAUGCCUGAAACACAUGUUCAAGAACUUCAAACAAAGAUUCAAGAAUCAAAACCCUAGAAACAUGUUCUAGGAAGUUGCUGCAGCAGCAAGCAUGCCCGAAUAUGAUACUGCCCUAUCAAAUCUUGAAAGGGCUGACCUAAAGAAAGGUGACAAACUAACAAUUGCAGAUGGUUCAAAUGGUUACCUCUAAAGCUUUGGUCCAAAGCCCACUUUAGUACUGCUUGUAGAAGUGACAUGUGCGUCAACAACAUUAGUGAUUUUUAGAACCAAAGGGUAUCCAAAUAGGGCUAAGAAGGUUGGUAACCAAACGAGAGGGCAUGCUGAAAUACGGUAGCACUUUAUGUCCAAACAUUCACGAGAAGUUAGAGAAACUAAAGAUAAAAGCAAGAAACUGUGUCGUGGUUUAUGGAGGAAAUAGGAAUUUGGAAGUUGAUGGCUAUGGAAUGACUAAUGUCAAUUUGGAUAUGAAGACGUGUACCUGUGGCCAUUUUCAACUUAGUGGAAUUCCAUGGGUGCAUGCGGCUACUUGCAUUCAAAGCAGAAAGUUGGAAUUCGAGCAAUUUGUUGAUGCUUAUUACUAUAGGGAAGCAUAUUUAAGGGCCUAUAACUUCACAAUUGGUCUUGUUCUUUCGAAACAGUUCUAGGUGGAUAGCAAAAUGCAGUAUUUGAACCCUCUAUUGGUAAAAAAACAGCCUGGUAGGCCAAAGAAGCAGAGGAAGAAGGGUCCAAAUGAACUUACAAAUUAGCAUAAAGCAAGCAGGAAGGGUCUGGCAGUCUACUGCCGGAGGUGUUUGAAAUCUAAACAUAACAUUAGAACCUGCAAAUUAGCAAUUCACCCUAUGUCCAAGCUUUACAAGAUCAUGUAACAUUCCAGAACCAAAUCAUUUUUCUAGUUUGUUUUGUUGCUGCUUAUACAUCCAGCCAUUUCGAUGUGAACUAUAGGCACCAAAACCUGGUCUAACAACUUCAAAUGCAACAUUCGUGGCUUCUGUAGCUUAGACUAGUGUCUCAAGUACUACUGCUACUACUAUCUCACAGGUACUAGUUCUCAAUUACCUAUUUUUGGAUGCUGUGAUCUGCUUGCAUACUAAGCAGUGCCACUUAUAAGUAGGAACCAAGUUAGCCUAUAAGUGGUACCAAUCAAGAAAGCUAGAGGAGUAGAUCUUCAAAGAAGAAGCAACCAGCUACAGGAAUGUCAAGAUUGUGACAUUGUGGCUCCAAGAGACCAAGAAAAUGAACUGUAGUUAUCUCUCUUUUGUUUGUUGAAUAUACUGGUUAUGUUAAUCACAUUGAUCCCUUCUGGGAUUGAAUUGUAAUAUUUUUGAAGCUAGAAAACUCAGUUUUUGGUUAUGUUUUGGUAGAUUGAUACCAUUAUGGUAUGGAUGUGGUAAUAUACUGCCUUUUUGUGGCAGUAUUGCUGGUGACCCUUUUUGGGAUUGGAUUAUAAUAUUUAUUCAAACUAGAAAACUCAAAAUUUUGGCCUUGUUACGGUAGACUGAUACCAUUGUGGUAUGGAUGCGGCAAUAUGCUAGUGAUAUCUUUGAAAUAGACUGGUGCUAUCUUUGUUAAAAAUGAUUUAAUUUGACAAGUUCAUUGCGGUGUAAUCUCAGGUCUUUCAAUUUUUUUGUCAUGUAUUUUUUAAAUGUCCUACAACAAAACAACAUAGCUUCAUUUGUUCAUCUUAAUUAAAAUCAGAAUGUCUACUUCAUUACAUGCAAUUGAAACUAGAUGUGGCAACAUAUUGGACAUAAAAAAAUCUACUAUUGUGCCCAACUCUCUCAUCUACUACACAUUUUUUACACUAAUUUGUCCUAAACAUUCAUCUCAUACAUAUAACAACCAGUGACAAAAGAGACACAACUACAAACACCAUCAUCAUCAUCUUCAUUAGCUCCAUCAUUGCUUCGACAUUGUGAAUCUUCGACUGUAGUGUCCCAUAAUGAUGUUAUAGUUAUUACUUUCUAUCCUUUGCCCAGAGAUGAAAAAUCUUUCCACCAUUGCAGAUCCAGUUGGUGAAACUCCUUCCAUGUAUGAACUUUGGCAGGAUGAUUCAUUAGCGUCUCCCUCUCUACUAAUUGGGUUGCAUCAUGUCCAAAAUGAACAAACACCAUUUUCACAUACAAAAUACAACAUAUCUUUUGAUAGUUUUUCAGAUUCCACUAUCUUAAUCUUUACUUUAUUCUUGCAGAAACAUCAUCGAUUUUGGUAUCUUAGGUCCCUUGAUCCACCGCCAAAGUUUUGGGAGCUUGACAUUUUCAGUUUCUCCCUUGAACAAAGCUAUGUUGUGCCCUCCAAAGCUGCGCUCUUACGAUUUUUGUCUUAAUUUUGUGUCUCUUUGUCCAAUUUUUCCAUUUGCAGAACAACAACUAUGGUGGGUUUCAUUUGUAAGAGACAUGGACAGCAAAAUGGGAAUGAAAACUAGUCGCUUUCAGUCACAUGCGGCCAUUAGGUCGCAUCAAUGUCACUUGCUAGCUUCCUAGCCGGUUAGCAGGUAAAAUCCAAAGAAGUCCAAAGCAUCGGGGGAGGGUUAAGUGGUGUUUUUAAAUAAUGAGAGGGUUUCAUGUUUAUUUCCCUAACCACAGGGGGAUUUACUGUAUUUUACCCUAUUGAUAUUGGUGGUCAAACUAGAAAGAGGUGGAAUUUGGGGCAGAACCCCUCUAAGAAUUUGUGUUUCUCCCUAGUGUCUCAAGAGGAAAUCAGGUCCUGCUUGAAUUCUAACCCAGCUGGUAGACCUAGUUUGGAAGAACUAUUCAGGUGAUUUGUUUAAGGGCCUUAAGCCAUUUGAAAAGGUGGUAGGGAAAAUCUUUGAGGGGUGCGUUUUUUAUGGAAAGGGCACCUACAAACUGGUGAAAAUUCUUGGCCACUGGUUUACCAGGCCAAGUAUGAGCCCAUCAAAAGCUCUGAUCACUAUGUGGCUUCGAAGGUAAUGGAGAAGGAGAAGUGAGUUGCUCCAGCAAUCAGCUGAGAUCAGUGUGGAUGCUAAUUCCCAUCCGUGUAUCAUCGGGUUUAUAAACGAAUUGGCAAGCGGUACAAGUUAUUGUGUCUCGAUGCCCUUAUUUGAUGAGGGUUCACUGAGGCUUCUUUCAAGGAAUUGAUGACAUGAUGGUUGACCCGAGGAUUGUAUUGCCCUUGUUCGGAUGGAAACCUUAAAAGGUCUUGGUUUCCUCCAUGAAAAUCAUAUGGUUCUCAAACGUGCCAGUCCAGACCAUAUUUUUUUUCUAUAGGAAUCCUUUAUGCAUUGCUUUGGGUCAUGAUGCAACUCUGUGUCAUGCUUGGAAUUCUGACAAUGCUAAAAAUUCAGUGAUAAAUUCAACGAUUGAUGAAUUCAGUCAUGCUUAGGAAGUCUAUGAUGCUGGGGAGGCUUAUUCCUCCAAGGCUGACAUAUGGCUCCCCAGAUUAACUGCUUUGGAGUUGGCCUAUCACCGCAUCCCUGUCAAGACAAGAGCAGGCUUAAUGGCUGUUAUACAUCAAUCAAAACAAUUGUUUGCCUACAGGACUGAAGCACCGCUUGUCUAGGGAGAAACGAGACAGUUCGCCAGCAAUUUCGGUCACGUUGUCAGCCUAUGCCUCCCUGAAAAUCUAGCACAAAGACCAUUAGCUAUCCAGCUGUUGGAACAUCCAUCUUGAGAAGUUGCACUAGUCUUGAAUGUUUCGAUAAGGUGCUUUAAGUAAUAUGGCCAUUUUGAAGCUUCUCCUCCCGAGUCUGCUUGAAGUAUUUCGUGUUUUCGACUUACUGUUUUUGAUGCUUAAAGGUGUUUAAGUAAUGUGGCAAGUUUGAAAAGUUUUCCUGCCUAUGCUAAAAUGAGAAAUUUCAUAUUUUCGGUAUACUGUUUUUUGUGCUCUCAAGUUUAUCUUGCUUACUUUUUGACAUCCUUUUGUGAAAUUUAAGUACUUAGAUUUUUUUUUACUUUUGGGUUAAUUAUUGACCUUUUGAAAUUGAGAAUGCUUGGAUGUUGGUGUUAUAACAAUUUUUUUUGGGCUGCUUCUUCUCAAAUUGUUACUUGGGAGCUUUAUUUUCCCCUGAUAAGAAAGAAGAUGAGGCAUCAACAAUUACUAUCCGUGGCAAACCAACAUUUAUUUGCAACAUGUCUUAGUAUAAUGAUGGAAUAUCUUAGUGCCUUUAGAAUCAUAUUGCAUUUGGUUAUGCAGGUAAAAUUUUCACAGGAAGGGGAAAAUUAAAAGUAGAAAUGCCUUUAAUAAUCAUUUCACCAGUCAAUAAUUCCUUCAGAAUGCCAAUUGACACUGGAUGUUGAAACUUUGAAUGCAUAAAACUACUUUAUUGAGAGGCAAUUGGUGACAUUGUGUUUACUGAAGUGAUUCUUUGCAGUGCUACAGAACGAAUGAACUAGUUAUAAAACCAAACCGCAUUGAUAGCCUCUACUCGUGUCCUACCUCGUGAGAGCUAGAUUUGCUAAUGCUUUGAAAAUUAAAGUUUUUUCACAUUUUUAUCAUUUUUGGCACUGACGGGCUAUGUUAUUGCAUCUGGAUAAUCCACCUAAUUCUACCCUAAAAUUCUAUGCAGUUGUGUUUUUCUUCUUCAUCUCCUCAAAUCUUUUUUCCUUUUUCCCCCCCUUUCGUCUCUGUUUUGAACUUAUGCCUCAUGGUAUGCCUAACUUGCGACCUUGAUAAUGAUAUGGCCUAUUUCUUAAUGUCAGUUUGCUGGCGCCUUCAAGCAAUCUCAAGUUCUCAAACAUUACUAAAAUCUUUUUAUUUGCUACAAGAUCAACACUAUGUGCAAGGAAAAAGUGGAAUAGGAUCAGAGAGUUUGUCCAAAAUUGUCUUAUUUCUGCAGCUCUUUUGCGGAAUAUCCCAUUCUGCUGGAGCAGCAGACCUUUUGGCAAAAAGUGCUUGUGGCUUCAAUGUUUUGGAGCAGUUAGUCUUUCCUAGUCCUUUUUUGCAAUAUCUGCUGGAUUUGAAUUCUACUUAACAUCCUCAAGAAAGAAGGACAACUUGUAGUUUCCUCUCUAGACAUGUAUUAUUGAGGUUGACGUUAGUGUGUUUUAGUUCUUUGAUGCUUGCUAAAUUGUGUGUUCAGUGCUUUGUACGGUUGUAUGACUUUCUUCAAGCAAUCUGUGCAUUGUUGUUUUCUCAUUCAGAAAACUUGCAAUCCUUAAUAGUUGUAAGAAAUGGAUUUUCUGUCUCCUGAUUUCAAUUAAAUAUGUAUGUAUGUAUAUCUAGUCUUUCAAAAUGGAGCUUCUGAAGUAUCAGCAUAUUUUACACUUGCAGACACUAAUUCUGGAAAAACUAGAGAUAAAUAUAUAGCGAGUCAGGAUUUGUUGUUUUUUCUUUCAUCCUUGUAGUCACUGUGCUGACAACUUCCAAAGUCUCAUGAAGAGCUUAUUGUUUCCUAAAUUAUCCAUUAUGUUUGACAAUUGGCAGUAGUUCAACUUGAGGAUAUGCUGGCUUCUAGCCACUCUGGUAUCUUCAGUGCUUUAGUCUAGAUAUAUAUUGAACUCUUGCUAACAUCCUGUAUAGCAACUUGUUAUAGCUUCAACUUGAUCCAUUUUUUUGACAUGCUGGCUUUCAGUGCAUGGAAACUUGAAUUUACUUGGUCUAAUUUUAUCAAAAGUUUGUCAGAGAAGUUUGUUUUGAGUAUCUUUUUAGUUGAUAUAGAAGACGUGCUAUGUUGAUGAAUGCACAUAAUCAGUUGCAUCGCUCGUAAAGAGCAUGCUUGGAGCAGGCUGAUGACUCCUGUUAGAAGUUUUUGGAACUAUAUAGAGUACAUACCUCAAAUAUGAUACUUGAUAUGUGCCCUCUUAAAGCUGUGAAGUCCUUGAAUGUUCCGUCUUCUGUGAAAGAUGUAUAUAUCAACAUCAUAAUAUCUUGACCAUGGUUCGAAGUCUCGGCCGAGACCGAGACGACUCGGCCGAGUCGUCACCGUCUCGGCCCCCACUGAUACGAUACCAUGACGAAACGAUACCGAGAUACUUGACUCGCCGAAAAAUCGGCCGAGACGUCACCGCGACGGAUUGACUCGGCCGAGUCACACCGAGUCACUCCGAGUUAUCCCGAGUCAAGAUGAGAAAUCAGUCGAGUUACACCGUGACGGAUUGACUCGGCCAUUUCUUUUGCUAUUUUUUAUUAUUUUUGUUUAGCAUACUAUUUUUAUAUUAUUAACAAUUUUUAGAAUAUUAAAUACUUUAAAAUUUGCGUUUCACCGAAACCGCAACCGAUAUGCCGAAACCGAUGUGGAACGUUCCGGGCCGCGACCGUGACCGUGACCGCGACUUUGAACCACGAUCUUGACUGUAGGUUAGCAUCUGGACUGUAGAUCUUGUAAGGUCCAAUCAUAGAAGAAGUGGUUUAUCACCUCGAUGAAGAUUUGGUCUUUAUAGCUAGUACCUUACACAACCCAAGGAGAAAGCCCAAUGGAAAAUCAUAGGGUUUUACCUAUAAAAACCUAAGUGUUGACAGUGACUGGAGAAAUGUAGCGUUCACUGUAAGUGUUACUUUUCUACCAGGAGAUGCCUGAUAAUGUGCAUUACUGACUUUGAGUGUGUUAUAUGUGCAUUUAUGAAUGUACACAUAAAAUUCCUUUAUUGUGUCAAAUAGUUCUUUAGCUACAAUUUCAGUGAGAAUCCCCUCCCAGACUUGGUGCAGAUGUUGUACAUUUCUUUCUGUGCAUGAUAUAUUUGGUUCAUUAAACUGCAAGACAUCUUAAUGUUUUUUGGCUUCUGAACUCGCAAUAAAUUGGCGUUAUGGUAACGAAUGGUUUAUGAAUCUAUUCAAAUUAAUCAGCAUGUUUUGUUGUGGCUCACAUUCAUAAUUCAACAAGAUACCACUAGGGGUGUCCUGGCAUGUAGCUCACACCAUCAGGGUGACACAGCCGAGCAUUAUUUCUCAAAUUUUGUAGUUAAUGCGAGACUGCUCAAUCUCAAAUGGUUCAAUAUAAUUGAGCAUAAUAUUAAUGUGUGGAAUGGUAUGAUGAAAGUGGUUACUUAGAUUUGUAUUUUUGACUAGUGCACUUUAAGUUUUCAGUCUAUACCUUUUGCUUAUGCUUACAAUUUUCUUCCAGCUUCACAAUGUUCUGACUUCUGGACCUUUACGUUUCUAAAUGUUUAACCAAAAACUGAUGCAUAGAUUGAACUCUUUUUCCUAAUCCUCUUGUUCCACCGUGUAUUUUAGAUCCUUGCACUAAUUCAUAUUUUGCAAGAUCUCUACAUAUUCUUUGCUUAGAAUUUUUUUCUUCCUGAAGCUCAAAAGUUUUGGACAUGAUUUGGUAGGUCAAUGGAUGCAACAUAAAUGAACACUGUAUUACACAGGAAGACAUCCCCAAGGCGUUCCGCCCUGGAAAUUCAAAGAUGUCUCCUUGAGUGAGAUUCACAUUAAAGGCAUCGAACACUGUUCCCCUUUCAUGUGACCAGUCGUAGCAUCCAUGGGAAGGCAUUGGGAGAAUGCAGAACUGACAAAAAUAUCAAGCAAAAGACUAACAUUAUUGUAGGAAGCCAUGUUGUGAAUUUGCUAGAGGGUAGCCAAAAGUGCUUAUUAGCUUCCUGGUUGCUAGGAAUUAGGUAAGUUGGUAUAUUUACAGAAGCCCCUUAUGCACGGCGUUGGGGCAACUUUUCAAAUAUGGCUGCCAAUUAACGGAGGUUGUGUUGGAUGCAUUGAUUGUAUCUCGUUACAUAUUUGUUUGGCAUGUGCUUAAUGUCGUGCAAGUUAUCAAAUAAGCAGUCGAUUGACACUUUUUUCUUCAUUUAGCUAAGUCUGUAUCUCAUUGCAUCAUGAUUUAAAAUGACACUUGAUCCUUCAUUUGGAUUGAGUCGAUCGUGAGAUUUAACUCCUUUUUGAAUUUGAAGCUGUCAAUUCUCUAGUUUGCCAUUCUUGAUCAGAAAAAGUAAUAUGAUGAUAUGAAAUAUAACCAGUUGCAUCACUUACGUGGUCAUUAACUCUGACUUUUUUGUCUCAACACUGGUUAAGUCGAGCAAGUAAACUCAAUUGCUAAGAAGUCGCAUGCAUUUAUCUGAUAAAAUUGAAGAUGACAGCUUCGAUCUUUUCUUAUUGUUUUCUGUAGUAAAUUAUACUUCUUUUUAGUUUUAUAAUUUUGAAGAAUACUGUUUAUAAUUAUGUUUACAAUUAUAUUUCUUCAAAAAACUCAAUAGCGCCAGAAACUAAUUAGGAAAAUUCAAUGGGCUUGCAAUGCUUCAGUUUUUCUUCUUGUUUUUGGUUGAAACAUAAAGCAUUCUACUUGAGUUGUGUGAUUUUAUCUUAGGUUUUGGGGUUGAGGGAUAAAAGAGGAAGACUAUUAUAUUUUGGUUUUAAAAAACUUUGUAAACUAAUAGCUACUUGUGUGUAUAUUAUGGCAUCAUUUACAAGAAGUUUUGUGUUAAUACAGUAACAGUAGUAGUAUGCAACUUGCUUAGAUUAAAGCUGGCAAUAGUUCGGUAGAGAACUAAGAUAGUUGCUAAUCUGGAUUUUUAUUAAUUUCAAUGCAAUUGUUCAGUUUUGUUGGUACACUUGCACCAUUAAGAUUAAGUUAAUUUAGUAUUCCUACUUUUCAUGAUUUACUUGUGAAAAGUCAUUCAAAAUAGAAAAUAUGAAACCAUAUAUCAAAUUUCAAGAAUCAUAAGAAUCACAAGGAUUGCCCAAAUUAACAUUUGAGCUAACCUUUACUAAGUUGAUGAACCAUAGAAAAUUAAUUGUAACUUGUUUUUUUUUUGGAUUAAUUUUUCUUACACUAUCCGUGUAUAUACUUACAAACCUAUAUACAUGUCGCAUUAUUUCAAUUUGAAUUUAAAUACUGAAUUUUUGUAUACGUGACCUGCAUCUAAAUGCGUUAAUGUAUACAUUCAUCUAAAUGCAUUAAUGUAUACAUUGACCAUGCGUAAAAGAUGUUAAUGUACAAACGGACAAUUUAUAAAUAUUCCUAUACUUGUCAAGCAUUUACAAUGAUAUAAUGACAGUACUUAUCAGUUUACAAUGAGAUAAGAUACGUUGAAUUUGAACGAAUCUAAAUUAGUAAGUAAUCUAAUCCAAAUCUGAAUUGACCACUAAUUUGAAAAUUCAAAAGAUAUUUACAAAUGUCUUUAACUCAGUCCAACAAGAGUACGGUAGAGCAAAUAGAAUGGUGGAAUGAUCCACCUGAUUUUGAACCACUAAACUUGCUGGAUAAUUCAUUUGCAAGUUGAUGCAUCAAAUCCUGCUUUGAUGUCAUAAAGAAACCAAGAAAAGAAAAAAGGUUCAAUAGCAGUAUAGCACUCGUGGGAUUGCUGUUUGAAAUUUAAGUUAGAUUAGUAUUGCAAUUGUCAAAAGUCAAUUUGGGUAGCAAAACCUCAGAGGAAAUGAUUUCGUGUCCUUUUUUGUUUGUUCCAAAUUAAUCUUAAACGAGAGGUUCUGUUGUUAACUUGUUAAGGAUGUGAUCAUGCAUCGUGGCUCCAUAGUCAUCUAGAGGAAGAAGUGAUACAAAUUAUCAAAAGGGGUAAUUAAAAUUCAAGCUUUUUCUUGUGUUUCAGGCUUUGAAAAUUUUACCCUAAUGAUAAUAAUUAGGCAAUAAGAAAAGCUAAUACAGUAAUUAACAGCAAAGUCAAAUGCUGUAACGUGCUUUAUUGGCAACCCUUUGGAUUUUAUCAGUUCAAAACCAAUUACAUUUGGCAUGACAGGAUUUGUAUACUAGUUCUUAAUUUAUACACCCUCAAUUAUGGCCAAAGAAGAAAAAGGUGUACACUUCAAUAUUUGGUCAAAAAAUGGCCAACCUUAGUAAUUGCUAAAUGCCAACAGCCUCUUGGGUUGUUGGUACCACCGUCUUGAUGGGAUGAACCCUUGUCUUCCACCGUGCCACUUAAUUAUGGCUGUCACUUAAUUGAGCUUCCUCCGAUGGGAAAAUCCUGACAAAAAAAAGAGUAAUUGCUAAAUGUCUAAACUAGAUGUGCCUCUGAAUUUUUGUUCUUCAAAUAUUUCUGCUGAAUCAGAUAUUCAAUGCAAAAAAUCACCCAUCAAGAUCAUCUUUAAAUACAUCCCCCAUAUUUGAUCUCUUGCAAACAUACUUCUUUUAAUAUAAAUUUUAGUAACUAACUACAAAAAAGUAUCCUUUGUCUGCCCUAGCCGAAAAAACACAUAGUCUCCUUAAAUGUUAUUAUCAACCUGAUUAAACAAUUAUUUUUGUAUUUAAAUAAUUUCCUUAUUCAAGAUUUAUAGGUUUUAUAUAUUUCAGCCAUAAAAUAGGUAUUGAUGAUUUCAGAAAUUUGAAGUUUCUCAUAAUAUCACUUAACACCUCUAAAGUUUAAAAUAUUUUCAUAAAUUAUUAUUGCUAAUUUAUUAUAAGUUUUACAUUAAACUUGAAAGUUCGUGCAUAUACUCUCAUAGCUUAUAGGUUUUGAGCGUCGAGCACUUUUGAAAGAAAGGAUUGCUUUACAGGUACGUAAUCCAAAAACAAUAGGAUUUGAAACUUAGAAAGUUGAUAAGAAGGUAUUAUAUAAUUAUAAGGUACCUGUCAUGGUGCGAUACGUUGCUCUACUGUCCAUCAUGUUCAACCAAAUAAAUAAAGUAAUUCUAUCAUGUUUAGCAAGGGCGGAACUAAGGCGAUGGGGAGUGGCCUCGUCCCCCAAGUUUUAUAAAAUUUAAUUUUUUUCCUGUAAAAUUAAAAUUUAUAAAAAUACUUUUUAUAAAUUUAAGCUCUCACCCUUGCAAAAACCUAAAACAUUUUAGUUUACAUGUUAAAGUUUAGGUAUCCUAAAGGUUGCCCCCUCAAAUUAUAUUUUCUGGUUUUGUCUAUAACGUUUAGUACCUACUAGACAAAUUAAUAAUUCUAUUUUUUCAUUGUCAAACCACCUAUCUCAAAAUUAACAAAAUAAAAACUCUUUCACUUUCACUCAUGUGGACCACAUUGAAUAUAUUCCGUCAUAAAGAAGGCAUGAGGGUCGUCCACAAGUGCAGGUCCAAUUGUACAUCUGCAAUACACGACAUGGAAUGUACCUAUCUUUGAAUUCCAUAACCGUAGUUAGAUUUUAUAAAACAAAUCUUCGAUAAGAAGAAAAUCAUGUGUACACGCACAUGUGUAAAGAAGUGAUAAACCAUUGGAGUUUACCUAGUGAUCAAGAGAAUACUCUUAGAAUCUUUUUCCACUGUCAAGUUCAGGAUUCAAAUUUCAUGCUUGGUAGUUGGAGGUAGGAAGUAUGUAAAGAAGUGAUAUAUUUUGAUAAUAGGUACUGUGGAUUUUGAUUGCAAGUUAUUCAAGAAAAACUUUUAGAAUAUUUCCUAGACAUGUUUCUCAUUUACCUGUUUACAUUGUAUAGAUUACAUCACUAAAAUGUAUUUUUCUACAAAUUCUCCCAUCCAAAUAGAUCCAGUUCUUGAUUUUUUCAAAACUAAACAAAAAUUUGUAUUGCUCAGAAUCGAUGAUGGAAGAAGCUUGAGUAAUAGAAGAACAAGUGGAGAAUGGAAACAAGGGUAGAAAUGAAAGUUUGAACAUCAUUGAAUGGUCAUAGACUGAAAGCUGUCGUGGCUUAAAUUUGAAGUCCCGGGAGGGGAAAGGAGAAUUUGAAGUUCAUGAAUUGAGAUCUUGAUUUCAAAUCUCUCUAUUUUUCCCGCUUUUACGGCCCCACAAAUUUUCCCUGCUGAAGAAAAAAAGAGAGGGGAUUAGUGUUUGUAAGCCUAAACAUUUAUUAUGCUUGUCUUCAAGCACUUUGAUAUAUAUGAACAUCGUACUCAACGAUUGCCAUCGAAGAUUCCCCUCAGCCAAUAAGUACAGAAAUGAGUGAUCGUCUUUUUCUGCGUUUUAGGUGCCUUUCUAUUUCCAUUUCCCACUCGGCCAAUAAGAAUAGAAAUGAGUGAUCAUCUUUUUCAGAGCUUUAGUUGCCUUUUGAUUUCCUUCCACGAUAGUUGGGACCUCUUGGCUACAACCUUACAAAGGAACCUUGUGAAGGGGAAGAAAAAAACAGGAAAGGAACCUUGUGAAGCCCUAGUCGUUUCUGCUACUGCUUUUAUUCUCGCACGAUAUUUAUUCUCUUGGUCGAGAACGUAGCAAUAGAUACUGUUCAAUUAUGUCUCAGCAUAAGAGGAUAAUUUUAGAAACCUCCUCUAAGGUUUCUGACAAUUUUAUUUAGCACCCUCAAAUUUUAAAAAUUUUCACUUGUCUCUCUAACUAUAAGUUUUUUUGUAUCAUUUACGACCAUUUUAAAAUAUAAUAUUAAAAAUUUAUUUUGGGGUGAGAGAAUACAAUUUCAUUCCAAACUUGCCCAUUUUCUUGUGAUUUCUUGAUUGUCAAAAUACACCAAAUUUUUUCUCUUAAUUUUUGUAAAUUGAUCGAUAAAAAUUUAAAAAUUGAUAACAAUAUCAGAAAAUUCUUUAAUAGUUUUUGCAUCAUUGUUUUGAACAAGAAAUGUUAAAUUACUUAAAAUUAUGAAUAAUUUACAAUACUCUUAAAAAUAACUUGAAAUAAUUUACAGUCACAAUAUUACAACCAUAAUAAUACCAUUUUGUACUAGCUUAAAAAUAAUACAAACAAAUUUUAUAUAUAAGUUUUAGCAUCUUGUAUCUUUUAGUUUUUAAACCAUCAAUUUAGAAAAAAAAAUUAGAAAAUUGAAAAAAAUGUAAAUGAUUUAUGAAACUUCUUAAAUUUACUCAAAACACUUUACAAUAAAAAAAUACACUAUGGGCCCGUUUGGAAUGUGAGUUUUUUGGGUGUUUGUAUAAAAUUUUAGUGUAAAUCACUGUAGAAGUUGUAGAAAAACUUUGUAAGAUGAAAUUUUUUUUCCUUUUCAUUUUCUUUCUUUUUUUUCUUUUUUCUUUUUUUCUUUUUUUUCUUUUUUUUCUUUUUUUUCUUUUUUUUCUUUUUUCUUUUUUUUCUUUCUUUCUUUUUUCUUUUCCUUCCUCCCUUUCCACUUUUUUUCUCUUCCCCUCUGCCUCCCCCGCCACCCCUCCCCUCCCCCUCUCCUCCUCUCCCCUGGCAGUCAAAUUGGAUUAUGAUCACGAUGGAAGAUUAGAAUUAAAAAGAAAGAAAGGAAUAAGAAAUGAUGAUCCCAGCUCCAGGGACAAAAAAGUGAGGGAAGAUUAGUUUGCGGUCAGAGGAAGAAGGAAAUGGGUCCCCAUGCUUUCGCCGGUUUUCGCCGCAUCCGUACUUACGCUCCCCCACCGGCCCACCGCCCGACUGCCAGUGCUUCAGUCAUGUGCACGCGCAACUCCCUUUUUUCUCCUUGGAACUGCCCACCCAUUGUCGCUUCUUUAGGUGGACAUCCCCAUUAAUUCCUUCUACUGCUCUUGCUCUUUAUAUUUUGCCCAUUCCACCCUCCCCCUCCAGAUCGCAGCCCCUCUCCCUCCCCCACUUUCCGAUCUGGUCAUGCGGUUGCGAUCUGGUCGCGCGACCAGAUCGCUGCUAGCGAGAGGGGGAGGGUGCCGGGGGAGGCCGAGGCGAAGAGGGGAAGAGGAGGGAGAAAGAAAAAAAAAAAGAAAAAAAGAAAAAGAGCACCAACAGAUCGGUUAAAGGGGAGGGGAGAGGGGGUAAGGGAGAGAAAAAAAAAAAGUUUGGCCGGAACUGGCCGCCGGAAUAGUGAUUGGCACCGGAAGUGGUGGUGGUGGUGGCCGCCGGCGACGGAGUAUGUGGUGGGUUGGGUUGGGGAGGAAAAAGAAGAAAAGUUGAAGGGAAAGUUUUUUUGUGUAUUUUUGAAGUGUGUAGGUUAAAAACUUUGAUAAGUUUUUUGGGUUCCUGUAGCAAAAGUUGUUAAAAAACUAGUAUUAUAUAAACUUGGUAAAAACUUGAGGUUCCAAACAGGCCCUAUAUUCUGUACAAUAAGAAUAAGUCUUCAAACUUUUUGUUUUUAUUUGUUAUUAAUAUACUCAAGUUUUUGUAAUAAAAAAUAAGAUAAUAAAACUGCAAAUUUGGAACGAGAUUAUAUUUACUCUCUCAAAAUGAAUUUUUUAAUAUUAUAUUUUCAAAUGGAUUGUAAAUGAUACAAAAAAAAUUUAAAGUAAGAGAGGCAAGUGAGAUUUUUCAAAAUUCAAAGGUGCUAAGUGAAAUUGUCAAGGUUUCUAAAAUUAUCCCCAAUAUUAAUAAGGAAUACUUGGUACUGCAAAAGAAGCAAUUAAGUAUACCUUUUAUGCAAUUAACCUACAGCAGUUUUGUUUUUUUUUUUUUUUUUGUGCCUUGAAUUUUCUUUUUUUUAUAAUCAACAGAGAUAUCCACAUUUUCUUGAAAACCUUGAAGCCAUUUCAAUGCAUAUGGUGGAUGAGAAAGGAUACACCAAUUGGUUCAGUGAUACAAUAGUAUGUACCUACAGUUGUCAACAGACAUACAAUUGGUUCGGAUUAACUCUACUUGCACUUUUAAACUUGUAUCACUUUUUCACUUUGCACCAUGAACUUCAAUUUUGAACACUUUACACCCUAAACUCUUAAUUUCAAGCACUUUGUACCCUAAAUUCUUAAAUUUAUUUCAUUUAAUUUCAAUCAAUUAUUAUAUUCAUAAAAUUAAUGAGAUAAAGGGAGGUAAAAAUUAAUGUCAAUGUACUUUUGUUAUUAUAUUCUUAAAUUUGUUAUUGUAGUUUAUCAUGAUUUUCUUCAGGAAAAGACUUAAACCCACCUGCAAAGACUUAAACCCCACCUGCACUAGGGUACAACAAACAAAGGUGAGUUGGAUAUACUUCCGUAUGACUUCAGAACUCAUUUACACAAUGCGAUUUUGAUGCAGCAAUAAGAAAUUAUAUCAAACUUGAAAUCAGUCAUCAUUUGGGGUUCUAUAAAUACCAUCAUCCCUGUCAGUUAUGGACACAUUCCUGCCUAGCUACUUUUAGUUUCAGCCAAACUACAUAUUCAUACCUAGCUCAACUGAAAUUAAAGUUUCCAUGGCAUACCAGAGCGCCUACAAUAUGAAUUACCAGAUACUACUAUGCUUGAUACUCUUCUCCCUAGUCCUUCUCCUGCCACUGCCAUCCCAUUCUGCUGAUCCAAGCCCAUUGCAAGAUUUCUGCGUUGCAGAUCUUGAUUCCUCUUUAUACAUUAAUGGCUUUCCGUGCAAAAACCCUGAUAACGUAUCUUCACAAGACUUCUUCGCCAAUGGGUUCCAACAAAGUCCAGGAGAAUUCAAUAUUUUUGACGUCAAUGUCACUCGUCAAGAUGUGCAUCGAUUUCCAGGACUCAACACUCUAGGGCUGUCAAUGAACCGAGUGGUUUUGAAGCCUGGAGGGCUGAAUGCACCCCACGUCCACCCUCUUGCAUCCGAGCUGGCUCUAGUCAUGGAUGGAAAAAUAUUUGUAGGCUGGGUGACAACCGGAAACGUUUUCUACUGGAAAAUUUUGACUUCAGGAGAGUUGUUUGUGAUUCCGCCUGGGCUAGUGCACUUCCAACUGAAUAUUGGACACGAGAACGCACGCUUCUUCGCCUCGUUCAACAGUCAAAAUCCAGGGAUUCAGUUCGCCCCCCUUGCUCUUUUUAACUCCACGCCUUCGAUUCCUGAUCUCGUGUUGAGUAAAGCAUUUCAAGUAAAUCAAAGUAUCAUUGAGCUCAUUAAGUCUAGGUUUGCAACUGUGUCGACUGUGUCGACCGUGCUUAAGUCAUCUUACUAACGUCCAAUUCCCGGGUGUUGUUCAUUAUUGUUGGCAUACUAAAUAAUAAAAACUUCUAUAUUAUUGUUUAAUUGUAUUUUGGUCAAGUUAAUUUUUAGUAGUUUUAUUGGCAUCAAAUUGGGAUAGUGUUACGAUUUAGAAACUAGUAUUGUAUUAAGUAAUUUCUUAUGGUUGUCAGUAGUCAUGAUAUGUAUUUAGUUGGAACAAUAAAAGUUUGAGUCUUGUUAUUGAUAUUAGUCCUCUUCAUGUAAAUUAGCCUCCAUAUAUAUAUAUAUAUUGGUUUUGUGAAAGUUAUCUCCUAUAAUUUUUCUUGGGUAUAAUUAUUAGGCUCUACAUCUGGUAUCGAAUCCUAUUUUCAUGAAAUUAAUCUUUGGGUGAGUUGUCAGAGUUCGGACACAAGAUUUGCCGGGACUGUUCAAUUGAUCACAUAAUACAGAUUUUGUAUAUAGUAGUGAGUAGGGUCGAAUCCACAGGGACUGGAGAGAAAUUUCUUUCUUUCCAAGUCAAUAGAACAAAAUUGGGAGAUAUUCAAUGGAAUGAAAGUGAAAAUAAAAUAAAUAAAAUUUAAAAGCUAACUCACCAAGUGCAAUUUACUAAAACUAAUAAUUAAUAAAAUUCUACUCAAAGGAUCAACUACUCAGGUACGGUCCAAUUAAAUGAUCAUCGAUGCAAAGAUAUUUCAUCCAUUCAUCACUAGGUUGGUUAUAGUUAUCAACAAACUCUGACAACCAGUUCUUCUUUACUUUUUCGACAGUCAAGGUACGACCAUUGACUGCUUCUCUAACCAGAUAAUAACCCUAGAUACGACCGUAGGAAUUUAAUUACCCAAUUGCAUUAAAGUUAGAAGAACCCAACCCUAACUAAUAAACACGCUAAGAGGGUUUAUUUAAACUAGAUCUUACGUUUCCCCAACAUAAAGCCAAUUAUGGUGGUUGUCACUAGGUAUCAACUAAACGAACAAUUACGAAUUCAAUUUAGUUAAUGUGACAGUAGGCUAAUAAAUUAAAUCAAAUACCCGGCCGUUGAUGUUCAAUUAAUAAAAUACCCAUGAACAAUUAAUUCAGGAAACGCACGAAUAGCAACAAAUUAGAAGAAAUAAUGAAGAUUCGAUUAGAUCUCACAAAUAUUAUGGACCGCGCUUUCGCGUCAACCUUUGGGUAGAGGAGAGAAUUAGCCGCUCCUCAUCAUGUCAAGCUCGUGUGAUUUGAUUAAUAUCAUCCACACAAUUGCCCAGAAAUUAAUUGUCGAGGAAUUGGGGAAGGUGAAUUAAUCGAAAUAAUAACAAAGGGAAACCUGGCUUCGUCUUCGUAUUGGAGCCGCAAUUACAAAGCAAAAGGCUUUUCUAAUUGCUGCCGAGAAGAAAAAGGGAAAAAGCGUCUGACGGUGAAAAGAAAACAAAAGCUAGCCUAAUUGAUUGCUACCCAAAAAGAAAAGCAAAACGUCUGACAGAUCUCGCAAAAGAAAACUAAAACUAAGGUAUUGAUAUCACGUGAAUCUCGCUUCUUCUUAUUUGUAGCGCUGCCAGUAGUAAAGCAUUAGGAACAAGGCUUUUUGUCCCAAGGCUCUGAUCUCACGCAUCUAGUCCACGUAGACCGGGUUUCUUAAUUGGGUCUCCUGCUAUUGGUCCCACGGAUCCGGCUUUUCGGCAACAUCUACCUUUUCUGGCGUGGGCACGCCCUGAGAUGAAGGGUCUUCUGGAAAUUUGCCUCAAGAAAUUACUUUUAACGCCAGUCAUCUAUAACUCAUACAAAUAUGAAAUAUGAGCAAAAUCUCAAUACUUAGCACAAUAAGUAGCCAAAAUUUGGAUAAAAUAACAGUGCAAAAUAUGCCAAAUAACUGCUCUAUCAAAUCCCCCCACACCUAGACAAUGCUUGCCCUCAAGCAUUUCGGAGCUCAGAAGUACAACCAAGAGAGCAGAGGUCAUGCAGUAAUUUAUACUAACACAGGCACCCCGCGACCCCGACAAGGUCGUCGAAAUGAGAAUGUACUGGACAGGCAAUUUAACUACAGAAUGUGCUCAGUAAGACUCAUCAGUAUCAAGAGAAUGUAUAAAUACUGGGAACUCUCAAAUCAACAUCGCGGAAUGCCAUUACCAUAGGCUUGCACAUUUAUCAAAUCUCCAUCACUCAAAAUUGAACUAGAUACACUAAUCAAAGAGACUUUCAUAGGGUUGUAAUAGGGUUGGGCAAAAGGUGGGAUAAAUGGUACAGGUAAGGUGUAAUGUAUCAAGAAGAUGCCCGAUAUUCACUUCCCAACCACAAAGCUUCACCAGGGAAUUUCACAAGCAAGGCAUUUCCAUUUGCUAUACCUACUGUGCAAGGGAUGACUUUCACUUUUUUUUUUUUUUUUUUUAGGGAAACCUUUGCAAGGCGUGGGCAUGCCUUGAGAGCCAGAGUCGGCUGUUCACCAUUUUGCUAACAAUGUCCCCCCCCUUUUUUUUGAUUUUUUUUUCUUUUGCUUUGCUUCUGAUCCCAGAUGCACAGAAACAACACCAUACAACAUCAAAUCUGCCAACCAACACUUGCUACCAUUGAUUCCCUCGCCUUGAAUAAGCAAUGAGUUUCAGGCAUCUCUUAACAACACAAGGAAGUCUAAGAAAGGUCUCGGGGUUUCAAACAUGGUUGACAAACAAAAAGAUGGAUAAAGGCUCAAAUUGGUUCACUAUUGGGAGAUAAGAUGAGGGUGUGGUUUGUAGAUAGCUAAAGAAGGUUAAAUCCUAAAUGCCCUUAUCAUUUCAAAUGCAUCUAAUUCAACAAAAUGUGGUCUCGACAUGUAUAAAAUAGCAAGUUCUAGAAUGCCAAUACCAUGUGUGAUACCCACUCAAUCAAACAAAACUAGAGCAAACAAGAAUAAUAUGCUCAUAUAUGGCUCAAAAGCUCUCAAAAGUUUCAAGAACGGGUAAAAUCCAGCAUAUUCAACAUCUCUUAACAACACUGUCAAGGGAAAACAAAAUGCACAGCUAGUAUAUUUAACCACACACCCAUGCACUGUGAUUGUAUAAUUCAUCAUAGCAAACAGAAAGUCAACUAACUACCCCUUUUUUUUCUCCAUUUUUUCUUCUUCUUUUUUUCUUUUCUUUUUUUUUCAUUUCUUAUUGUUCCCAUUUUUUUUUUUUUUGAAUAAAAGGAAACAAUGGAAGUAGACAGAAAUAAUAGCAACCAUCCCCCCCCACACCUAAAAUCGACAUUGUUCUCAAUGUAUAAAUGACAAAUGAAGUAGUAGGUGAUAAGGAGAGAAACUUUCCUGACCACUGAGAGGGAGCACCGAGACACUAAGGUGGAGGAGGAUGAGGCGGGGUGAAUCCGAUGUGAGCGAAGAAGGUCGCUUGAUUCUCUGCCUGAAUACGGGCGAAGACCUGUAGCGCUGCAAGACGGCCAUCUAAUCUCGCCACCUGGGUGCCUAGCUCAUCGAAGGAAUCCUGGAGGUUUUGGUAACGGGAUUCCCAAACGGGAGGAGUCUGAUAGGAGAACGGACCCGCCUGAUCCAGAUGGGGUGGAAACCCAGUGGAGGAAACAGUCAGAGGCACCCGGGGCCGUGGCUCGCCCUCGCCAGGGGGUGUCAUCUGGUAUACAUCUUCCACUUUGAAAAUGACCCCCAUCCUCUCUAAGCUACGUAGAUCCAAUGGCUCAAUUUCCCGGGCAAGAGUGAACUGGUGCUCCUGAUCGAGGUCAAGCAAUCCCAAUUGAACGGCUAAGUGAGUAAUGAGUGAACCCAUAAUCAUCGGCUUAUGCCGCUUCUGAACGACGGACUGCAUUUGAGUGGCAGCCCAACACCCAAAAUUAACCUGCACCUUGUUGCGCAUGCACCAAAGAAAGUAGAACUCCGCCUUGGUAAGGGUGCCGGAGGAGUCCUUUCGGCCCCAGAAGUUAUAAGCCAAAAAUCUGUGAAUAACCUUUAAGACCAGGUCCUUAAGAUAAGAGGCCUUAGAUUGACUCGGAUCAUAGAGUUGGCGGUUUGUGGACCAUUCCCUCUAUAUGCCAAUGUAUUCACUAGAAAAGAGCCGGGUGUAAUCACAGGCACUGUUGAUGUACGUCCCUGAGGAAAGAGUAUCCUCAAUGACAAACCCCAAAGUCAAAUUGAAGGCAUUAAUGGACAUAUCCUGCGGGGUACCCCUUAAUCUAAAUGUAAUUACCCCUGGCUCAUCCAAAGUGAUGAAUUCGUUUGUCUUGAACUCAAAGAUGGAGUAGAAUUCAUAACACAACUCCUCAAAUGUAGGGUAGUCAAUGGUCAAGUAUCUUUGCCAACCAAUUGCCGAGAACAACUGUUCAACCUCUCGGGCAAUCUGCAAAUGAUCUAGGGUGGGGGCAUGGAAACACUUACAAGGGGCAAAAGGACGCGGCAAUAAGCUAGUUAAUCGGUCCUUUUGUGCCUGUGUAAGGUCAGUAAUAGGCUCCCCCCAUUCCCUAGGAGAUAUAGUGGGCUUGUUGAGACCCAACCGGGACCGACUAGGAGGUUGGAGUGGGGCUCGCCUCUAAUGAGGUUGGGACCCCGAUGGCCCAGCAGUUGUUGCCUUUUUCGGAGGCAUUCGGAGGCCACAGACAUGGUGUAAUCAGCACAGAAACAGCCAGUCAACAAACAAAGGGAGAUAGGGGACCACAGGCGAUAAGUGAUGCUCAACAGUCAAUAUUCCAGCACAGAGAGACACAAAUAUUCCCCCCGAAACAACGACAAGCUGACAAACACCAAAAAUACCCCACUCGCGUCACGUGCCCGACACAAAUCGAGAGAACCAAUUCAACACCUUACACAAGAAGUUAUCAGGCAAUUAUGUCCAGCAAAGGGGAAACCACUAGCCACGUGUAUCACUUUAGAUCUCCAGAGUCCAAAGAUGUCCCCAAGACAAAUAAUCAAUUAAAGACAAAUAUGCAAUCUCACUCUUUCAGUCAACAGUUAAAUGGUCCCCCGAUAAAACCAAUAAGUAUGUCACCCCGACAGGAGGCAAAUAAUUCAGCAAUAAAAAUUCCAAAUCGAAGUCACCAAUUCAACAAGAGAGGCAAAUAGGGGUACCACUUUUUCUAUCUGCUUCGCUAGAGAAGAAAACGGCAGAGAAACACGGUGGAGAAAGAGAGCUGGUGGGCUGGUCGUGCGCGCGUAAGUAGGAGAAGUCGCGCGCUAGGCGUGCGGAGUUUGGGCGCGCGAUGGAGAGGCGCGCACACUUGGUUGCGCGAUCUGUCUCCGCCUAGGGCUGGUCACGCAGGGUGUGCCUGGGCUCUACUGCUGUCUGCGCGCCCAGGUGCGCGCAAAACUGGGCUCGCCUGUCGCGCGCUGGUACACGCGGAUCUGCUGCGGGCGACUGCGGGUAGCGCGCAGGCAAGGGGGGAGCGCGCGCGCUGAGAGCCUGUUGCUGCCUGGUCGCGUGCGGAACUGAUCUGGGAGUCGAGCGCUGCUCGGGACGGCGCGCAGGUGGGCCGACGAGCUGUGCUGGCGACGGCGGCGACUGGAGGGGCGACGAACAGCGAUAGAGGGAGGCGCGCGGCGGAGGGCGGAGUACAAUGGGCAGGCUCGCGAAGAGAGAGAGAGAGAGAGAGAGAGAGAAAGAGCUGGUGGGGGGGCCGUUAGCGAUGGCGGCACACGGCGGAGGACGGCCAACACAAAAAAAAAAGAAGACGAAAGUGAAAUGGAAACUAAGACAAGAACAAAGGAAAUUUCAGCGGGGAAACUUAGACAGAGGUACUGGGCAAGACCAAACAAAGAAGAAAGCAAAGUGGAAAAGUAGGGUCUUGGUCAAAAACCCUCUUUUUCUUUGACUUUCGUUAUCGGAAUGGUUGGAAGGCGUGGGCACGCCUUGGAGGACCUGGUCUUCUGACCAUCGCAUCCUAAUGAUGCUCAAAAGAAUUUUUUUGUCAAGGCGCGGGCACGCCUUGGGGCUGCCAGUCUCCCACCUGCUCAGGACACCCGGUGCACCCCUUCCAAGGCGUGGGCAUGCCUUAGAACUGCUAGUCUUCUGUCCAUUACCACAAAAACAAUCAAAAUAGUAAAAUAAAACUGAAAAAAUAGCAGAGUAAUGAAGAAUGAUCACAACUAAUACUGUAAUCCUUGGGUUGCCUCCCAAACAGCGCCUUUCUUUAACGUCUUUGGCUAGACAUGGCCAUCAGUUGUUUAGACCUCACCACUUGGAUCAUCAAGGAAUAUAACCUCUACUUGCUCACUAUUAAACCCUUCAUAAUAGGGUUUCAAACGAUGACCAUUGACUACGAACUUUUUCUCUGUUUUCAAACUUUAGAUUUCCGAUUUUGCUUCUCUCCUUAUAAAUUGCCACGUUCUCAUAGGGUUCAUUUCUCAGUUCCUCCAAUUCUUGUAGUUCGAGCUUUCUAUGUCCUCUGGCCUCCAUAAGGUCCAUGUUACACCUCUUAAGCGCCCAGAACGCUCGGUGUUCAAAUUCCACAGGGAGGUGGCAGGGCCUCCCAAAGACUAACCUGUAUGGGGACAUCCCAAUUGGUGUUUUGUACGCGAAGCGGUAAGCCCAGAGAGCAUAUUCCAGCUUCAAACUCCAGUCUUUCCUAUUAGGCCGCACCAUCUUCUCCAGGAUUGACUUAACUUCCCUAUUCGACACUUCGGCCUGACCAUUCGUUUGUGGAUGAUAUGGAGUGGACACUUUAUGGAGCACACCAUACUUACGAAAGAAUGCAGUGAUUGUCUUAUUGCAGAAAUGGGUGCCCCUGUCACUCACUAUAGCUCUUGGCAUUCCAAAACGGACAAAUAUGUUAGAUUUGAUAAAUUCUGCAACCACUCUCGAAUCGUUAGUCCGGGUGGCUUUUGCCUCCACUCAUUUGGAAACAUAAUCGACGGCAAGUAUAAUAUAUAAGAAACCAAAGGACGAGGGGAAAGGACCCAUGAAAUCUAUGCCCCAGACAUCAAAAAUCUCAACAAAUAAUAUGGGGAUUUGACUCAUUUGGUCUCUACGAGAGAUAUUCCCCACUCUUUGACACUUAUCACAAGAUUUGCAGAACAAAAAUGCAUCCUUAAAAAGUGUAGGCUAAUAAAAACUAUUUUCUAACACUUUACGAGCCGUCCGCUUUGGACCAAAAUGUCCUCCACAUGCAAACGAAUGACAGAAAAUCAAAAUAGAAUGAAACUCACCGGCACUUACACACCGUCUAAGUACUUGAUCCGAACAUUGCCUCAACAGGUACGGGUCAUCCCAAAAAUAAUGUUUGGCAUCACUCUUUAGCUUAUCUCUUUUAGCUUUGGACCAACCUGCAGGUAAUUGAUUCGUUACCAAAAAAUUGACAAUGUCAGCAUACCAAGGUACCGACGAAUCAAUGGCUAGUAGUUGCUCUUUAGGGAAUGAUUCUCUCAACGGUAGAUCCUCUUGAUUUGUGAGCAACCGACUCAAAUGAUCAGCCACCAAAUUCUCGGCUCCGCUCUUAUCCCUGAUUUCAAGGUCGAACUCCUGCAGGAGCAAAAUCCACCUUAUAAGCCUCGAUUUUUCAUCCUUCUUCGCCAACAGGUACCGCAAGGCUGUAUGGUCAGAGAAAAUAAUCACUUUUGCACCCAAUAAAUAUGACCUAAAUUUUUCUAGUGCAAAAACAAUGCAAGUAAUUCUUUCUCCGUCGUGGAGUAAUUAAGUUGGGCUCCACUCAAUGCUCUUAAUGCAUAGUAGAUCGCGUGUGCCGCCUUGCCUAUCCUUUGCCCCAGCAUGGCCCUCACGGUAUAGUCACUCGCGUCGCACAUGAAUUCAAACGGAAGGCUCCAAUCUGGGGCUUGAAUGACGAGCGGUGAUGUCAACGAUUCCUUCAAUUUAUCAAAAGCCACCUUGCAUUCAUUUGUGAAAUCAAAUGACACGUCCUUCUGCAGUAACUUGAACAGGGGUGCUCCUAUCUUUGAAAAGUCUUUGAUAAACCUCCUGUAAAAUCCUGCAUGGCCCAAAAACGAACGUAGUUCCCGUACAUAUACGGGGUAAGGUAGAGCAGAAAUAAGGCCCAUUUUAGCUUUAUCUACCUCUAUUCUCUUAGCCGACACAACGUGCCUAAGACAAUGCCGUGAUCUACCAUAAAGUGACAUUUUUCCCAAUUAAGUACCAAAUUCGUCUCUAUGCAUCUUUUUAAAAUUAAAGUAAGAUUGUCAAGGCAUUCCUCAAAACUAUCCCCGUAUACACUAAAGUCAUCCAUGAACACCGCGAUUAUCUUUUCUACAUACUCUGAGAAAAUACUUACCAUGCACCUUUGAAAAGUUGUUGGAGCAUUGCAAAGACCGAAAGGCAUCCUACGGUAAGCAAACGUACCAAAUGGGCAGGUGAACGUGGUCUUCUCCUGGUCCUCCGGUGCUAUCGCGAUCUGGAAGUACCCUGAAAAAUCAUCUAAAAAAUAAUAGUAAACACGACCUGCCAAUCUCUCAAUCGUUUGGUCGAUAAAGGGGGAGAGGAAAAUGGUCCUUUUUUGUCACAGAGUUUAAUCUCCCGUAGUCAAUGUACUGACGCCAACCAGUAGCUUUCCUAACCGGGACCAUAUCACCCUCUUGGUUCUCCUCCACGGUUACUCCCGCUUUCUUCGGGACCACCUGAAUCGGGCUCACCCAGGAACUGUCCGAAAUAGCGAAGAUGAUCCCCACCUCCAGGAGUUUGAGUAUCUCCUUCUUCACAACCUCCAUCAUUAAGGGGUUCAGUCUUCGCUGUGCUUGCCUCACCGGCUUUGCAUCAUCCUCGAGUCUUAUCCGGUGCAUGCACAAGGACGGGUUUAUCCCCUUGAUAUCGGCUAUGCUCCACCCGAUUGCCUCCUUAUGAUCCCUAAGGAGUCGCACCAGUCUUUUCUCCUGACUGGGAGACAGAUGCGCAGAAAUAAUCAUAGGAAGUGUCUCUCUGUCUCCCAGGAAUACAUACUUCAAAUGCUUGGGGAGAGGUUUGAAUUCUAAUUCGGGUGCCUGCACCACCGAUGGCAAUAAUUUUGCGUGAGUUUCUAGCAUAAAAAGGGAAGUGAGCUCAUACCUGGGUUGAAUGGUUGGGAGUGAAUGUAAUGCUUCAAUUACUCGAUGCAACUCGUCCCUUAUGUCCACAUCAGGGGUCACUCCCAACUCAAGAUGCUUUUUUAGGGCCACUUGUAGUGCGUUUUCACCACCUAACUCGAAAGUUUCCUGUACAAGAGCCUCAAUAACACUCAAAGCAAAGACUGAUUUAGAACCUUCUGGAUAUUUCAUCGCCUCAAAAAUAUUAAAAUGCACCAUUUCACCAUCAAAUUCCAUUGAUAAAGUACCAUCGUUCAUAUCUAUCUUAGUCCUGGCAGUGCUAAGAAACGGUCUACCUAACAAAAUAGGCGACGGAUUGAACGACUUUUCAUGUCCCAUGUCCAGGAUAUAAAAGUCUAUAGGAAAAACUAAUUCAUUUGCCUGAACUAAAACAUCCUCAACUAUCCCUUCUAGGUAGGCGUUAGUGCGAUCGGCUAGUUGGAUUAUGAUGGCUGUUUCUUUUAGUGGCCCAAGGUUUAGAGAAGCAAAAAUAGUUUUCGGCAUCACAUUAAUUGACGCCCCCAAAUCUAGCAUGGCUCUUGUGAUCGGUGUAUUCCCUAUCUUACAGGGGAUCGUGAACAUAUCUGGAUCUUCACACUUGGGUGGAAGCUUCCUUUAGAGCAUGGCCGACACGUUCUCCCCUACCGCUACUCUUUCAUCCCCUCUCAACUUCCUCUUAUGGGUGCACAAGUCCUUGAGAAAUUUCACGUAUUUCGGUACUUGCUUGAUUGCAUCCAACAAAGGGAUGUUGACCUCUACUUUUCUGAACACGUCCAGGAUCUCUUUCUCCUUUUCCGCCUUCUUCGCCUUCUCUAACCUGCAAGGAAAAGGGGGUAAAUUAGAUUUAAUAGGCACCGAUUGAGUAAGAGUUACCUCAGGAUUGACACGGAUGUGUCAUUCCUCUUCCAUCUCCUUCUCGAUUUCAUCUUCACUCUUACUUUUCAAGUUCGUGGCUUUGGACCCUUCCACUUCUCUACCAAUCCUCAGUGUCAUGGCACUAACAUUCUUGGGGUUUGCCUCGGGCUGCGAUGGUAAUUUUCCAAAAACUUGGGACUCCAAGCGAUUAAUCGCGGUUGCCAUAUGGCUUAUCUGGUUCUCUAGGUUUUUCAUACCCGCUCUAGUCUCCUGUUGGAACUGAGUGGUGCUCAUGGCUAAGCUCUUGACGAUUUCCUCCAAAGAGCUUCCUGAGUUAGAUGACGAAGGUUGUGGCUUUGGUUGCCACGGUUGUUGGAAUCCCGGUGGGCAAUUUGAAAAUGAAUUUUGUGGCCUAUUCCCGUAGCUGAAAUUGGGGUGGUCCCUCCAACCCGGAUUGUACGUGUUGGAGUAUGGGUCGUACUGCCUGCGAGGCGCGGGCGCGCCUCCAGCCAUGUUCACUUGUUCAGCCCCAUCCUCUUGCAACAAGGGGCAUGAGUCAGUGGGAUGGCCCACAUUUGUGCAAAUUCCACAGAUCUUUGCUUGUUGCACGUUCCCCACGGCUAAUUGCCGCAUGAAAGACGUUAACUCAGCUGAAUGGACGACGUCUCUACCUCAUUAACCCUACGGGUAGGGUUACUUUCACGAAAACCAAACUGUUGGGAAUUUUCCGCCAUCGAUUCAAUAACUAGCCAUGCUUCCCUUGGUGUCUUGUUCACCAAUGCUCCCCCACUCGCAGCAUCAAUGAUACUCCUAUUCGACGACUGUAGUCCCUCAUAGAAAUAUUGGAUCAACAGUUGGUCACUAAUCUGAUGCUGUAGGCAUCUAGUGCACAACUUAUUGAACCUCUCCCAAUAGUCGUAUAGGGAUUCUCCAGGGUACUGCUUAAUGCCGCAUAUCUCUUUUCUUAGACUUGCAGCUCGGGACGCAGGGAAAAACUUUUCUAAGAAUUUUUUUUUGAGUUGGUCCCAUGUGAUGAUACUACCUGCAGGUAGAUAGUACAAUCAAUCAUUCGCUGCAUCCUUAAGAAAGAAGGGGAAGGCUCUGAGUUUAAUCUGCUCCUCAGUAAUGCCUGGAGGCUUCAUAAUGGAGCAUACCAUGUCGAACUCUUGAAUGUGUUUAUGGGGCUCCUCACCCGAGAGGCCAUGGAAUGUGGGUAGGAGGUGAAUUAGCCCCGACUUCAGUUCGAAUGAGGUAUUUUCAGCCAAUAUUGGAAAUGUAAUGCACAAGGGCUGCUGGGGCAAUUCUGGAGCAGCCAACUCCCUUAGUGUCCUUGCAUUCGCCAUAAGGAUGUCCUCUUGGCCUUGGUCACUUAAACUAUCACCACUUGAAUCUGAUGAUUCGAUCUCUGAAUCUAGUUCCUGAGAAGCUAUGCUAGACCGCUCCUCUCUGAGUUGUCUAGUCUUUUUUCUAGUUCGGCGUUCAGUCUUCUCUACCUCUGGAUCAAAAAUCAAUUCACCUGUGCGAGAAGAACGAGGCAUAAACUAGAAAAAUGCCAGACAAAUCCAAAUAAAACAACUUAGAAGGAAACAAAAUUAACCAAAACACCGCUUCCCGGCAACGGCGCCAAAAAUUGACAGGUGCCGAACCUGUGUAAUAAUAAUUACUAAAAAGUCCUAAUUACCACCACAAUUAAUUAUAGAACAAAUCCAAGUACUGGAGCAGGGACCCUAGGUGUGCAAUGGGUUACUUGAUUCACCCUGUUCCCGAAGAGUUUGUUUGAUCCGAUAUACCAGAUUUGUCUAUACAAAUAUUAAUUUUGCGUACAAUGGCAAGUAGGGUCGAUUCAACAGGGAGCGGGUAGGAAAUUAUUUCUUUCCAAGUCAAUAGAAUAAAAUUGGGGGAUUUUUAAUGGGAGGCAAAUAAAAAAUAAGAAUAAAAAUAAAGCAAACUAAAUUCAAAACUAAUUCACAAAGCACAAGUUACUAAAAGUAGCAAUUAAUAAAAUUCUACCCAAAGGAUCAACUGCUCAGGCACGGUCCAAUUAAAUGAUCAUCGAUGCAAAGAUAUUUCAUCCAUUCAUCAUUAGGUUGGUUAUAGUUAUCAAUAAGCUCUGACAACCAGUUCUUCCUUACUUUUUCGACAGUCAAGGUACGACCAUUGACUGCUUUUCUAACCAGAUAACAACUUAGGUAUGACCGUAGGAAUUUAAUUAUCCAAUUGCAUUAAAGUUAGAAGAACUUAACCCUAACUAAUAAACACGCUAAGAGGGUUUAUUUAAACUAGAUCUUACGUUUCCCCAACAUAAAGUCAAUUAUGGUGGUUGUCAUUAGGUAUCAACUAAACGAACAAUUACGGAUUCAAUUUAGUUAAUGUGACAGUAGGCUAUUAAAUUAAAUCAAAUACCCGGCCGUUGAUAUUCAAUUAAUAAAAUACUCAUGAAUAAUUAAUUCAGGAAACGCACGAAUAGCAACAAAUUAGAAGAAAUAAUGAAGAUUCGAUUAGAUCUCACAGAUAUUAUAGACCACGCCUUCACGUCAACCUUUGGGUAGAGGAGAGAAUUAGCCACUCCUCAUCAUGUUAAUCUCGUGUGAUUUGAUUAAUAUCAUCCACACAAUUGCCCAGAAAUUAAUUGUCGAGGAAUUGGGGAAGGUGAAUUAAUCGAAAUAAUAACAAAGGGAAACCUGGCUUCGUCUUCAUAUUGGAGCCGCAAUUACAAAGCAAAAGGCUAUUCUAAUUGCUGUCGAGAAGAAAAAGGGAAAAAGCGUCUGACAGUGAAAAGAAACAAAAGCUAGCCUAAUUGAUUGCUACCCAAAAAGAAAAGCAAAACGUCUGACAUAUCUCGCAAAAGAAAACUAAAACUAAGGUAUUGAUAUCACGUGAAUCUCGCUUCUUCUUAUUUGUAGCGCCGCCAGUAGUAAAGCAUUAGGAACAAGGCUUUUUGUCCCAGGGCUCUGAUCUCACGCAUCUGGUCCACGUAGACCGGGUUUCUUAAUUAGGUCUCCUGCUAUUGGUCCCGCGGAUCCGGCUUUUUGGCAACAUCUACCUUUUCUGGCGUGGGCACGCCCUGAAAUGAAGGGUCUUCUGAAAAUUUGCCUCAAGAGAUUACUUUUAACGCCAGUCAUCUAUAACUUAUACAAAUAUGAAAUAUGAGCAAAACCUCAAUACUUAGCACAGUAAGUAGCCAAAAUUAUGACAAAAUAACAGUGUAAAAUGUGCCAAAUAACUGCUCUAUCAGUAUUUAUUUGGAACAAUAAAAGCUUGAGUCUUGUUAUUGAUAUUAGUCCUCUUCAUGUAAAUUAGCCUCUAUAUAUAUAUAUAUAUAUAUAUAUAUAUAUUGGUUUUGUGAAAGUUAUCUCCUAUAAUUUUUCUUGGGUAUAAUUAUUAGGCUCUACAUCUGGUAUCGAAUCCUAUUUUCAUGAAAUUAAUCUUUGGGUGAGUUGUUAGAGUUCGGACACAAGAUUUGCCGGGACUGUUCAAUUGAUCACAUAAGGCCAUUAUGUUGGUUUUGGAGUAUUUAAUUGGUCAAAAUUUGGCCAUAAAAUUGGUGUGAAAAUUAUGAACUUGAUUGUGGAUAUUGCUAAUGGUGACAAUUUUUUACAUGGUACGUAAACAAAACACAAAAUCCUAAAUGAAACAUGACACGGGAUAAUUUAUGUCAAAAAUGGAUCCACACGAACAUGAUGAUGCACAAAUAGAAUGGGUUGUAUUGGGCCAAUCCGUUGGUUGAUAUGACUUGCAUGUUUUUGACACAUUAAGAAUUUUGAAAAAAUGUUACUCACUUCCCACCUAGCACUACUCUUAAAAUAAAUGGUUUUGUAUUAAAUUUUAUAGUUUAAGAACUAAAAUAAUAUAAUCAACCUCCUAUAAGAAUACAUAAACAACACAUAAAUCGAGACUCUACAAAUUCACAUAUGCAACUGUUAUGAUUUUAAUUUUUUGCUUCCUUCUUUUAAUAUUCUUAUUUUCUCAAAUUGACAAGCAUAAACAACCUCUAUGAUUUUAACUUUUCACUUCCAGCCUUCACUCUUCAAAUUGAUCGAAACUUACCUUUGGAUCAAAUAUUGCUCAAUUUUUCUUCCUUUCUUGUGAUUAAAUAUCUUUUCUAGGUAAUCUUUAAUAUUUCACAAAUUUUCUAUCAUUUUUGCCUAUUUUAUUUGAACAUUUUCUAGUUUAUACUGCUCCUCUAUUUUAUCAUUUUUCCUAUCAUUUUCUUUCUAAAGUUAUUCUUUCCUGUGAAAGAAAAAUAAAAUAGGCUUUUUUUGUAUAUUACUAAUGAGAUAAUAAUGCAUCCAAAACUUAUACAAGUAAAAAUCCAAUGACAGGCUACAACUAAAAUUGAUUAAGAGAAUAUUACAUAUUUUCUUGAAAGAGAACCAUGUUUUAUUUUUUUGCAAUAUUUCUCCUAUAAUUUUUAUGAAAAAAUUUAAAUGAGUGAAUUGGGUAAAAACAUGAGAUGAACCUGUCCAAAUGCAUGGAGUAUUGCAGCAACAAAUCUUUUUGAAGAUUAAGAAUUCAAAUUUCUAUUAAUGAAAUUUACAAAUGAGAUUAUUAUUGCUGAACUUGAUUCAAUAGAGAGUUUGAUUUAAGGGAAACAAUGUUGGCAUAUUAAAUUAAAGCUAAAAAUUUGAAUUUUCUAUACUAUUAUUUAGUAGUAUUUUGGUCACACAAAUUUUUUUAGUAGUUCUAUAAGAGCUAAGUUCUGGUAGUACAUUCAAGAAUUGGAGGCUCUAGGACAUAGAGGUUCUACGUUCAGAUCUCCGUUCCUCCCCCCCCCCCCAUUUCUUAAAUCCUAUCCCUCCCCUUGAUUAGAAAAAAUUAAAGAAAAAGUUAAAAUAAUUAUUUAGAAAUUGGUACUGUAUUAGAUAAUUAUUGUAGUUAUCAAUACUUGUUUAUCAAAUCAUGUAAUCUAUAAGUAGAGUCAUAUUAUCAUACCCACUUGAGAAGAUUGAAAGUUUAAUAGUCUUGUUCUUGUGGUGUUAUUAAUAUUUUAUCAUUAAUAUCAUUGUUCUUUUCACACAUAUACAUGUAUAUGUGUAAAUUAGCCUCCCAUAUAUAUUGGAUUUGUGGAAUUCAUCUCUCAUAAUGAUUUUUUGGGUAUAAUUGUCACGCCCCAUGCCCAGAACGUAGCACCACCGUGCCCUAGACAAUGCUAAAGGCGUAAGACAACAAAUUUCCUAAGCAACUACAUUCACCUUUAUAUAAACAUUUUAAAUCCGCAAAUACUAGAUCAUCUAUAACAGCAAUUUUGUGUCUUCCAAAAUAAAAGCAAUAAAAGCAAGAUCAAACCUUCUACAUUAUGUACAAAAUUCAAAUCCUAUCAUAAGGUAUCUUAUAUAUAAGUACAAAAGUCAUCCUCUAACCCAAAGUUAUCCCCAUCUCCAUUACAACCCCCAAGAGCUAUCAAGGUCUACUUCAAUGAACUCAUCAUUAACUGCAUAAUUAUAACAAAGGGGUGAGCAAAAUCUCACUCAAUAAGUAGUGCAUGUAUCUCAUUAUUGGCCUGAGCAUGUUACAUACAUAAUAUAUAUUUCAAACGUCAUUAACUUACACAUAUAACUUUAUAAGAACAUGGUUACUAUAAACAUUUCAAUGGCAUAUCAUACAUCACACACACAAAGGAGCUCAAACCAUAAGACAACAAUUGACCCAAGAUAUCCAGUUGUUAACUUAAACUUAACCAGUUAACACAGUUCAUAGUGCUAACCACACAUAGUUAGCCCGUUUCAUAUUGCUCACUACAACACAGAUAGCUCGUUUCAUAUACCAACUACUUGUGAGGAACUAGUCCUGUCAAAAGUCGCUUAUACAAGAGCUCAACAAACAUAAUAUUUCAUUUCACAAAUGACCAUGGCAAGAGUAAUAAUGAAUAUCACAAAUUAUACUUGCUCAUGCCAUUUUAGCAAGCUUUCAAAAUUUAUCAUUCAAAAGAUAAAGGAUACAUGCACCACUUACCUCGAUCCAAUCGAUACCCACGCUAUUUCAAGUAAUCGGAAAAAUAGCUACCUUCCUCACCUAGACAUAAUGAUAAAAUGUUCAAUUACAAUCUUAAAGAUACCAAACUACUCCAAAUUAUCAUAAAAACGAGCCUAAUACUACCCUUAACCACUAAUUCCUAAUAAAAGAUCAUUUCCUCAUCAAAGUAGGACAUGCAUAAAGGUUUAUUUAAAGGGUCACUAACUUCCAAAACUACAGAAAUAGGGCAAGAGAUUUAUAUAGAGUUAAAGCGCUCUGAAUCUAGUUUCCAACGCAACAAACGGCACCUAAAUCCGAAUUUUCUACACCAGGUUAUAUCCAAAGCAUUGAAAUAUGUCUAUACAGAAAAUUCAAUCUGUCCGAGAAUUAUUGCCAAUCCAUCCAAGUAUUUUAGCCAAUCCAUCCGAGGAUUAUAGCCAUGGAUUUCCAGCAAGUUUUCAAGGUAAAAACAAGUUCCAAAUUCAAUAAUCAAGUUCCAUUUCCAUCUCAAGUCAUCUUCCAACCUCCAUAGUUGUCAAAAUCAACAUAUUUCAGCGCCCAAAGUCAUGUAAAUACAUAAAUAAUCUUGAAAAUGAAUUACUAGCUCAAGUCAUUCUUUCCCUCAACAUUUCUCCUUUUUAUAUUGAUGAUAGCCCUAUACCCAUAUGAAAAUAGAGACCAAAACAAACUCCAUAGACCAUAGCCGCCAUGGAAGCUAACCAAGGAUUUGAACCAAAUACUACCCAAUCACCCAACCAAAGAAAACCAAGAUCAUGUUCAGGUUUCAAGAAAAUAUCUUGGUUAGUCGUCAAAGUAGAAUCUCCUAACUCCUCACUCCUUACUUGUGCUUGAUUUGUCAAGAAUCGUCGUUGAUUGUAAGGAAAAAGGAGAGAAAUAAGAAAGGAUUUUGUUGGAGAAGGAAGGAAAAAAGGAAAUGAAGAAGAUGAAGAAAUUUUUUGGUAAAGAUGAAUAGUGAAAUCUCAAUAUCACUUUUAUUCUUUCAAAAUUUCACAUAUUAACACAUUGGUCACUCAACUUAACAUCAUUCACUUUUCACCCCAAAAUAGUAUUUCUUCACACAAAAUUCUCUACAAGACACUUGGGUAUCACAUUCUAAAAGUUUUGACCUCGAAAUUUAACGUACCCCGUUGGUUAAACAAAUGUGAAUACUUAGUUCGCAUUUCCUCUUCGAGUUCCCAAGUGGCUUCACGAGUACUAUGAUUGGACCAUUGAACUUUAACAUAGGGAAUUAUCAUUCUUCUUAGCACUUGAUCUUUGUGACCCACAAUUCGAAUUGGCUUCUCACUAUAAGUUUGAUCCUCUCAUACCAUUAAUGGCUCAUACUCCUGGAUAUAACUUGGAUUAAAUACUUAUUUUCUCAAUUGCAAAACAUGAAAUACAUUGUGAACUCUUGAUAAAGAUGGUGGCAAGGCUAACUUGUAUGCCAAUUCUCCAACUCUAUCCAAAAUUUCAAAAAGCCCAACAUAUCUUGCACUCAAUUUUUCACGUUUCCCAAAUUGCAUGACACCUCUCAUUGGUGAAAUUCUAAGAUAUAAUUUAUCCUCUUCUUGAAACUCUAAUGGUCUUCUUUUCAAAUCGGCCCAACUCUUUUGUCUAUCUUGUGCUGUUUUCAACCUUUCUCUCACUAGUGCCAUCAUCUUGAUUGUAGCUUGUACAAGUUCGGAUCCAGUAAUGAUCCUUUCACCUACCCCAUCCCAAUAUAAGGGCAAUCUACACUUCCUCCCAUAUAGAGCUUCAAAAGCUAGCAUGUCGAUACUACUAUGAUAACUAUUAGUGUAAGAGAACUCAAUUAGCACCAGAGAAUCCUCCCAACUGCCCCCAAAAUCCAUAACAUAUGCUCUAAGAAUGUCCUCCAAGGUUUGAAUUGUACACUCUGAUUGCCCAUCGAUUUGAGGAUGAUAAGCUGAGUUGAGGUUUAACUCGGUUCUUGUGGCUUGUUAGAGACUUUUCCAAAAUUGAGAAGUGAAUCUAGGAUCACGAUCAGAUACAAUACUCACUGGGACACUAUGAUAACGAAUAAUACAAUCCAUACAGAGAUUAGCCAAAGUAUCCAUAGAUGCAGUAGCAACCAUAGGUACAAAAUGAGUUGAUUUUGUCAGUCGAUCAACUAUCACCCAAAUGGUGUCAUUACCUCUCCUAGACCUUGGUAAUCCAACAACGAAAUCCAUUGCUAUAUGCUCCCAUUUCCAUUCCGGUAUUGUCAAAGGCUUUAAUAAUCUAGCAGGUCUUUGAUGUUUGGCCUUUAUUUGUUGACAAACUAAGCAUUUAGACACAUAAUUCGCGAUCUCCCUCUUCAUACCACUCCACCAAUACGACUGCUUUAAGUCUCGGUACAUCUCGGUGUUAUUAGGAUGAAUAGAGGCUUGGAAGAGCGAGCCUCCGCCAUUAUUUAUUUUCGUAACUCUGGAUCUUUAGGCACUACAAGCCGAUUCCACAUCCAUAUACUACCAUCCUUGAGUAGUUGAAAGUCGGGUAAUUCCUCACUUUUAACUUUUUCCUUGAUUUUCGCCAACUCAGUAUCAUCUUUUUGAGUUUCCUUGAUUCUCGAAAUUAAAGAUGGUUAGGCAACUAGAGUUGCGAGCACAUGCGUGAAGGAUUCUACCACCUGUAAAUUCAAUUCCUUCAUUUGUUUGACAUGUGCUGAACCUAUACAAUAAUAAUAAUAAAACCUAACUACCACCAAAAGCAAUCAAUAAUUAAUUCUAGGUACUGGAGCAGGGACUCUAGGCGUGCAAUGAGUUACUUGAUUCACCCUAUUGCUAAAGAGUUUGCUGAAUCCGAUAUACCAGAAUUAAUUAGCUGACUAAAUUUACUAACCAGUAGACAGUGGCAAGCAAGGUCGUUUCCUCAGGGACUGUGGAGAAAUUUGUUUCUUUUUAAGCCAAGACAAACGGGGGGUUUGAGAAUUAGAUGCUAAAGAAUCACUAACUAAACAAAUUAAAUGCGAAAAAUAAUUAAUUGAGAGAAUUAAUUGGAGAAACUCUAGCCAAUGGUACACUUCAGAAAUGGUUCGUGCAACUAAUCAUCGAUUCAAAUAUAAUUCCAACAAUUAUUAAUAGAUUGGUUAUAGUUGUCAUGCACGCGAUAAACAACCAGCAUUUCCUUAAUUUCUCCAUAGUUAAGGUACGACCGUUAAGUAUUUCUCUAACCAAAAAACAGCCCUAGGUACGACCGUAGGAUUUAAUUUCUAGUUUGCAUUAAGAUUUAGAAAAGCCCAAUCUUAACUAACAAACACGCUACGAGGGUUUGUUUAAAUUAGAUCGUAUGUUUUCCUGACAUAAACCCAAUUACGCCAAUUGCUACUGGGAUGGAGGUAAUCAAACAAUUACGGAUUCAACUAUCCUCAAUUAGCAAAUUAACUACGUGAAUAACUAAAUAUUGUGCACUAUUCAAUCAUACACAAUAGCUAUGACAAUUAAAAGCAGAAAACAUAUAAAUACUAAUAAAUGAAGGAAAUAGUUAAAACAAUUUAGAUCUCAUAGUUAUUGUUGAACCAAAUCUUCAAUUGUCUCCUUAACUAGAAGUGGGUGAUUAGUUCAUCCUCAUUGAGAGUAACUCACGCAAUUCCAUUGAAGGAACUUGUGUCAAUGUUUGACAAUAGAAGAACUACUCAGAGGAGAAGAGAGCCAAGCGGCUGCCUUCCUCCCCUUUUCUUAUUCCCUGGCCGAGUAGUAAUCACGCGGGAUCCAGCUUUUGUUCUUCCUAUUUUCUAGCUUUCUAAAAACACAUUGAACUUCCUCCCUCAUAAUCCGUAGUAAAUGAUUCCAAAAAAAUCUCUUACUAUAGGAAAACUAACUUCCCAAAAGAUAGAUACUCAAGCGCUUAAAAGUCUCCUAAACCAACCCAAUUACUAAUUAGAAACUUGGCAGAUAAUAUCAUCUUCCAGUUAUGAUGAUGACUCCCACUUGGAUUAGGAUACUGCCCUGCAUAGAAUCUCGCGCACUCUGGACUUGAUUGAUGUCUUCUCACGCGUCCACACUUACUUGGAGGAAAAUCUUCUACAAACUGCUAUUUCUGCACUUUCCUUCUCCAAUUGGCUAAACAUCCCCUAAACAUAAAAUUCAAACAAAAUAUGUCCAUUAAUGCAAUAUCCAAUCUAAUAGAAAAGGAAAUUAUAACAAAAUUAAUGCUAAAUUAGCGUUCUAUCAUUGUUUUACUAACAUAACUGCUAUCAUUCCUGAAUUUUUCCUGCUCAAAGCAUCGGCAACCUUGUUUGCUUUUUAUGGAUGAUAACUAAUGAUAAGAUCAUAAUCUUUCAUUAACUCAAGCCAUCUUCGUUGUCUCAUGUUUAGCUCUUUCUGCGUGAACAAAUACUUUACGUUUUUAUGGUCUGUAAAGACUUCACAUUGCUCCCCAUACAAGUAGUGCCUCUAAAUCUUCAAAGCAAGAACAACGACUACCAAUUGCAAAUCAUGUGUAGGAUAGUUUUGUUCAUACCGCUUCAAUUGACGAGAUGCAUAAGCUAUGACCUUCUCAUUUUACAUUAGCACACAUCCCAACCCAUUUUUGGAUGUAUCGCUAUAAAUAGUGAAACCUCCAGAUCUAGAAGGUAAGGUGAGAACUGGUGUUGAAACAAGCUUAUUCUUCAAUUCUUGAAAACUAUCUUAACAUUUAGGUGUCCACUCAAACUUAACAUGCUUUUGAGUUAGACGAGUCAAGGACAAAGCAAUAGUAGAAAAUCCUUCAAUAAAUUUUCUAUAGUAGCCAGUUAAGCUCAUAAAACUCCUCAAUUCUACCACAUCAGUAGGUCGGGACCAAUCCACAAUAGAUUCUAUCUUCUUAGGAUCCACAGAGACACCAUCUUGAGAAAUAACAUGCCCAAGGAAGGACACACUUUGAAGCCAAAAUUCACAUUUGUUGAGUUUAGCAUAAAGCUUCGUACACCUCAAGAUUUGUAAAACAUCUCGCAGGUGAUUUUCGUGCUUCACUUCACUUGGGGAGUACACCAAUAUAUCAUCAAUGAACACCACCACAAAUCUGUCUAAUUGCUUUUGGAAUACCCUAUUCAUCAAAUCCAUAAAGGCUGCAAGAGCAUUAGUCAACCCUAAAGGCAUGACGAGAAAUUCAUAAUGGCCAUACCUUAUUCUGAAUGCACUCUUUGGAAUAUCCUACAGUUUAAUCCUUAAUUGAUGGUAUCUGUAACGAAGAUCUAUUUUUGAAAAUACCUUAGCCCUUUUUAAUUGAUCAAACAUGCAGGUCGUCAAUACGAGGCAAUGGAUACUUGUUCUUGAUCAUAAUUUUAUUGAGCUCCCAAUAAUCAAUGCACAAUUGCAUGCUUCCAUCAUUCUUCUUUACAAACAAAACUAGUGCACCCCAAGAGGAUACACUUGGUCGAAUCAAUUUCUUGUCAAGCAACUCCUCAACUUGAACUUUAAACUCCUUCAACUCUGUGGGGGCCAUCCGAUAGGGUGCCUUAGAUAUAGGUUCUAAGUUGAGUAUUACAUUAAUCUCAAAAUCAAUUUCUCUCUUAGGAGGUAGACCUAAUAAGUCAUUUGAGAACACAUCUGAAAAUUCUCUUGCAAUUUGGAUAUCCUCAAGUUUUAUGUCCCCUUUCUUACUAGAGUCUACUAUAUAAGUCAGAAAACAUUCACAUCCCUUCCUAAUUGCUCUCCAAGUUUGUAUGACAGAUAAAAUGGGUAGAGACUUCUUUUUUGGUUUUCCUCAACACCCUUGAAAAGAAAAAUGUGGAAUGUUUGGGGUUUAAAAAUCAACACUUUUACCCAUACAAUCUAUAUGAGCAUAAUUUUGUGAUAGCCAAUCCAUACCUAAGAUAGCAUCAAAUUAUAUUCAAUUGCACUAGAUUUGCCUUAAACACUCUCCCACCUAAAUCUAAAGUAUAACCUUCAUACAUAAGGUGAGAAACUAAAACUUUUUCCCCGGGAAUGGCUACACGAUACAGGUCAUCCAAAACACAGGGUUUAAUAUCUAACUCUCAUGCAACUUCUUUGAAAUGAAAGAAUGGCAAGCCCCACAAUCAAAUAACACAUCCGCUGGAAGAGAAUUAAUCAUUACCAUACCUGUCACAACAUCCUCUACUCCUGCUGCUUCUUGUUCAGUCAAGGCAUAUACCUUAGAGUUUGAGUAAGGUCGAUCUACACUAGAAUUCAAGCUGUUUCCUAGCCUAUUGUUUCCUCUAGUUUGCUUAGAAUUCGGGCGAUUACUCACUUUAUGCCCCACUUCUCUACAACUAAAACAAGCUCUCGUUUUCCACCUGCAUUCUCCCGGAUGAACCCGAUGACAAUAAUCACAUAACUUAGAUGGGUUAGUAAGUAGACACCUUGGAAAAGGUUGUUGAGAAGAAGUAGCCUGUUGCGAAACUAUAGGUCUUGGUAACGAUGCUUGUCAGGGAGGUUGCAUUACACGAGAAGGCUGACCAUGUUGACGAAGUUGGCCUUGUAUUACGAUUUAUCUAUUCUUCUUUGUCUCGUCUCUUCAUCCUCCUGAAGAAUGUCUUGUUCAACAUCUAAACUAGCUUCAUACCUUUGGUCACAAUUGGCAUAGAAAUUUUCAAAUAUUUUUGAUUGAAUAUGACUAUUCAAUCCUCCCUUAAAAGAGACCAUCUUCACAGUCUCAUCGGCCAUUGUAGAAGGGACGAAGCAUCCCAAGGAGAGAAAAAUAGUGUAGUACUCGCCCACAGACAUGGAACCUUGCUUAAGGUUAUUGAAUAUUCGAAUAUUUUGAACUCGAAUAGCUGGUGGAAAGUAAUGCUGUAGAAACAUCUUUUUGAACUCAUCCCAUGUCAAAGUACGACCUGAAGAAACCAUGGUCAAGGCUACACCAGCCCACCAUUUCUCUGCUUCACCAAGAAAGAUGUCACUACUUGAGGUCGAAUAUCUUCUGGCACCAUCAUAGUUUGGAAUUUGUUCUCAAUUUGUGAUAACCAUCUCUCUGCCACAUUCGAGUUUGGACCUCCAUAAAAAGUAGACAAAUAGACCUUGCUAAGCUCCUUGAAAUGGUACUUAACACUAAUCCAUAUCUUGCUCUCUUUCUUCUUGUUGUUGUUGUUGAUAUUGCUGACAUCCAUGCAUGAACUAAUAUGCCACGGAUAAGGUAGCUGGAUCUAAUUUUAGGGGGGAAGGGUACUUUGAUUCGUAUUAUUUGAAUUCAAAGGGGGUGUUACCCUAGACGUAUCUUCACCUUUACGUCUUUGAGCAGCUUGGCGAGCAUCUAACAUAAAUCCCCCAAUAGGGGUAUCCAAUUCAUCUUCAUUCCCAUUCGGUCCAAGAUUUUCAAGUACUACAUCUUCUUCCCCCGUAGCUCGUACAUCAUUCUCUUGAAUACUGACAAUAACCCUUUGCUUUCUUUUUGGUGUCAUCCUGCAAACACAAAUUAGGCUAGGGCAAAAUCUAACUACACUAAGCUACCGAAUCCUCAAGUGAUAGCAACAGGUAUUUGAACGCAAAAAUCAAAACUAAGUCAAUCCACACUAAGGUUGGGCACCUGAAGUGUAAAUCAACUAGCUCCAAUAUUCUGUCCAACAUACACACUACAUUACAUCAAACUUUCAAUAAAUAUUAAUUCUUAAGGUACUAUAAGUAAGAUUCAUACCUAGGCUCUGAUACCAAAUAAAUGUCACGCCUCAUGUCCGGAAUGUAACACCGCCACACCCUAGACAAUGCUAAAGACGUAAGCCAACAAAUUUCCAAAAAAACCUACAUUCACCUUUAUAUAAACAUUCUAAAUCCGCAAAUACAAGAUCAUCCAUAACAACAAAUUUGCAUUUUUCAAAAUAAAAGCAAGAUCAAACCUUCUACAAUAUGUACAACAUUCAAAUCCUAUUAUAAGGUAUCUUAUAUAGAAGUACAAAAGUCAUCCUCUAACCAAAAGUUAUCUCCAUCUCCAUUACCACUUCUAAGAUCUAUCAAGAUCCACUUCAAUGAACUCAUCAUUAACUGCAAAAUUAUAACAAAGAGGUGAGCGAAAUCUCACUCAAUAAGUAGCACAUGUAUCUCAUUAUUGGCCUGAGCAUGUUAGAUACAUAAUAUAUAUUUCAAACGCCAUUAACUUACACAUAUAACUUUACAAGAACAUGGUCAUUAUAAACAUUUCAAUGGCAUGUCAUACAUCACACACAUAAAGGAGCUCAAACCAUAAGACAACAAUUGACCCCAGAUAUCCAGUUAUUAACUUAAUCGGUUAACACGGUUCAUAGUGCUAACUUCCACAUGGUUAGCCUGUUUCAUAUUGCUCAUGACAACACAGAUUACUCGUUUCAUAUACCAACCACCUGUGAGGAACUAGUCCCGUCAAAAGUCGCUUAUACAAGAGCUCAACAAACAUAACAUUUCAUUUCACAAAUAACCAUGGCAAGAGUAAUAACAACUAUCACAAAUUAUACUUGGUCAUGCCACUUUAGCAAUUAGACAAGUAGCGUUCAAAAUUCAUCUUUCAAAAGAUAAAGGGUACAUGCAUCACUUACCUUGAUCCAAUGGAUACCCACGCUAGUUCAAGUAAUCGAAAAAAUGGCUACCUUCUUCACCUAGACAUAAUAAUAAAAUAUUCAAUUACAAUCUUAAAGAUACUAAACUACUCUAAAUUAUCAUAAAAAGGAGUCUAAUACUACCCUUAACCACUAAUUCCUAAUAAAAGAUCAUUUCCUCAUCAAAGCAGGACAUAAGGGUUAAUUUUAAAGGGUCACUAACUUUCAAAAAUGCAUCAACAUGGCAAGAGAUUUAUACAGAGUUAAAGCCCCCUAAAUCUAGUUUCCAACGCAACAAACAACACCUAAAUCCGACUUUUUUACAUCAAGUUAUGGCCAAAAAACUGAAAUAUGUCUAUAUAGAAAAUUCAAUCCAUCCGAGAAUUAUAGCCAAUCCGUCCGAGGAUUAUAGCCAUGGAUUUCUAGCACGUUUUCAAGGCAAAAACAAGUUCCAAAUACAAUAAUCAAGUUCCAUUUCCAUCUCAAGUCAUCUUCCAACCUCCAUAGUUGUCAAAAUCAACAUAUUUUAGCUCCCAAAGUCAUGAAAAUACAUAAACAAUCUUGAAAAUGAAUUGUUAGCUCAAGUCAUUCUUUCCCUCAAUAUUUCUCCUUUUUAUAUUGAUGAUAGCCCUAUACCCAUAUGAAAAUAGAGACCAAAACAAACUCCAUAGACCAUAGCCGCCAUGGAAGCUAACCAAGGAUUUGAACCAAAUACUACCCAAUCACCCAAUCAAAGAAAACCAAGAUCAUGUUCAAGGUUUCAAGAAAAUAUCUUGGUUAGUUGUCAAAGUAGAAUCUCCUAACUCCUCACUCCUUAGCUGUGCUUGAUUUGUCAAGAAUCAAUCUUGAUUUGUAAGGAAAAAGGAGAGAAAUGAGAAAGGCUUUUGUUGGAGAAGGAAGGAAGAAAGGAAAUGAAGAAGAUGAAGAAAUUUUUUGAUAAAGAUGAAUCGUGAAAUCCCACUAUCACUUUUAUUCUUUCAAAAUUUCACUUAUUAACACAUUGGUCAGUCAAUUUAACAUCUUUCACUUUUCACCACAAAAUAGUAUUUCUUCAUACAAAAUUCUCUGCAAGACACUUGGGCAUCACAAUAAUUGUUAGGAUCGACAAUUCUUAUAGACUAUCUGAGACCGCAAUAUUCAUGGAUAUAAAUGAAAGCAAGAACAUUUGAUAUAGCGCUAGGGAUUUUCGUAUCAUCCUUGACAUCUAUAUGCAUCUCUUCCAUUUGGAUAUUUAUCUACAACGAGUCUUUGUAUCGAUAAUGCCCAACUAAAUCAAAAAGAAAAGACAAUUUGCAUUUUUUCUUUUUUCUCUUUUUUUUCCCAAUGUGUCAAACAACAAGAAUAGUAAGCUCCUGUUGGAUCUUUAAUCCAACGUUGGACUUAUAUAUAAAUAAUUAUGUGUUUCAAAUUGUCAAAUAAGGUUAAAUCCAAUUAAAAUGAUCAAAUAUAAUUUGGGCUUAAUGUAUCAAUAGGGUGUGGGUCUUUAAUAUGUAGAGACUUAAGAGUAUUUUUUAUUUUUAUGAUGGGUUGAAAUAGGAAUCCAAAAGAUAACAGGAAUGUUAUCUAUAAAUAGGAUUAUGGUCCCCAGGUCACAAGUAUUCUUAUUAUCGUAUAUUCUAGUACCACAAAACAGCUCUUUCUUGAUAUCCCAUUAUCAGGAAAGAUACCAGAGAAAAACUAAAAUACUCUCUCAAGAAUUGGUAAAUACGUGUUGACCUGGAAGGCCACCCCAAAAUCUUCAAGGAUUCGAAUGCCAAUUUGUCAACAUGAAUUUAGGUACGCUUCCGCAUUUAUAUUACUGUUUUAUUCAAAUAUUUGAUAUUGGGAUCUUGGAAAUUCCUGCACCUCCACCCUUUGAAAUUUCAGAGAACAGAACCAAAUAUUUCAUUCCUACUAACUUAUGGGCACGCAUUACAUCAUUCCUACUAAAUUUAACUAUCUUAACGACUUAGAAAAAGCUAGCUACAUAUACAUUGUCUUCUUACAUAGAUAAAAGAUGUGCAGGGCAUAUAGAAAGAUCGUCCAAAUGGGUUUAAUUUGCUGCUUUUAAGCUUGACAUUUGUAAGACUUAUGACCGGGUAUCAUGGCAAUUUCUACAGGCUGUUCUAAGAAAAAUGGUUUUUCCAGAAUCCAAGAUUAAUGUUGUUUGGAAGAGUAUCUUUUUUGUCUCUUACUCAGUUGUAGUUUUUUUUUUAUUUUUUUUUACUUAGGGUUAUCCCAGUCUUUCGGCCAACUAAUUCCCUAAUAUUGUGUAGCGUCUUAUCCUAAGGAUACAGAGUAAAGUAGUACACGGAAUUCGAUUACGGGACAUGGUAGUAACUAUCAGAAUACGGAAUCAGUCGAACUACUCGCGGGACACUCAAUUGUAGUUAAUGGAGCACUAUCAUCGGUAAUAUAUCCUACCAGAGGCCUUCGCCAGGGAUGCCCCCUCUGAUCAUCAUAUCUCUGUCUUAUACCAAGAGGCGUUGUCAGCAGCAUUAUGUUCUUUGGCAUCUAUAGAAUCUAUGUCCCCAAAUAUUGGUUAGUCGUGCAAGUCCUCCUGCAUCGAAUUUAGUAUUUGCUGAUGAUAGUAUUUGUGUUUUUCAAGUGCUCGGAGGCAGCCGCACUGCACCUGAAGGUGGUAUUGGAGAAAUAUACACAUUUCUCUAGGCAGGAGAUGAAAUUUAGCAAAUCUAGUUUGGUUUUUAGCCUCAACGCGCCUGCUAAUUUGAAUCAAUUAACAUGCAUCAUAUUCUCUAUCCAAUCAGUUCCUACAAUGGGUAGAUAUCUGGGUUUAAAAGACGAAGAACCCACUACUACAAAGGUACAAGAUUUAUCAUCAAAUUACACCGGAGUCAAACUCUAGACGUGACGUUGGGACACAACACCCUAUUGUAACGUUGCAAUGCAAUGACUUAAAAGUACUAUUAGAUAAUUUAUUGAUUGAUUUGCAAUCUCAAAAAAGUUUAUUGAAGAAAUGCAAGCUUGGUCUCCAAUAGUUGGCUCUUGCGCAAUUUUAGUGUCUAAAGUUUCGUCAAAAACAAAUAUAAUUUACAUUUUUUGAGACAAUUCGCAAUUUUAGUGUCCAAAUUUUCAAUUCAAAAUAUUUUUGAGACAAUUGACAAAUUUAAUAAAUUUGAAUUGAUCCCAAUUUCAAGUAAAUUUAGGACAAUUGACACGACCAAAUUCAUUUUUGUUGAAACUGUGGACACAAAAUUUGUGCAGAUAUUAAACAUUGGAGACCAAAUUCAUUUUCAAUUCCUUUAUCUCCCUCUCUUUAUUCUGUGAAGGGAAGAUAUGAUUUUGAAAACCUAUACUUUGACCUACAAAAUCUUAAUUUUUUCCAAAUCCAAUAAAGAUGGAAGGGAAAUAAAAAUAAACAAAUAAAAAGAUGGAAGGGAAAUAUAAAAAAAUAAAUAAGAAACAAAAAAUACAAAAUCUUUUUUCGACUACAAAUAUCAUUAUAAGUUUUUAAUCUAAAACUUUAAUGGUAUUUUCUAUUUCUUAUUUAUCUUUUUUUUCAUUUCAAUUUCUUCCUUUUUAUGUUUAGAGGAAAAAAAGAAGUAAUGAAAGGAUAAAUUUGUCAAUUUAUUAAUUUGAUUUUGAAUUUUACCACUGACUGUAAGUUUUAAUGAAAAAAACUAAGUGACGUUUUAUUUCAAAUUAUGAGGAGAUUAUAUAUAAUUUUCAAACCAUAGGAUGGUUAUGUUGUAAACCACCAAACCAUACGGGAUAAAAGGUAAUUUACCCAUUAAUCUUUGCCCACUAAGUUUUGUUGGAGCUAUUAAUGCAUGAAAAAAAAAAAAGCAUGCUCUUUUCAGCAAAAUGGGGACAUAGACAUAACCCAAAUUUGAAAGUUUCAAUCUCAUAAACAUAAUAACCACCGGAUGUUUUCAUUAAUUCAUAAUGAAAACAAGAAGAUCCGCAGUCCUAGUUAAGCAAGAAAAGCUUAUGAGUCAGUUCAUUCAAAAACUUUCGGAAUUACCUGAAGAAUGAUGAGCUUUGGUGAUACUUUUUUUGGCAAACUGCAAGCUUUCUACAAUUAAGGUCGGAAUAAGAUUGGAUACAAACGUCCUCUUUAAAUACGAGCCAUCAGUUUGUAAAGAGGAAGUUAUAUGGUUUUCUUCGGGAAGCUGCAAAUUUUGGUGAUUUGAAACCAAUUUGAAAAUUGACAAAAUUCGUGCUUUCCUUGGCAGCUACUGGCUUUGAUUGAAAGAGAUGAUCUUGGCAAUGGCUAUAUUGAGUCAAAAUCAGACAACGAUCUUGGCUAUGGAAUUUGGAAUGUUUUGUUUCCACUUUCCAAAUGGUAGUUGGCUUGUUGCAAGAAAGAAGAAAAAUUGCAGUGGUCUUCAUCGGCAAAAUUUGAUAAUAUCAUGGUCAAAAUAUCUAAUUGCUCACGUGGGACAUCUUUUUGUAAGUAUUACUGUAUUGGUUGCUUCUAAUCAACCACAAGUCAAAAGCAAAGUUGUCUUUUAACUACUUGUUCGAAUUUAUCAGGCUUUCCAUUGAGAAAUUGAAGCCACCGCCUUGCACUCCAUGGUGGCUCCGUGCACAAAUCAAAUUGAUUUAGAUGCAUUACAGGGUUAGCAAACAAAGUUGUGGGCUUUCAAAUGAUUCUAACGGAAUUUACUAAUGAAAAGUCUUGCAACUCAAGACACAUACUUCAAGCUUUGUGUUUGGCAAUUGCCAAUCAAUGCCUUACCAAAUCUUAAAGUUGGGGCAUUUGCAGAAAAUAAAAUUUUUAUUUAAUUUAUUUAUUCAAGAUUUAAUAAAUUGAGUUGAUUUUAAGUAAACUAAAUUAAAUUAUGAAAGCCCUUUAUUUUUGAACUAAAAACUUGGGCCAGUAUUAUGUGGACUGUUAAAUCAAUUAAAUAUGCAAGGUCCAUUUAAAUUAAAAUGGAUUAAUGGAUUCAUUGAUUCGCAAUGGACUGUUGGGCCAGCUUAUUACUAAAAUCCAUAUUAAAUGGAUUUCAAAUUGAACCAGUAUUAAACGAAUUGUUGGGCCAGCUUAUUGUUAAAGUUUUUCACACAUACUGUUACAAUAAAAUAUUUUAAAACAUCCGUAAAAAUAGUUAAUCCAAACAGAGACAUAGUUUUUUAUAUUACUUUAAUUAAAUUUUUUUUCUUUUUUCUUCUUUGGCUGCAAAAAUUACACACCACCAUACGAAUAAUUCACUUAAUGAACUUCGGAGGUCUUUGACUAAAAAUAACGGAGCAAUCAUUGAUGGCAAUUUCGCAAUGGUAAUGAUGGCAUUUGACCAUGUUAUUAAUGGCACUUUAGAUCUAGCCUCAAAAAAUGCUGAUUCUAAACAUGAGGAUGGUUUCUUCGAAAAAGGUUGUCCUAUUUGUUCUCUUGCAACGGUAUCUGAAGACAAUCACUGUACGUAAGCAGAAAUGCCUAAUCCCUCCUUUCACUCAGUCCCUUCAUUUUUUCUUCAUUUCUCACUUGUUUUUUUUUUGAAUUUAUAGAAGAAGUGCCUUUUAAAUUUACAGAACAAGAAGAAGAUGAUGAAUGCGAGAGAAAAGAACCCCGUGGUCAUAGCACACUGUGCUUCCUAAAUUGCCUCUUCAUUAUGUCUAGUGAAUCACACAACAGUAGAAUCUGACAGAAUGACUCAGAAUCAAAAUACAUACUUUAGAUAGUUUAGUGGCCAAAACCAAAUUGUUAAUAGUUCAGUGGUCAAAACUCAAUGAUUACAAAAGUUCAGUGGCUAAUGAGGUAAUUUGCUCAAAAAAUAAUGAUAGAAGCAGCGAAGGGUGAAAUUCCGAUGUUCAUGCCGCUGAGAAAGUUUUUGUACGACUGAUUCCCUGGGCGAUUGCCAGAAGAUUCAAUAUCACUUGUGGUAGGGGAAACAACAAUGGAGGCUCUCUGUCUUGGAGGUGUCUGAAGCAAAAAGUCCUGGGCAGAAAUGUGAAACAAAAUCUGAAUUGUGGGCUUGUGUUUGCGGCUGAUGACAGUAUUAUUGUCCACUAGAGUCUUCCGCCCAAACAAGGUGACCCUCCUAUUAUCCCUGCCUCAUUAUCUACUUCAUGUUUUGCUUCUACUAACUCCCCUACCACUCAAAACGAGUUUUGGGUCGAGGGUGAGGUUAAGGCGCUAGAACUCGAGAAGGGGAUAGAGAAGACUGAAGCUUCUGUGGGCUGGAGCUUAGGAUUGGGGAUGCUGGAGUUGGGUUUGGAUUUUGCCUGCUAAUGAUCACCCCGAGUUGCUUAAUGAACAUGGGAGUGGCCUGGAGGCAGGUUAACUCAUGCUAGCGACCUAAUUAAUAUUGAUAUGGGUAAAAUACAGUAAACGCCUUUGUGGUUAUGAAAAUAAAUACGAAACUCCCUCAUUGUUUAAAAACACCCAUUUAGCCUCCCUUGUGCUUUGAACUUCUUUGGAUUUUACCUGCUAAUAGGUUGGGAAGCCUGUAAUAAUAUAUAAUACCAAAAAUAUCCUCAUUUAUAAUAUCUCAAAAGGCAUAGCUACAAUUAGUAGAUCUUGAGUGGUACUUCAGGUGUAGAGAGAGAAAGUGGAUGAAACCUUAAACCUAUAUAUAGCCAAGAUCCGCCGCAAUCACUAUCAUCUUCUGCGACAUCAAUAAACUACAGAAUUGUCGUGUGUAUCUCACAAAUGAAAAAGGCAUUCCUGUGUAGAAUGAUCGAGGGUUGCGAAGCAUCAAGCAUAGCGAUUAAUAAGGUAAUCUCAUAUCUGAACCGUAAAUUUACCUGUGUUGAUUGGUUUCAUGAUAGACAUUUGGUUGUAUAUUGUUGGAGAUAUUUCGAAACUUGGUAAAAGAAGUGACAACUUUGGCUUAGUCAGAAGUAUUGCCGACAAUCUUUAUCGAAAAAAUUUAUAAAAAAAUUGCUAAGCAUGCAAAAAGUAAAAAAGAAUGGGUCUUUUUGGAGUAAUCUAGACUACUGUGGUUCAUACUAGUAUUGAUUAUGUUUUUUAACCUUUUAGAUGAGUAUGUUAAUGUUGACUAUGCUUUUUGGAAAGUAAAAGUGUAUGAAAUAUUGCCUGUCCUUUUCGAUACAUAUGAAAAUUAAAUUAGUAAAUUUAUCUCUGUUACUUUGGCUCAGGUGUAUGAGAAUGGGAGAUAGUCUAUUUAAGAGUAUAGACAUAUACAUGCAUUAUGGUGGAAAUUUCAAAUGAAAACUAAGAAUUAGAUACACUGGCGAACCAGUGAGAGUAUUUUGUGAAUGGGACCUUGAUGAAUUAUCUCCAUUUGAUUUUCAAAAGAUGUAUGACACAAUUGAGUGCGGCUUAAGCAAUAUGAAUUUCUAGUACUCUAUCCCCUUUCAUGACCUUGAUAUUGGUGUUGUUAGUAUUAAAGAUGAUGCCGACAUCGAGUUAUUGACAAUAUGUUAUGAAAGGCUUCCAGAAAUGCACAUAUAUGCUGAAAAAGGGCCUGAACCCAUUGAAGUUGUGGCUUCGGAUGAAAAAUUAUUGUACAAGAGAGUGACUGGUGAUAGCUUGCUUGCACUUCCAUAUCGUGAUAAUUGGCAAUUGCCAUGUUCAGAUUGGAUUAUCCGCAUCUGUUAAAGGCAGUGAUAACUUUGACCCUACAGUUAUUGGGAAUGAGUACAAUAAUGAUAUUUCACACAUUAAUUGUAGAAGAAAGGGCAUCUGUGAUGAAGGGUUAUCACAAAUGGAGUCGGAUCCAACUUUUGUGGGACCACAUAGAGAGCAGAUACAUGAUUCAACUAAUAAGUCCAAGUGGAAGAAAACAAUAAAUGGUAAAAAAACUAAGUGGCAAAGAGUAAAAUUAAUUGCAAGGAAGUCAGUCAGGCAGUUAGUUAAAGAGAAGGAAAAAGUUGUUACAACUGCAAAGGUCUAGCAGUCUUCCACAAGAAAUUCAGCAGAAGAAUCAACAUUUGGGAUAGAUCCAACAGAAGAAACAACUAAUUUGAGGGGAGAAAAAACAGUUGAUGAAGGUGGAGAAAAAGAUGUUGUCAUACCAGACUAUUCAAAUCUGCCGGACUGGCUAAGAGAAGGACUAGAAGGGCCUAAAGAUGAUGAUAUAUUUGCAGGCUUAAAUGGUCAAGAAUCAACAUAGGCAUCUAUUAAUUCACGAUCUGUAAAUUUUGUUAGAGUUGGUUCAGAGUAGCAACAAGAAAAUCAGCAAGCCAAAACUAGAAAACAAGCUGGUAUAGAUCAACAACAAGAAAAUCAGCACUCCUAAUCCAGAAAACAAACUAGUUCAGAGCAGCAGCAACAACAUCAGCAAUCGAAAUCAAGAAAACAAGCAAAGAACCAGACCCAUGAAGAGAGGAGUCAACCAACACCAGGUGUGGAUGACAAAUGCCGUGUCAAUGAGCAGGAAGAGAACUAGAAUGAGCCAGUAGAGGAUGAUGAAAAGCUAUUUGACAAUGGGAUAAGAUCUGAUGAAGAAAGCAUCCCUGUUUACAGUUACUUCAAUAAGGAGAAAAAGUUUAGGAAAGAGCACUUUGAACUAAAGGUUUGACAGAAAUUUACUAGCUUCUCUAAAUUUAGGAAGACUUUAGUGGAGUGUGAAAUUAGGAAGGGUAUGAGCACAAAUACAUCAGAAAUGAAGGCUCUCGAAUCACAACUAAAUGUACGAAGGGGUGCAGUUGGAGAAUUCAUGCAUGUAGAAUCCAGAGAACAAAGACUUUUAUGAUCAACACUCUUAAGCGAGAGCACCAUUGUGGUAGGAAUUACAGCAAUAGACAUGCCACUUCAACAUAUCCAAGUGAAAAUUUUCAGGCCAAGGUGAGGGAUGAUCCUGGGUGCAGUACUCUUAACAUAGUAAAUGAGACAAGACUAUUUAUGUUAGACAUUAGUAGGAAGAAAACUGCCAGAACAAAGCAGAAAGCGUUAGAGGCACUUAGGGAAAAUGACAUGGAUCAAUAUCACAGGUUUUGGAAUUAUGUAGCCACUGUAAAAAAGGUCCAAUCUUGAUACUCAUAUUUCACUGCAGAUUGAUAGGCAAAGUGUCGAGCAAAAAGCUACAUUUCAGAGGAUAUACUAUGGAUUAGGUGUUCUAAAGAAUGGUUUCCUAGAAGGUUACAAACCUAUAAUAGGACUAUAAUUGAUGGCUAUUUCCUAAAGAGUCCCUUUGGAGGUCAGCUGCUUAUAGCCUUGGGUAAGAAUGCCAAUGAAAACAUGUUUCCUAUUUCCUUUGCUAUUGUUGAGGUAGAGAACUACGACAACUGGAGCUGGUUUUUGAGAGAAUUAAACACCCAAAUUCGAGGAGGAAACAAAGGAGUGGCUUACACUUUCAUUUCGGAUAGGCAAAAGGGUCUUGUCUAUGCAAUUGAGGAGUUGAUCCUUGAAUUAGAGCACAGAUUUUGCCUGAAACGCAUGCUCAAGAACUUCAAACAAAGAUUCAAGAAUCAAAACCCUAGAGCCAUGUUCUAGGAAGUUGCUGCAGCAGCAAGCAUGCCGGAGUAUGAAACUGCCCUAUCAAAUCUUGGAAGGGCUAACCCAAAGAAAGGUGACAAACUAACAAUUGCAGGAUGGUUCAAAUGGUUACCUCUAGAGCUUUGGUCAAGAGCCCACUUUAGUACUGCUUGUAGGAGUGACACGUGCAUCAACAACAUUAGUGAUUUUUAGAACCAAAGGGUAUCCAAAUAGGGCUAAGAAGGUUGGGAACCAAACGAGAGGGCAUGCUGAAAUACAGUAGCACUUUAUGUCCAAACAUUCACGAGAAGUUAGAGAAACUAAAGAUAAAAGCAAGAAACUGUGUCGUGGUUUAUAAAGGAAAUAGGAAUUUGGAAGUUGACGGCUAUGGAAGGACUAAUGUCAAUUUGGAUAUGAAGACGUGUACCUGUGGCCAUUUUCAACUGAGUGGAAUUCCAUGAGUGCAUGCGGCUGCUUGCAUUCAAAGCAGAAAGUUGGAAUUCGAGCAAUUUGUUGAUGCUUGUUACUAAAGGGAAGCAUAUUUAAGGGCCUAUAACUUCACAAUUGGUCAUGUUUUUUCGAAGCAGUUCUAGGUGGAUAGCAAAAUGCAGUAUUUGAACCUACUAUUGGUAAAAAAACAGCCUGGUAGACCAAAGAAGCAGAGGAAGAAGGGUCCAAAUGAACCUACAAAUCAGCAUAAAGCAAGCAGGAAGAGUCUGGCAGUCUACUGCCGGAGGUGUUUGAAAUCUAAACAUAACAUUAGAACCUGCAAAUCAGCAAUUCACCCUAUGUCCAAGCUUUACAAGAUAAUGUAACAUUUCAGAGCCAAAUCAUUUCUCUAGUUUGUUUUGUUGCUGCUUAUACAUCCAGCCAUUUCAAUGUGAACUAUAGGCACUAAAACCUGGUCCAACAGCUUCAAAUGCAACAAUCGUAGCUUCCGUAGCUCAGGUUAGUGUCUCAAGUACUACUGCUACUACUCUCUCACAUGUACUAGUUUCAAUUGCCUAUUUUUGGGUGUUGUGAUCUACUUGCAUACUAAGCAAUGCCACUUAUAAGCAGGAACCAAGUUAGCCUAUAAGUGGUACCAAUCAAGAAAGCUAGAAGAGUAGAUCUUCAAAGAAGAAGCAACCAGCUGCAAGAAUGUCAAGAUUGCGACAUUGUGGCUCCAAGAGACCAAGAAAAUGAACUGUAGUUAUCUCUCUUUUGUUUGUUGAAUAUACUGGUUAUGUUAACCACAUUGAUCCCUUCUGGGAUUGAAUUGUAAUAUUUUUUAAGCUAGAAAACUCAGAUUUUUGGUUAUGUUUUGGUAGAUUGAUACCAUUAUGGUAUGGAUGUGGUAAUAUACUGCCUUUUUGUGGCAGUAUUGCUGGUGAACCUUUUUGGGAUUGGAUUAUAAUAUUUAUUCAAACUAGAAAACUCAAAAUUUUGGCCUUGUUACGGUAGACUGAUACCAUUGUGGUAUGGAUGUGGCAAUAUGCUGUUGACAUCUUUGAAAUAAAAUGGUGAUAUCUUUGCUAAAAAUGAUUUAAUUUGACAAGUUCAUUGCGGUGAAAUCUCGGGUCUUUCAAUUUUUUUGUCAUGUAUUUUUUAAAUGUCCUACAACAAAACAACGUAGCUUCAUUCGAUCAUCUUAAUUAAAACUAGAAUGUCUACUUCAUUACAUGCAAUUGAAACUAGAUGUGGCAACAUGUUGGACAUAACAAAAUCUACUAUUGUGCCCAACUCCCUCAUCUACUACACAUUUUUUACACUAAUUUGUCCUGAACAUUCAUCUCAUACAUAUAACAACCAGUGACAAAAGAGACACAACUACAAACACCAUCAUCAUCAUCUUCAUUAGCUCCAUCAUUGCUCUGACAUUGUGAAUCUUCAACUAUAGUGUCCCAUAAUGAUGUUAUAGUUAUUACUUUCCAUCCCUUGUCCAGAGAUGAAAAAUCUUUCCGCCAUUUCAGAUCCAAUUGGUGAAACUCCUUCCAUGUAUGGACUUUGGUAGGAUGAUUCAUUAGUGCCUCCCUCUCUACUAAUUGGGUUGCAUCAUGUCCAAAAUGAACAAGCACAAUUUUUACAUACAAAAUACAACAUAUCUUUUGAUGGUUUUUCAGAUUCCACUACUUUAAUCUUUGCUUUAUUCUUGCAGAAACAUCAUCGAUUUUGGUAUCUUAGGUCCCUCGAUCCACCGCCAAAGUUUUGGGAGCUUGACAUUUUCGGUUUCCCCCUUGAACAAAGCUAUGUUGUGCCCUCCGAAGCUGCGCUCUUACGAUUUUUGUCUUAAUUUUGUGUCUCGCUGUCCAAUUUUUUCAUUUGCAGAACAACAAUUAUGGUGGGUUUCAUUUGUAAGAGACAUGGACAGCAAAUGGGAAUGAAAACUAGUCUCUUUCAGUCACAUGCGGCCAUUAGGUCGCAUCAAUGUCACUUGCUAGGUUCCUAGCCGGUUAGCAAGUAAAAUCCAAAGAAAUCCAAAGCACCGGGGAGGGUUAAGUAGGUGUUUUCAAAUAAUGAGAGGGUUUCAUGUUUCCCUAAUGACAGGGGGGUUUACUGCAUUUUACCCUAUUGAUAUUGGUGGUCAAACUAGAAAGAGGUGGAAUUUGGGGCAGAACCCCUCUAAGAAUUUUUGUUUCUCCCUAGUGUCUCAAGAGGAAAUCAGGUCCUGCUUGAAUUCUAACCCUGCUGGUAGACCUAGUUUGGAGAACUAUUCAGGGUGAUUUGUUUAAGGGCCUUGAGCCAUUUGAAAAGGUGGUAGGGAAAAUCUUUGAGGGGUGCAUUUUUGAUGGUAAGGACACCUACAAACUGGUGAAAUAUUCUUGGCCACUGGUUUACCAGGCCAAGUAUGAGCCCAUCAAAAGCUCUGAUCACUAUGUGGCUUCGAAGGUAAUGGAGAAGGAGAAGUGAGUUGCUCCAGCAAUCAGCUGAGAUCAGUGUGGAUGCUAAUUCCCAUCCGUGUAUCAUCGGGGUUAUAAACGAAUUGGCAAGCGGUACAAGUUAUUGUGUCUCGAUGCCCUUAUUUGAUGAGGGUUCACUGAGGCUUCUUUCAAGGAAUCGAUGACAUGAUGGUUGACCCGAAGAUUGUAUUGCCCUGGUUCGGAUGGAAACCUUAAAAGGUCUUGGUUUCCUCCAUGAAAAUCAUAUGGUUCUCAAACGUGCCAGUCCAGACCAUAUUUUUUUCUGUAGGAAUCCUUUAUGCAUUGCUUUGGGUCAUGAUGCAACUCUGUGUCAUGCUUGGAAUUCUGACAAUGCUAAAAAUUCAGUGAUAAAUUCAACGAUUGAUGAAUUCAGUCAUGCUUAGAAAGUCUAUGAUGCUGGGGAGGCUUAUUCCUCCAAGGCUGACAUAUGGCUCCUCAGAUUAACUGCUUUGGAGUUGGCCUAUCACCGCAUCCCUGUCAAGACAAGAGCAGGCUUAAUGGCUGUUAUACAUCAAUCAAAACAAUUGUUUGCCUACAGGACUAAAGCGCCUCCUUCUUCACAUCCAUCUUCAUCCUAAUCUAGGGAGAAACGAGACAGUUCGCCAGCAAUUUCGGUCACUUUGUCAGCCUAUGCCUCCCUGAAAAUCUAGCACAAAGACCAUUAGCUAUCCAGCUGUUGGAACAUCCAUUCUUGAGAAGUUGCACUAGUCUUGAAUGUUUCGAUAAGGUGCUUUAAGUAAUAUGGCCAUUUUGAAGCUUCUCCUCCCGAGUUUGCUUGAAGUAUUUCGUGUUUUCGACUCACUGUUUUUGAUGCUUAAAGGUGCUUAAGUAAUGUGGCAAUUUUGAAAGUUCUCCUGCCUAUGUUAAAAUGAGAAAUUUCAUAUUUUCGGUGUACUGUUUUUUGUGCUCUUAAGUUUAUCUUGCUUACUUUUUGACAUCCUUUGUGAAAUUUAAGUAAUUCGAUUUUUUUUUAAAAAAAAAAAUUGGGUUAAUUAUUGACCUUUUGAAAUUGAGAAUGCUUGGAUGUUGGUGUUAUAACAAUUUUUUUUGGGUUGCUUCUUCUCAAAUUGUUACUUGGGAGCUUUAUUUUCCCCUGAUAAGAAAGAAGAUGAGGCAUCAACAAUUACUAUCCCUGGCAAACCAACAUUUAUUUGCAACAUGUCUUAGUAUAAUGAUGGAAUAUCUUAUGCCUUUAGAAUCAUAUUGCAUUUGGUUAUGCAGGUAAAAUUUUCACGAGGGGAGGGAUGGGUUGGGUGGUAUUGGGGGAGGAAGUGUAAGCGUGAGAUUUCGGGUUUGAGUCCUCUGGCUUGCACUAAAAAAAAAAAAAGGUAAAAUUUUCACAAGAAGGGGGAAAAUUAAAAGUAGAAAUGCCUUUAAUAAUCAUUUCACCAGUCAAUAAUUCCUUUAGAAUGCCAAUUGACGCUGGAUGUUGAAACUUUGAAUGCAUAAAACUACUUUAUUGAGAGGCAAUUGGUGACAUUAUGUUUACUGAAGUGAUUCUUUGCAAUGCUACAGAACGUAUGAACAAGUUAUAAAACCAAACCACAUUGAGAGCCUCUACUCGUGUCCUACAUCGUGAGAGCUAGAUUUGCUAAUGCUUUGAAAAUUAAAGUUUUUUCACAUUUUUAUCAUUUUUGGCACAGACGGGCUAUGUUAUUGCAUCUGGAUAAUCCACCUAAUUCUACCCUAAAAUUCUAUGCAGUUUUGUUUUUCUUCUUCAUCUCCUCGAAUCUUUUUUCCUUCCCCCCCCCCUUUCGUCUCUGUUAAACUUAUGCCUCAUGGUAUGCCUAACUUGCGACCUUGAUAAUGAUAUGGCCUAUUUCUUAAUGUCAGUUUGCUGGCGCCUUCAAGCAAUCUCAAGUUCUCAAACAUUACUAAAAUCUUUUUAUUUGCUACUAGUUCAACACUAUGGGGCGUGUCAUUUUUGGUACGAUAACUGGUUGGGAAAUGGUGCUUUAUUUCUACAAGUUCCGGUUAUCCCACAUUUAUCAUUCAGAAAUUUCACACUCAAUGGUCACUGGGAUUUGAAUCUUUUAUACCAGACAUUGCCAAGGGAGAAUGUUUUUUCCAUUUUAGAGCAAAUGGUCCCGGAAGAAGGAAAUGAAGUUGAAGUCAUUUGGAUGCCCACAACAUCCGGAAAAUUCUCCCUAAAGUCCGCUUUCGGGGAUAUUAGGCAGGCUCGCCCCACGUCUAUGGUAUUUGCCUCUAUUUGGCAUUCCCGCAUUCCUGUAAAAGUUUCAUUUUUCAUGUUGAGAUUACUUCUGGGAAGGAUUCCGAUACCAGAUCAGUUAUGCAAACUGGGUUUCCAUUUACCUUCCAAAUGCUUUUGUUGUUCUGCGGCAUCUGAGGAGUCUAUUGAGCAUUUAUUUUCCAAUGGCCACAUAGCGACGGUCAUAUGGAAUUAUUUUGGAGGUCUAUGUGGAUUGAAUUUUUCAGGAUCUUACUUACGAGCUCGCAUAGUAGGUUGGUGGUUGCGAUCACAUGACUAUGAGCUACGACGGUUUAUUGACCGCAUUCUUCCAAGUGUAGUUUGCUGGCAGAUUUGGAAGGCGAGGAAUAAAGCAAUGUUUGAGGGUAUCCAGAUGCGAUCGUCGGCCAUUUGCCAAGCCAUCUUCGCAGAAAUCCAUACUAUGGUGGGAAUACAGUUCAAAAAAGUUAUUCGACUGCAAUCAUUCAGUCAGUUGUAUGAUUGGACGAUUCCUUCUGGUGGCAGGGUUGCAUAUAAAGUUAUCCGCUGGGAGACAAAGGAGACAGGAAGGUAUAUACUUAAUACGGAUGGCUGUGCUAAAGGUAAUCCAGGAGUGGGUGGAGGUGGUGGGGUUCUUCGGGAUUCAACUGGCUUACCACUGAUUGCCUUCUCGGCCUACUUGGGAGAAACUACAAGUCUCCGCGCAGAGGCUCGAGCUCUUCUAAUUGGCCUUCAAACGUGUAUACAAAAGGGCUUCGAAGACAUAUGUGUACAAUCAGAUUCAUUGGUUUUGAUUGGGAUCAUUCAGCGUCGUACUCAGUAUCCGUGGCAAAUUCGAAGAGAAGUUAACCAGAUUUGGAAGCUAGUAGAAGAUCCUGCUAGAUUCUCACAUUGCUAUCGGGAAGCUAAUACAGUUGCUGAUGCUUUGUCUAAUGUGGGAAUAUCUCAUCCACAGCAACAAAUCAAGGUUUACGAUACCUUUAGUAUGUUCCCAAGACUGGCUCGUGGAGCAAUCUGUUUGGACAGAUUAGGAAUGCCUUCACUUCGAAAAAUCACAAAUAUGUAAGAGGAAUAUUUUGUAUUCAAUCCCAUGAAUAAAUAAUAAUACUGGUUUAGUAAAAAAAAAAAAAAAAAAAACACUAUGUGCAAGGAAAAAGUGGAAUAGGAUCAGAGAGUUUGUCCAAAAUUGUCUUAUUUCUGCAGCUCUUUUGCGGAAUAUCCCAUUCUGCUGGAGCAGCAGACCUUUUGGCAAAAAGUGCUUGUGGCUUCAAUGUUUUGGACCAGUUAGUCUUUCCUAGUCCUUUUUUGCAAUAUCUGCUGGAUUUGAAUUCUACUUAACAUCCUCAAGAAAGAAGGACAACUUGUAGUUUCCACUCUAGACAUGUAUUAUUGAGGUUGACGUUAGUCUGUUUUAGUUCUUUGAUGCUUGCUAAAUUGUGUGUUCAGUGCUUUGUACGGUUGUAUGACUUUCUUCAAGCAAUCUGUGCAUUGUUGUUUUCUCAUUCAGAAAACUUGCAAUCCUUAAUAGUUGUAAGAAAUGGAUUUUCUUUCUGCUGAUUUCAAUUAAAUAUGUAUGUAUGUGUCUCUAGUCUUUCAAAAUGGAGCUUCUGAAGUAUCAGCAUAUUUUACACUUGUAGACACUAAUUCUGGAAAAACUAGAGAUAAAUACAUAGCGAGUCAGGAUUUGUUGUUUUUUCUUUCAUCCUUGUAGUCACUGUGCUGACAACUUCCAAAGUCUCAUGAAGAGCUUAUUGUUUCCUAAAUUAUCCAUUAUGUUUGACAAUUGGCAGUGGUUCAACUUGAGGAUAUGCUGGCUUCUAGCCACUCUGGUAUCUUCAGUGCUUUAGUCUAGAUAUAUAUUGAACUCUUGCUAACAUCCUGUAUAGCAACUUGUAAUAGCUUCAACUUGAUCCAUUUUUCGACAUGCUGGCUUUCAGUGCAUGGAAACUUGAAUUUACUUGGUUUAAUUUUAUCAAAAGUUUGUCAGAGAAGUUUGUUUUAAGUAUCUUUUUAGUUGAUAUAGAAGACGUGCUAUGUUGAUGAAUGCACAUAAUCAGUUGUAUCGCUGUAAAGAGCAUGCUUGGAGCAGGCUGAUGACUCCCGUUAGAAGUUUUUGGAACUAUAUAAAGUACAUAUCUCAAAUAUGAUACUUGAUAUGUGCCCUCUUAAUGCUGUGAACUCCUUGAAUGUUCCGUGUUCAGUGAAAGAUGUAUAUAUCAACAUCAUCAUAUCUUGACUGUAGGUUAGCAUCUGGACUGUAGAUCUUGUAAGGUCCAAUCAUAGAAGAAGUGGUUUAUCACCUCGAUGAAGAUUUGGUCUUUAUAGCUAGUACCUUACGCAACCCAAGGAGAAAGCCCAAUGGAAAAUCAUAGGGUUUUACAUAUAAAAACCUAAGUGUUGACAGUGACUGGAGAAAUGUAGCGUUCACUGCAAGUGUUACUUUUCUACCAGGAGAUGCCUGAUAAUGUGUAUUAGUGACUUUGAUUGUGUUAUAUGUACAUUUAUGAAUGUACACAUAAAAUUCCUUUAUUGUGUCAAAUAGUUCUUUAGCUACAAUUUCAGUGAGAAUCCACUCCCAGACUUGGUGCAGAUGUUGUACAUUUCUUUCUAUGCAUGAUAUAUUUUGUUCAUUAAACUGCAAGACAUCUUAAUGUAUUUUGGCUUCUGAACUCGCAAUAAAUUGGCGUUAUGGUAACGAAUGGUUUAUGAAUCUAUUCAAAUUAAUCAGCACGUUUUGUUGUGGCUCACAUUCAUAAUUCAACAAGAUACCACUAGGGGUGUCCUGGCAUGUAGCUCACACCAUCAGGGUGACACAGCCGAGCAUUAUUUCUCAAAUUUUGUAGUUAAUGCGAGACUACAAGGUACCUGUCAUGGUGCGAUAUGUUGCUCUACUGUCAAAUCAUGUUCAACCAAAUAAAUAAAGUAAUUCUAUCAUGUUUAGCAAGGGCGGAACUAGGGGGAUGUGGAGAGGCAUCGUCCCCCAAGUUUUAUAAAACUUAAUUUUUUUCCUGUAAAAUUAAAAUUUAUAAAAAUACUUUUUAUAAAUUUAAGCUCUCACCCUUGCUAAAACCUAAAAUAUUUUAGUUUACAUGUUAAAGUUUAGGUAUCCUACAGGUUGCCCCCUCAAAUUAUAUUUUCUGGCUUUGUCUAUAAUGUUUUAGUACCUACUAGACAAAUUAAUAAUUCUAUUUUUUCAUUGUCAAACCGUCUAUCUCAAAAUUAACAAAAUAAAAACUAUUUCACUUUCACUCAUAUGGACCACAUUGAGUAUAUUCCGUCAUAAAGAAGACAUGAGGGUCGUCCACAAGUGCAGGUCCAAUUGUACAUCUGCAAUACACGACAUGGAAUGUACCUAUUGGAGUGUACACGCACAUGUGUAAAGAAGUGAUAAACCAUUGGAGUUUACCUAGUGAUCAAGAGAAUACUCUUAGAAUCUUUUUUCACUGUCAAGUUCAAGAUACAAAUUUCAUAUUUGGUAGUUGGAGGUAGAAAGUAUGUAAAGAAGUGAUAUAUUUUGAUAAUAGGUACUAUGGAUUUUGAUUGCGAGUUAUUCAAGAAAAAACUUUUAGAAUAUUUCCUAGGCACGUUUCUCAUUUCCCUGUUUACAUUGUAUAGAUUACAUCACUAAAAUGUAUUUUUCUGCAAAUUCUCCCAUCCAAAUAGAUCCAGUUCUUGAUUUUUUCAAAACUAAACAAAAAUUUGUAUUGCUCAGAAUCGAUGAUGGAAGAAGCUUGAGCAAUAGAAGAACAAGUGGAGAAUGGAAACAAGGGUAGAAAUGAAAGUUUGAACAUCAUGGAAUGGUCAAAGACUCAAAGCUGUCGUGGCUUAAAUUUGAAGUCCCGGGAGGGGGAGGAGAAUUUGAAGUUCAUGAAUUGAGAUCUUGAUUUCAAAUCUCUCUAAUUUUUCCCGCUUUUACGGCCCCACAAAUUUUCCCUGCUGAAGAAAAAAAGAGAGGGGAUUAGUGUUUGUAAGCCUAAACAUUUAUUAUGCUUGUCUUCAAGCACUUUGAUACAUAUGAACAUCGUACUCAACGAUUGCCAUCGAAGAUUCCCCUCAGCCAAUAAGUACAGAAAUGAGUGAUCAUCUUUUUCUGCGUUUUAGGUGCCUUUCUAUUCCCAUUUCCCACUGAGCCGAUAAGAAUAGAAAUGAGUGAUCAUCUUUUUCUGAGCUUUAGUUGCCUUUUUAUUUCCUUUUGCCACGAUAGUUGGGACCUCUUGGCUACUACUUUACAAAUUGAAAAGGAACCUUGUGAAGGAAAAAAACAGAAAAGGAACCAUGUGAAGCCUCAGUCGUUUCUGCUAUUACUCUUUUUCUGGCACGAUAUUUAUUCUUUUGGUCGAGAACGUAGUAAUAGAUACUGUUCAAUUAUUUCUCAACAUAAAGGGAUAAUUUUAGAAAUCUCCUCUAAGGUUUCUAACAAUUUUAUUUAGCAUCCACAAAUUUUAAAAAAUUUCCCUUGUCUCUCUUACUUGAAGUUUUUUUGUAUCAUUUACGACCAUUUUAAAAUAUACUAUUAAAAAUUUAUUUUGGGGGGAGAGAAUACAAUUUCAUUCCAAACUUGCCCAUUUUCUUGUGAUUUCUUGAUUGUCAAAAUACAACAAAUUUUUCUCUUAAUUUUUGUAAAUUGAUCGAUAAAAUUUUAAACAGAAGCUCUACAUCUGCAACAUCCACAGCUUUGUUCACAACAUGGUGUCCUGCAAUUCAGCAUUGGGAUUACAAGGGACAAGCACGAACCAUGGGUAGGCAUUGGAAUCUGUCUAAUAGGAGGAGCUCAGGGAACACACACAGGCUGGGCAAUGCGUGAAACCAGUUCAGGAUCUUUCUUGCUGGAUGAAGCAUUAGCUCUAAAAUUGGCAAUGUGUAAAGUUGCUGAAAUGCAACACAGAGUGGUCCAAUUCCAAGUGCAGAAUCAGCAGCUCCUCAACCUUAUUCAAUCCAAACAAGCGCGGGAUAUCAGAUUAGCAACUGUGGUGGAGGAUAUUAUUCAACUUAGACUUUUGUUUCAUAUGUGCUCCUUUUGUCUAGUUCAAAAUGAUAACUAUCAUCUAAGCUCCAAGCUUAGUACUUAUGUUUUAGGCAUUACUUUUGAUGAGGAACUUUUGUUUCCUUAGUGGUUAAAUGACCGCUUGUAUAGUUUCAUCGAGCAUUUGUUCGUACUUGUACAUCUUUUGAAAAGGAAUACAACCAUAUAUCGUUUUGGAAAAAAAAAUCGAUAAAAUUUUAAAAAUUGGUAACAAGAUCGAUAAACUCUUUAAUAGUUUUUGUGUCAUUGUUUUGAACAAGAAAUGUUAAAUUACUUAAACUUAUGAAUAAUUUAGAAUACUCUAAAAAAUAACUUGCACUAAUUUACAAUCAAAAUAUUACAACCAUAAUAAUACCUUUUUGUACUAGCUUAAAAAUAAUACAAACAAAUUUAUAUAUAAUUUUUAGCAUGUUGUAUGUUUUACUUUUUAAACCAUCGAUUUAGACAAAAAAAUUAGAAAAUUGAAAAAAAAAUGUAAAUGAUUUAUAAAACGUCUUAAAUUUACUUAAAGCACUUUACAGUAAAAAAAACACUAUAUUCUGUCCAAUAAGAAUAAGUCUUCAUACUUUUUGUUUUUAUUUGUCAUUAAUAUACUCAAGUUUUUGUAAUAAAAAAUAAGAUAAUAAAAGGGCAAAUUUGGAACGAGAUUAUAUUUACUCUCUCAAAAUGGAUUUUUUAAUAUUAUAUUUUUCAAAUGGGUUGUAAAUGAUACAAAAAAAUUUUAAGUAAGAGAGGCAAGUGAGAUUUUUUAAAAUUCAAAGGUGCUAAGUGAAACUGUCAAGGUUUCUGAAAUUAUCCCCACUAUUAAUAAGGAAUACUUGGUACUGCAAAAGAAGCAAUUAAGUAUGUCGUUUAUGCAAUUAACCUACAGUAGUUUUCUUUUUCUUUUAUUCUUGUGCCCUGAAUUUUCUUUUUUAUAAUCAACAGAGAUAUCCACAUUUUCUUGAAAACCUUGAAGCCAUUUCAAUACAUAUGGUGGAUGACAAAGGAUCCACCAAUUGGUUCAGUGAUACAAUAUUAUGUACAUACAGUUAUAACACAGAUACAAUUGGUUCGGAUUAACUCUACUUUGCACUUUUAAAUUUAUAUCACUUUCUCACUUUGCACCAUGAACUUUAAUUUUGGACACUUUACACCUUAAACUCCUAAUUUCAAUCACUUUGUACCCUAUAUUCUUAAAUUUAUUCCAUUUAAUUUCAAUCAAUUAUUAUAUUCAUAAAAUUAAUGAGAUAGAGGGAGGUGAUUUUGUAGAUCGACGGGUCUGGAAUGUGGGCAUGCUCCAUCAAUUCUUAGAUGGAGAACUGGUUAGGCAGGUUCUGGAGCUUGAUCCUCCUUCAGGUAGGGGCAAUGACAGAAUGGUGUGGACAUUAACGAACUCGGGUGUUUUUUCCACUGCAUCGGCUUACUCAUUGAUCAGUCAUUCCAAUGACACCUCUUGGCUUUUUGCCCGUAUAUGGCAGCAAGGCCUUCCAGUCAAGAUCUCUUUUUUUAUGUUACGACUACUACAGGGGAGGCUCCCUCUUAUGGAUCGACUAAAGAGGUUUGGGGUCUAUGGCCCAUCUAAAUGCUUCUGUUGUCAGAACCCUCAGGAAGAGGCCUUGAAUCAUGUAUUUUGCUCAGGAGAAGGGGCACGAUCGGUCUGGCGUCACUUCGAGAGUACUGCUGGUGAAUUUAGUGGGGUGCAUACAACACGUCACAUGGUGUGGUCUUGUUGGGUAAGGAGGGGAACUAAUGACCGUGUAAAAUUUUUACAAAAUAUACUUCCUUCGGUAGUAUGCUGGGUUUUGUGGAAAAUAAGGAAUGAAGGGGUGUUUGAAGAUCGGAAGAUGAGGAUAAGGGAUACGGUGACUCGGAUUGUUCAGCUUCUUCAUGAUUUUCUUCAAUCACGGUUCCCGGGGGUGCAGUGUUCUGCUCCUACAUGGGAAGGGUUACUUCUCGAGUUGGGUAGUCAUCAAAGGCGGAUGAUUAUUAAGCCAGUUUAUUGGGUAACUCCGUGUGGAGGUUAUAAGUUGAACUCAGAUGGAUGCUCUCGGGGAAACCCAGGAAGGAGUGGGGGGGGUGGACUUGUGCGAGACAGUCGAGGAAAUUUUGUAUUUGGAUACGCGGAGCCCUUCGGAGUGAUAACUAGCAUGCAAGCAGAACUUCGAGCGUUGUUAUGGGGAGUUAGACAUUGUGUGAUUCGAGGGUACUUGGAGUUACACUUAGAGGCAGAUUCUUUCACCCUGGUUCAGAUUGUUCAAGGGACUAGUGCGUGUCCUUGGCGUCUACAGAGAGAUCUGGAUGAGUUGAUGAUAUUCAAGCAGUCUUUCCAAUCCAUCACACACUGCUACAGAGAAGCAAACACACCGGCAGAUCAUCUGGCAAAUUUUGGUGCUGAUGCUUGCGCAGGUCAUGUGUUUAAUACAUUUUCAGAUUUACCACUAUUGGUCAGGGGGGCUAUUAGAUUAGAUCGAUUGGGACUUCCUACGUUUCGUACACGGUGUCUGGCAUGAAUGGGAAUAAGAAGCAAAAAAGACCAAUGCAGGUGAAAGUGACAAGAUUAACCGCUGAGCUUCAAGGAUCAACAUUCAGAUUCACUGGAAGACAUCCUAAUAUGGACAACGGAAGAUUUAAUCUUAGUAUCAGAUUUUCAGUGCUUAAUCCUUCGCUAUAUUGUAUAUUUAUUGUCAAAUUGUGGUUUGAUGGCAGGGAGUUUCGUCCUUUUAUAAGGGGAAAUUCUGCCGAAAUUUUUAUAAAAUAAUAAAAUUUUAUGAAAAAAAAAAAAGAGAUAGAGGGAGGUAAAAAUUAAUAUAAAUGUACUUUUGUUAUAACAGUGAUUCCUUAAUUUUUUUAAUCAUUGUUAGCACGUUAUCAUUGAUUUAUAUGGUCUUAAUUGUUAGCAAAAUUAAGGAGAUGAAAGAUGGUGCAAAUUAAUGACAAUAUAUUGUUUUAUUUUUGCUAUGAUACUUUGAUACCUUUUAAUUACUUUCAGCAUAUUAUCAUUGAUUUGUUGAGUUCUCUAUGUCAUUAAUUUUGCAAAAGUUGUCAAAUGGGACAAACUUGAGAGUUUAGGGUGUAAAAUUAUCCAAAUUAAGAGUUUAUGACACAAAGUGUCCAAAAUUGAUUCAGAGUGUAAAGUGAAAGAUUGAUACAAGUUUGGAGGUGCAAAGUGGAGUUUGCCCCAAUUGGUUCAGUACAGCCAAAUGUAUCUACGGUCUAGUACAAAUUAUCUCACGUAUCUAUACUUCCUUCACUACUUUCAACCAAAGCAUGUAAAUUGUUUCCUCAAUUAAUUGAAGUUGAUCAGCUUCACUAGCACCAAAUAAAGUGAGUGUAAAUUUUAUACACACUAACAAAGUGGCAACAACCAAAUAUAUCUACAAUCUGGUUAUCUCACAUAUCUAUACUUCCUUCACUACUUUCAACGAAAGCAUGUAAAUUGUUUUCUCAAUUAAUUGAAGUUGAUCCAAAUUAAGUAAAUGUAAAUCUUAUACACACUGAUAAAAUAACAGUGUAUGUACCAUCACAGUUAGACAUAUAAUACAUAUACAAAAUUUAUAUUUUAAAUUAAAAUUUAGAUUACUUACUAUAUAUCCAAUUGUAAUAAUUUAUAUGUUAUCAGUGUAUAGAGCAUUAAUUCAUUAAUUAUUAUUUAUCAGUAACAUGAUAUAUAUAUACUGAUCUUUCUCUCCCGAGUCAGACACCAUAGCAGAUUGACCAUGAGCAGGAUAUUCAAAUUGGGCAGCUUAAUAAGAAACCCUAAGCCACAUUCCAUCCUCCGUUUGAAAAGUCCAACCCAAUCUAGCUACUUAUGUGUAAACUUGUAAACAUUUCAUCGUCCGUUUGAAAAAGUCGAACCCAAUCUAGCUACUUAUGUGUAAACUUGUACGAAUCUGCCGAGCUAUACUCAAAAACCCAUUAUUCAUUUUCAAAUCCGCUGAUAGCAUGCUGGAACACAAGUACGUAAGGGGAUCAUAUUCUGGUAUUGUAGUUUAUCAUGAUUUUCUUCAGGAAAAGACUUAAACCCACCUGCAAAGACUUAAACCCCACCUGCACUAGGGUACAACAAACAAAGGUGAGUUGGAUAUACUUCCGUAUGACUGCAGAACUCAUUUCCACAAUGCGAUUUUGAUGCAGCAAUAAGAAAUUAUAUCAAACUUGAAAUCAGUCAUCCUUUGGGGUUCUAUAAAUACCAUCCUCCCUGUCAGUUAUGGACACAUUCCUGCCUAGCUACUUUUAGUUUCAGCCAACUAUAUAUUCAUUCCUAGCUCAACUGAAAUUAAACUUUCCAUGGCAUACCAGAGCGCCUACAAUAUGAAUUACCAGAUACUACUAUGCUUGGUACUCUUCUCCCUAGGCCUUCUCCUACCACUGCCAUCCCAUUCUGCUGAUCCAAGCCCAUUGCAAGAUUUCUGCGUUGCAGAUCUUGAUUCCUCUUUAUACAUUAAUGGCUUUCCGUGCAAAAACCCUGAUAAUGUAUCUUCACAAGACUUCUUCGCCAAUGGGUUCCAACAAAGUCCAGGAGAAUUCAAUAUUUUUGACGUCAAUGUCACUCGUCAAGAUGUUCAUCGAUUUCCAGGACUCAACACUCUAGGGAUGUCAAUGAACCGAGUGGUUUUGAAGCCUGGAGGGCUGAAUGAACCCCACGUCCACCCUCGUGCAUCCGAGCUGGCUCUAGUCAUGGAUGGAAAACUGUUUGUAGGCUGGGUGACAACCGGAAACGUUUUCUACUGGAAAAUUUUGACUUCAGGAGAGUUGUUUGUGAUUCCGCCUGGGCUAGUGCACUUCCAACUUAAUAUUGGACACGAGAACGCCCGCUUCUUUGCCUCGUUCAACAGUCAAAAUCCAGGGAUUCAGUUCGCCCCCCUUGCUCUUUUUAACUCCAC
rnacentral:lncRNA from 1 species